rnacentral:lncRNA from 1 species
ACGGAGGUGGUGUGCAGGGUUAGUGGGCAUUACUCUUCUGAUUGAUAUACGUGUAUGUUUGUAUGGGCUAAGGCCCAAUUGUAUCUGAUACUGUUCUGAGUGGGCUAAAGCCUACAUCGAUUCUGUUAAGAGCUCAGACUCGAUUAUGACUGCUUGAUUGUUACCCGUUUACAUGCAUACUUUGCUGUGGGGACGUACACACUGAGUUUACGAAAACUCACCCUUUUAUUGUUUUAUUUGUCAGGUAAUCUCUAGCAAUAGAUGGAUCGUGCAGUGGAGGGCUCGACGAUGACCACCACUAGUCAUGUGUUGAUUUUAUGAGUUACAUUCUAUUUUAUUCUGCUUUCAUUUAACAUUUAUCUUCGAGAUUAUUUUUUUAUUCAGGCUCGAACUGUUUUGGGUUUACUUCAGGAUUUUUAACUUGUUUUAUUUUGUUGAUUUAUAAACGGCGACAGCAAAAAUACGUUUUGGAACCUUAACAAAUACAUUUUGGAACCUUAACUUAAGGGUUUUGGUGAAAAUGAAUGAUGCCAUAACUUUCUCGAAAAUGAAAGGUUUUUUUUAAAGUACUUUCAUGUAACGCCCCCAGAUUCGACCAUAAUGUCUAGGCUGGGUUUGGGGUGUUACAUUUAGUGGUAUCAGAGUCAGGCUGUAAAACUCGACUGUGGAUUUAGGUUUCAAAUUUUGGUUUUUGUAAAAUGAUUUGCAAAGCGAUUUGAAAUAACUUUGAUAAUGAGUAUGUGGUACAUCGAGCCUCCAGCACUGAUCUUGUAAGUUCUCUGAAACUCUAAUAUGUACUGUCUGAAUGCAUGCUUAUACUAAAAUUUUAUCUGUAUUUGUCUGAAAUACUGUGUAUGCAUUAUGAGAUUACUAUGGGUAGAACGUUACUGAAACACUUUAGGUAGUAUAAAGUGACAACCGUAGUGAGCCUGUAACUUGCGAUAACUGGCUCUAAAAUUAUGAUACUGUCUGCAUAAAAUAUCUGCUAAUUAUUAUCAAAACUGUAAACUGAUGUGCAUAAAACUUCUAAAUACAGAUUAAUUCGAUAGUUACGAUGAGUACAUGUGGUACUCAUAGACGGGGUACUAGAGGCUGAGGUAGAGGCCGUAGAGGGAUUCGAGCUGAGUCCUUCGUAUCUGGUACGAUCCCUAAUCUGGACACUAGUGAGAUGCUGGUGUCAUCUGUUACUGAGACGGGUGCUGAGUCUCAAGGUUGUGCAGCUGGGGACGACGCACUAUCUCAGGCCAUACUGCGAAUUCUAGAGAGGUUCGCUGGGGCUAAUACUAGAUCUAGAGGCCGUGGGUCAGUUACGGAAUAACUUCGAUUGAAUGGGGCUAAGAUAUUCAGAGGCAUCGCUGGAGUUGCUCCCAGUGUGGCUGAGUACUGGAUGGAGGCCACGGAGCGUAUCAUGGACGAUCUGGACUUUUCUGAUGAGUAGAAGCUCAAGGGGGCUGUGUCAUUGCUGCGAGAUGAGGCGUGUCAGUGGUGGCUGACCGUUAAGAAGGGCACUCAGCCCAAUCAACUGACUUGGGAUCUGUUUAAGAUCACUUAUCAGAGUAAGUACGUGGAAGCCAGCUACAAUGAUGUUAGGCGAUGUGAGUUCCUAAAUCUGACUCAGGGUGACCGUUCAGUGGCUAAGUUCAUUAGAUUGAGCUAUUAUACGAGGGGCAUGGUGGCGACUGAGUAUGAGCGUUGUGUCCAAUUUGAGGAUGGUCUCCGUGAUGGUUUACGAGUUCUGAUAGCUCCACAAAGGGAGCGAGAUUUCUCCACCUUGGUCGAGAAGGCCAAGAUAACCAUAGAGGUGAAGCGCUCUGAGCGCCAAAACCGUGAAAAAGGGAAGGCUAAGAGGGAUUAUGAGAUUACGAAUGUGGGGAUGAAGCCUAAGAAAAAGGUCAGGACUGAUGGGCCCGUGAGAGCUGAGCCUACUGUUGCUGUUCCUGUUACGAUGGUGAUGUGCCAGCUUUGUAAUAGACACCAUCCGGGUGAGUGUUGAAGAGUUACUAGGGCUUGUUUGAGGUGGGUCGACUGAGCAUCGAGUUAAGGAUUGUCCACUGAGGGGUAAUCAGAUGCAAGCUCCGGUUGCUGAGACUACACAGCCGUCGAGAAGGGUACAGCAGCCACCUAGAGGCCGAGGACAGGUUAGGGCUGGUAACGGUAUGGGUCGAGGUCAGAGAGCACUAGGCAAAUGAGUUGGGCUGACUGAGGCGAGGUAGCCUGCACUUGUCUUGCUGCACAUCGUCGUGAAGAUGGAGGUGCUUUGGACAUCAUCACGGGUACAUUUUUAAUUCUUGAUGUACCUUAUGUUGCACUGAUAGACAUAGGCUUUACACAUUCCUAUGUUGGUUGUUCUAUGUCUAAGACUUUGAGAAUACCGUAUGAGAGCACUUCUAGUUGGAUUUCAAUGAUGAGUCCGUUGGGGCAAUCUAUUAGGGUUAGUAAAUUGUUUAAAGACAUUCCAUUGGAAAUUCAAAGGAUGAUAUUUUUGGUUGAUCUGAUGGAACUUCUGUUUGGGGAAUUUGGACUUAAUUCUGGGAAUGGACUGGUUGGUGAAGCAUCAUGUAAGUCUGGAUUGUACUGAAAAGAGGGUUGUUCGGAGGACCUAGGAGGAUAACGAGAUAGUCGUGAUUGGUGAACGACGGAAUUAUUUGUCUAAUAUGAUAUCUGUGUUAGUGGCAGAGAAGCUAGUGAGGAAAUGAUGUGAGGUAUUCUUAGCCUACAUCAGUGUUUCUGAUUCUGUGGACUAUUCGGUUAAGGACAUCCGUACUUUGAGGGACUUUUUAGAUAUUUUUCCAGAAGAAUUACCGGGAUUGCCUCUGAGUCGUGAGAUAGAUUUUGGGAUCGAAUUGAUUCUUGGUACAGCUCUGGUGUAUAUUGCCCCUUAUCGAAUGGCACCGAAAGAGCAGGUAGAACUUAAGGUUCAAAUGCAGGAGCUGUUAGAUCGUAGGUUUAUUCGUCCUAGUGUGUCUCCAUGAGGAGCCCCUGUUCUAUUCGUAAAGAAGAAGGAUGGUACGAUGAUGAUGUGUAUCGAUAACCGUCAGUUGAAUAAGUUGACGAUUAAGAAUAAAUACCCACUUCCAAGGAUAGACAAUUUAUUCGAUUAGUUCAGAGGGCUUCUAUGUUCUCUAAGAUCGAUCUGCGAUCAGGUUAUCAUUGGUUAAGGGUUAAGGAGGUCGAUGUGCAUAAGACGGCGUUUAAGACUCGUUAUGGACAUUACGAGUUCUUGGUUAUGCCCUUUGGGUUGACUAAUGCACCAACAACAUUUAUGGACUUGAUGAACUGUGUGUUUCAGCCCUACUUAGACCAGUUCAUGGUGGUAUUUAUCGAUGAUAUAUUUAUUUACUCUAAGUCUGAGGAUGAGCACGAUGAGCAUCUCAGGGUUGUUCUGCAGAUCCUUCAUGAGAAAUAGCUUUAUGCGAAGUUCUCUAAGUGUGAGUUUUGGCUUCAGGAAGUAAUCCUUUUGGGACAUGUGGUGUCUGCUAGGGAAAUUUGUAUUGAUCCUCGUAAGAUUGAGGCUGUGUUGGAUUGGAAACAACCAAAGAAUGUGUCGGAGGUCUACAGUUUUCUGGGACUGGUAGGAUAUUACCAACGUUUCGUAGAAAAGUUCUCGUUGAUCGUAGCACCGUUGACUAAGUUACUGUGUAAGAGAGUUCCUUUUGUUUGGACUGAAGCACAGUAGGAGAGCUUUGAGAAACUCAAGACAGUUUUGACUCAGGCCCCGGUUCUGAUACAGCCUGAGCCUAGCAAGAAGUUCGUAGUGUACAGCGACGCGUCACAGGUGGGUUUGGGUUGCAUUCUGAUGCAAGGCAGUAAGGUAGAUGCUUAUGCAUAUCGUCAUCUCAAGACUCACAAGGCUAAUUAUCCGAUGCAUGAUUUAGAGUUGGCUGCAGUUGUCUUUGCAUUAAAGAUUUGAAGGAAUUAUUUGUACAGUGAGAAGUGUACCAUCUACACUGAUCACAAGAGCCUCAAGUAUCUUCUUACUCAGAAGGAGUUAAAUCUUAGGCAGCAUCGGUGGGUUGAGCUGCUUAAAGAUUACGACUGUAGUAUUGAGUAUUAUUCAGGUAAGGCCAAUGUGGUGGACGAUGUGUUAAACCAUAGGGAUAGAACCGAUUUGAGGGCGAUGUUCGCUCAAUUGAGUCUUUAUGACGAUAGGAGUCUCCUGGCUGAGUUGCAGGUUAGACCGAUAUGAGUAGAUUAGAUUAAGGAUAAGCAGUUAGGAGAUAAGUCCCUUAAGUUGUGAUUCCGACAUGUUGAGGCUAGAACUACUACUGAUUUUGGGAUUGACAGUGAUGGGGUAUUGUAUUUCCGAGGUAGGAUCUAUGUACCUAAUGAUGAGGAUUUGAGACUGUCGAUUCCGGGGGAGGCACAUAGUAGUCCUUACGCUAUGCAUCUUGGUGGGAACAAAAUGUAUUAGGAUCUCUGAAAGUUGUAGUGGUGGCCAGGGUUGGAACGUGAAGUGGCCAACUUUGUUGCUCGUUGUUCGACUUGUUAGUAGGUUAAGACUAAUCAUCAGUUACCUUCGGGUUUACUACAGCCAGUGAAGAUACCGAUGUGGAAAUGAGAGUGAGUAGCGAUGGACUUCGUUAGUGGGUUGCCUUUAAAACCCACUAAAAGGGAUUCUGUUUGGGUUAUAGUGGAUUGAUUGACCAAGUCGGCACAUUUCAUUCCUGUUAGGACAGACUUCUCUUUACAGAAGUUGGCUAAACUUUACAUCUCUGAGAUAGUAAGACUGCAUGGGGUUCUUGUUUCGAUCAUCUCCGAUAGAGAUCCUUAUUUUACAUCUCGAUUUUGGUAGAAACUUCAUGAGGCUUUAGGUUCUCGUCUUGACUUUAGUACUGCUUUUCAUCUUCAGACAGAUGGUUAGUUAGAGAGGGUGGUUCAGCUACUGGCGGAUAUGCUGAAGGGUUAUGUUAUGGAUUUCAGAGGUAGUUGGGAGGAAUACAUGCCUUUGGUAGAGUUUGCUUACAAUAACAACUAUCAGUCUAGUAUUCAAAUGGCACCGUAUGAGACACUUUAUGGUCGUAAGUGUCGCACUCCUUUGUGCUGGACUAAGUUGGGUGAGCGAUGUGUUCUGGGUCCGGAGUUGAUUUCAGAGACUGAGGAUAAGGUUCGGUUGAUUCGAGAGCAUCUGAAAGCGGCUUUUGAUAGACAGAAGUCUUAUGCUGACUUGAAGAGGAAGGACAUUGAGUAUUCUGUGGGGGACUUGGUUUUUCUUAAAGUUUCGCCAUGGAAGAAGGUGCUGAGAUUCGGUCGGAAGGGCAAGUUAAGCCUUAGGUUCAUUGGACCGUACUGGAUUCUGAAGUGAGUAGGGCUGGUCGCGUAUCAGUUGGAACUUCCUCCAAAGUUGGAUCGUAUACAUGAUGUAUUCAAUGUAUCGAUGUUGAGACGUAACCGCUCUGAACCUGCGCACAUUGUGCCUGUGCAGGAGAUUGAUGUUAGACCAGAUCUGACAUUUGAGGAGAAGCCAGCUCAGAUUUUGGAUUAUGACGUUAAGGUUCUGCGUAGGAAAUCUAUUCCUUUAGUGAAGGUGCUGUGGCGGAAUCAUAGCACUAAGGAGGUUACUUGGGAGCUAGAGUAUUCGAUGCGACAGCAGUAUCCUUACCUUUUCUGAUAAGGUAAAAUUUGAGGACGAAUUUUCUUUUAGGGGAUAGAGUUGUAAUGCCCCAAAUUUCGUAAUUUUGGCUUUUGGAAUAUUUGUUGUAUUCUGCCCUAUUUUUGACAAAUAUAUGCCAGCUUAUGUGAUUAAGUGCUUUAGGGUGUGUUGGGGAGGUCCCAAGUUCGAGCCUUAACUUGGGCUAAAAUUUGGUUUUUAUUUGGAUAAAGCCUGACUUUUGGUUAGUGGGCUUAUAAGAAUUUAUUGGUAGGAACUUAACAGAAUGGGCCUGCUAGUCUAGUGGUUAAGUGGCAAGGAAUUAUGCCUGAGAUCCUGAGUUCAAGGCAUGAGUGUGGCAUUAAUUUUACUGGUAAACCGUGCGGACGUUUGAGUUGGAUUAAAACACUAAAGGGGGGUAGGGUUUAUGAGAUGUUUGCCUAUCCUGUUUUUCUUUUUGGCUUUCUCUGUCAUUUUCUUCUUUUCCAAGUCCCGAGCGUGUGAGGCUGGCUAGGCCGUGUACGACGUACGAGGUAGACCAAUUGGGCUGUAUGGGCCACACGGGCGUUUGGGCCCACACGAGAGUGCGAGAAUCUGGGCCAGGCCGUGUGAUCCACACGGGCAAGGCCAAAUUGGGCUGUGUGAGCCAUACGAGUGUGUGGGCUCACACGGGCAGACCACAUAGGCGUGUGAGCCCAGAAAUCUAAUUUUUUCUAGAAGGUUACACGGGUCGCCCUAGUCGACUGUGACCUGUUAAAGGGGUCGGUAAGCGUUACUUAGGCCUUGUUCUGUGCCAUGAUAUUGAGAUGUAUGCUAACAUGUUAUACUUAGCAUGGUUAUAAAUAUUGAUCUGAUCUGAGUAUAGUACACAUAAUCUAUUUACUAUUUGAAAACAUGCCAUGACAUUAAUUAUGUUGCAUUGCAUUGGGUUGGGUUUGAUAUUGAAGAGAAGGAAGACUGAAAGGCUCUUUAGCCGCUUAUCUGGCAGCUUCGCUGCAAUUAUUGAUAUGUGUCGUUUUACGGUACCUUAUGGUGUGUGGGGUUGAAUGGGUUGAUUUUAUCCCCAUACUUGGUGGGCUAGGUAGGUCAAUUUUAUCCCCACAUGGUGUGUUGGGUUUGAUGGAAAUGGUAUGCAGGGUUGGUGGGCAUUACUGUUCUGAUUGAUAUGCAUGUAUAUCUGUAUGGGCUAACGCCCGAAUGUAUCUGAUACUGUUCUGAGUGGGCUAAGGCCUACAUCGAUUCUGUUAAGAGCUCAGGCUCGAUUAUGACUGUUUGAUUGUUACCCGUUUACAUGCAUGCUUUACUGUGGGGACGUACACAUUAAGUUUGCAAAAACUCACCCCUUUAUUGUCUUAUUUGUCAGGUAAUCUCCAGCAGUGGAUGGAUCGGUGCAGUGGAGGGCUUGACGAUGACCAUCACUAGUCAUGUGUUGAUUUUAUGAGUUACAUUCUAUUUUAUUAUGCAUUCAUUUAACAUUUAUCUUCGAGAUUAUUUUUGUAAUUAGGCUAGAGCUAUUUUGGAUUUAUUUUGGGAUUUUUAACUUCUUUAACUUUGUUGAUUUAUAAACGGCCACACCACAAAUACGUUUUGGAACCUUAACUUAAGAGUUUUCGUAAAAAUGAAUGAUGUCAUAACUUCCUCGAAAAUGAAAGUUUUUUUUUAAAGUACUCUCAUGUAGCGCCACCAAAUUCGGCCAUAACGUCUAGGCCGGGUUUGGGGUGUUACACCUCACACGGUUAAGACGCACGCCGGUGUCUCAAGCCGUGUAACCUUUGAACUAGGGACAUACGGUCGUGUCUCAGCUCGUAUGCUCACUCGUAUAACUCAUUAAGUAGGGUUACAAGGCCGUAUGGCUAAGCCGUGUGUCUCACAUGGUUGAGUCACACGCCCGUGUCUUUAACCAUGUGAACUGAAAAUGUACCUUAAACAACAAGUUUACCAUUUCAAGCUUACUUGGGCCUUAAAAAAUUCAAAUACCAAUAAUUUAACCUAUUCAAAAUACAAUUAAACAUACUCAAAACAUGCCAAAACAAUCAUCCUAAGUGGCUAACCAAUGUACCCUUAUUGGUACCACAUUUUAUAACAUCAAAACACAUCAACAGUAUAUCAUCCAAAUCAAAGUUUAAAAGUAUGUCAAAAUCACUUAAUUUAGCCUAACAUAAAGCUACUGAAGACAUCAAGCUUUAAGUUUCAUACACAUCUCAAGCUUUUGGUCAAAACGCAUACUAACAUUUAGCUUCAAACAUACACAUAUACUUAUAACUCAAUUUACAUCACAUUCACAAAACAACUAACAACCACAGACAUCCUAGGUACAUGCCAUUACAAAAUUAAACAUCACUACACUUGAGAUCAUGAUUGUUGUUGGAUGCUGAGUCGGCGAUCAAAAGAGAGUACCUAACUUGCGCACGAAAAACAAAAUCGCACGCUGAGUAAAACUUAGUGAUAUUUUUAUAAUCCGAACAUUUUAAGUCAUGAUAUGAUACAUGAUUGAUCAAAUUGAAUUAUGCCAUCAUACUACUAUCUAAACAUACAAUUACAAUAUAUCACCAUUUCAAUUUCAUGCAUUUUAUCACAUUAUUUCAUGCCAUAAUCAAUUUUCAUAAGUAUUCACAUUUAGUUGGUUUGAACCUAUAUCUCAACUCACAUCACUUGCUAUAUAAAUAGCUUUGCAUAGAUCAAUCAACAAUUUAAUUAUAUUUUGGCACAAACCAAUCCAUAUUAAGCAAACUUCACUUAUUAGAAUAACCACAAGUAUAUCCAAAGCAUUUGAAUUUAUUUCACAACUUUAAUAAUCUAACUCAAGAAUAUAUCAUAUCUUCUAAUGAAUAAGUGUAUAUACAUAAGUAAAUAUAUUUUUUUUAGUAAUACCUAUAAACAUUUUUCUUAGAUGAUUCAUAAAACCUUGCUGUAUAAUCCAGUUGAUACACGACACUCAGUGCCUAGCAGAUAAUCUGCCAAAGAGCUUGUGCCUGGCGCUAGUCGGAUAAACCGACAAAUGUGUGCCCAGCACUAGUCAAAUAAACUGACGAAGGUUGCGCCCAGAGCUAGCUGGAUAAACCGACAAAUAAUUAGUGAGCCCAAUUCUAGUUGGAUAAACCAAUGAUAUCUGUGCCCAGGGCUAGUCGGAUAAACCGAUGAAUGUGUGCCUAGCACUAGUCAGAUAAACUGACGAAAGUUGCACCCAACGCUAGAUGAAUAAACCGACAAAUAAUUAGUGAGCCCAGCUCUAGUUGUAUAAACCAACGAUAUUUGCACCCAACGCUAGUCGAAUGAAUCGACGAUGUCAAUUACUCAUUUGCAAGCCCAUAAUUUUUACUUUUCAUAAUUCAAUAUCAAAUUUCAUAAUUUAAUAACACUUCCACUCUAAUUAUCUACUAAUCAUACAUUAAUUUAUUCCAUAAUGUCACAUUCCAUAAACCUCCAUUCAAUUGAAUUAACUUAUACAUCCAUAAACUUCCAUUCAAUUUAAUUAAUAAUUACAUUAGGAAUAUAUUAAGGCAUCCAAGUAGUAACUAGAUUAAUUAAAACAAUCUAUAAAGUUUGAGUUUGGGGUCAAUGAACUUACCUAAAAUCGUACACGAUUAUUCCGCAACCUUCUCUUUUUCUCGAUUUACAAUCGAUCUCCUCGUUUCAUAUCAAGCUCAAAUUCAAACCAUUCUACCAUUUAAUUACAUUUUUACUUAUUUGCACUCAAUAUUUACCCUCGAUACAAUUGAAUCCUUAAUUAUAAAUCAUAUUAUUUAAUUAAAAUCAAGAAAAACUCAUUUCAACCAAUUAUUCCACAAGGUCCAAAACAACUCAUACUUUUAAUUAAUUUACAAUUUAAUCCUUGAAUUGACCAUUUUCAUAAUUAACCAAAUAUACAUAUAAGUUAUUAAAAAUCCCUAAAUUCUUUAAUUUUAUAACUUAACACCAUGCUAAUUUAAUUUAUAGCAUUAAACUCAUUGAAAGCUAAUACUAACAAAACUCAUGGUACAAAAUAUUUUAAUUACUCACUAAACUUAGCAAUUCAACUCAAAUUUCCAGCACAAAGAACAAUCCACCAAAACAGUCCCUAGACUUCACAAAAUUAACAAUUUAACCCCUAAUUCUAUCAAAACAACUUCAAAUAUUAAAGUUUUUCAACAAUGACUUCUACAAAUAUCAUAAUUUCUCUAAAUUUCCACAUGGGAAAUCUACUACAUAAUUUUAAGGUUCCAAAAAUAUAAAGUUUGAUCGAAAAUAAUCAAAUCAUCUCAACAAAAUUAAGCUUAAAAAAUAACACUUAAAGGCCGAAUGUUGCUGGCCUUUCUUCUCCCAAAUUGGCAUGCAAGAGACGAGGCUUUAAUUUUUUUUCUUUCCUUUUUCUUUCCCCACUACUCUAUUUGUUUCUUUUAUUUUAUUCCUAUUUUCAUUUCAUUUUCAUUUUUAUUAACAUAAUUACUAAUUUAAGCAUUAUUACACAAUUAACAUAUAUUAAAUAUCUAUAUAUAAUUCCCUCAUAAUUAUCCACUAACCAGAACUCAUCAAAUUAAUGGACUAUUUAUUUAAAUAGUCCCUGAUUCUAAUCCCACUUUGAAAUUUAAUACUAAUUACUAAUUUAUCACUCACUUAAUUUAAUUAUUGUACUUAAUUAAACACUAAUAAUUAAAAUUAUCAAACUAACAUUCAACAUGUUUCUAAAAUAACUCUAUAAAUAUUUAAUAAAAAUAUUUACGAGCCUGAUUUACGAAAACGAGGUCCUAAUACCUCAAUUUUUGAAACCACCAACUUUAGGACCGAUACACUUGUACCUUAUCUAUCUUCCAAAUAACUAAAAUUAUUAGACCAAACUCUAAUAUAAUACUGUAAUAUUCUCGUAAAUAUUAAUAAAUAAUAUUCACUGAUCCUAUCAUCGAAAAAUAGUAUUCUGAAACCAUCAUUACUCCACUGACUUUUGGGUCGUUACAAACUUAUACAUAGUCCGUUAUCCAUUCAGGAUUUAGGUAUGCCACACUAUGAACGUCACAAGUGAAUAACUCUAUAAACGAAUUUAGGAUCUAUUCUUCUUGGGUCCAGUCCGAUGUACUGUUAGUCCAUUUAGUCAAAUCUAUGUCUCUAUUUUCUUGGAGUCAUCCGCUCAGAUGCCCAAGACAAAGCAUCUCCCCAGUUGGACUUGAUAGACAACAUAUUAGUUUUUCAAUCGGUUUGCUCAUUUCCAAUUACACUAAGGACAUGUAUAGGUUCAUUUAUUAAUACAAGCUAUCUUUCCGUAUUACGAUCCAACCACGUGAUACUACUUAGUAUUAGUUUAAACAUUAGACAACCAAUGAGCAACAUUUGCUUCACUUUUCUUUGCGUGUAAAAACCAUUUGAGGACAAUCAAUAAACUUAUAUUAAUGUAAUCAAUGAAAAAAUUAUAAGUUUACAAACGAAUAUACUACACUCAUGGCACCAGAUCCAACACCUAUUAUAUGCAUAUGAUAGUUCAGUUUGAUUUUUUAAAUGUUCCUUAAAGUUUCUGUAACACUCCUAACCCCUCACCGUCAACGGAUUAGGGUCACGAACAUUACUAAUAAAUCAAUCAUCAUUAAAAUGCAAGCUAUUUCAUUCAAAUCACAGUAAAAAUUAUCCAUACAGUCCUAAAUACUAGUUUACAAGUCCCUAAAACUGAUUUAUGAACUAACAGAGGCUAAUUUGAAAUAAUUCUAAAAGUUUAGGGUGAAAUCACAAAAUGCUUAGAAACAGGGGACACACAGCCGUGUGGAAUACCCCAGGCUGUAUGACUUUCGAAGUUGGGACACACGGGUGUGUCUCAGCCCGUGUCCUUUCCCGUGUAAGUCACUGACUUGAAACACACUGUCAUGUCCCAGCUCAUGUCUGUGCCUGUGUAACUCCCUUUCUUAGGUCACACGGCCGUGUGUUAUCCCAUGUAAAAACUAUACUUAUGCAAUUUUUGUACACUUUCAAGGCACACACCUAUGUGUGUUACCCGUGCGGACACGUGGCCAUGUGACAGAUCGUGUGUGAAGUCGUGUGCACCUAAAUGUACCUUAAAACUCAAGUUUACCAAAUUGUGAUUGCUUGGGCACUAAGCAACCAUUUCACUAGCCAUUUAAUCUAUCCAAAAGACAAUUAAACAUACUUAAUUCAUACCAAAACAACCAUCUUAAGUGCCUAACCAAUAUACCUUCAUUGGUACCACAUUUUAUAACUUCGGAACACAUCAACAGGACAUUAUCCAUUCAAGACUUUCAUCCAUAUCAAAUUUAUCAAUAUAGAACUAACCUUUAGCUAUUUAAGCUAUCAAGUUUUAAUCCAAAGACAUACCAUCACAUUAAACUAUGCAACAUACCAAAAGACAACUUCAAUCACCACCAUAUAUACAAUUGACUAUCAUUUCACUUAAAACCAAAAUAUUAUCAAAUAUCAACAACAUCAAACCAAGAACUUCCUAGGUACAUACUAUUACAAUUUAGAACAUCACCACACCAAAAUAUUAUCUUUUCUUUUUUUUCUAAUUUGCAUUCUAACAUAUUUUUCUUUAUGUUUUUAUUAUAAUAACCAUUAUUAUUUUAUAAAUUAUACAUAAAUUAAAUUCAUUUUAACUAUUAUUAUAACAUAUAACAUAUAUAUAUAAUUUAAACUGUCAUUAGUGACCGUGCACUAACAUGUAAUAAUGCAUAUUUGCUACUUUAGUCCUUUUAGUUUAUUUCAAUCUGUAAUGGCCCAUUUUUGCCCUGGCCCAUACAAAAACCAAAAAACAAAAUAAACCAAAAUACAAAAACCAAAAUUAAAGUCCAAUGUCCAUAAUACCCAAGCCCAAAAUCCAAAAUAACAAGACCCAACAAAAUACGGCCCAAAUGACCCAAAAAAAACCCCUAAACCCUAGCUUGCUGCCUAGUGCAGACAUCAGCAGCUUCCGCCCAGCCUCCAUGCUCCACAACGGCCUCCACGCCCACAAACGGUUUCUCCACGCCAUGCACACCUGCAAUAAACGAAAACUACAACAGCAAAUGACAGCAAAGAUAACCGAAUUACAACAAUCAAAUUGAGGAGAAAAAGGGAAAAAUUGUAAAUAUUAUAUUUCAUUUUUGGCUAUAAAAAGCCAUUGUAAAUAUUGAUUUUGAGGAUACACGGAUUGAAAAAAAAAACAAUUAGAAUUGAAAAGGUGAUUCAAGUUUACAGUUUUUUUUUUAGUUUUCAGAUUUCGUUUUUUUAAUAUUUUUUCUCUUCUCUUCUUUUCUCUCAUAUUUCACAUGAAGAGAAUAAAGGAAAAGAGUACUUGCCUUUGGCCUUUGAUCGCAUCUCUUUUGCUCAUGGUCGGCCACCAAGUUUGAUGGUGGUUCAGCAGUGACUUUGAGAGCCCUAACAUUAGAGAUUUGAUUUGCUGUUUGCAAAAAUGGCAGUGCCAUUCAGUUUUUUUUCUUUAAUUUUGAUUGCAAAGAAACAACACCGUUUCAAGGGGAAAUGUUUGGUUAUUUGCUGCAGAUGGUUAAUUUAUGCGAUUAAUCCCUCCCCUUCGCGUUGAUUUUCAAUUGGAUCCUAUUUGUGUUUUAUUUGUUUUUUAAAUUUUUCCUAAAAUCUGUGUGCUAUUUCAAUUUAGCCCGCGUUUAAGCUUUAUGUUUUGGGACCAGGAUUAUUCCCAACUUUAGUCCCUUAGCAUUUACGCGCAUUAUGCAUUAGCCCUCUGUUUAAUUUCAAAAUUUAUAAAUUAUCCCCUUUCAUUUUAAAUUUAUUUCAAUUAGGAUUUUUGUUUAUAUGAUUUAUUAUUUUUGAGGAGACUCAUUUAAUAUAUUUUUUAUGUGUCAGAAUUGUUUUAAUAAUUUUUAUUUUUGUUUAAAUAAAUCUUUGUUUUGAAAUCUUUAUACUAUUUUACAGUACGUAUAGAAUUUGAUUUAAAUAUUCAUGUUGAGCUUUCUAUUUGAAAUGCUUAUUAUUUUAAAAUUUACUUAAUAUUCUUAUAUAUGUGUUAAUUUAAAAAAAAAGAAAUAAUUUUGUUUUAUUUUUAUUUGUACAGUUAUUUUGGAGUUGAUUUUAUUAUAUUAUUUUUAACAUUUUUUUAUAAUUUUUCGACUAAAUAUUUCCGGAUAUGUUUGUACAUAUAUUAUUUUAAUGGGCUUUUUUUUAUUUUAAAAUACUUAUUGUUUUAAAAUUCAUUAAAUUAUGUGUGUAAAGUUACUUGGGAGCUGCAUUUUUUUUUGUGUUAAUAAAAUUAUUAUUUUGAAAUUCCUCAUUAUGUCAUAUUAUUUUAAUAUAUUAUGUAGUAUCUUAUUUUAAGUGUUUUUAUGUAUAACGGUACGUAUAUAAUUUAUAGAUUAACUUAAUUUUAUAUAUAUUAUUAAUCUCAUGCUAUUUUUUACAAACAAUUAUUCCUAAAUCUAUUUAUGUAUGCAUGUUUUUUUAAUCACUAUACCUUAUCAUGUAUUUUUAUUAUUCUUUCAUAUUUUAUAUAUUAUUUAAGUUAUCAUGUACAUAGUCAAUUUUUGAAUGAAUUUGUGUUUAAAAUAGUUUGCAUAUAAUUCAAUUCAAACUUUUAUUCUAUAAUAUCUAUUUCAAUAAUUAUAUAUCCCUAGUCUUUGUGCAAAUUUGUCAACUUAUCUAUUAUAUAUAUUAUGUAUUCAUUAAUUCAUCAUUAUUUUGAAAAUGUCUUAUACCACAAUUGACUUCUAAUUUCCAUUUUAUUUUGUACAUGUUUUGUGGAUCGUUUCAUAUUGUGCCAUAUUUAUUGUUGUUGUAUAUUAUUUAGUCAUUGUUUUAUCAAUUUUUCUCCAUCCAUUAUUAAGAAUUUGGUUACAUUUCACUUAGAAUAAUUGUACUUAAUUGUUGGAUUUAUUAGUUGUGAUUUAUUGUACUUUAUGUGUGCACAUUAUUUCGUGUUUAUUCAUUUCUUUUUACGAAUGUUUUCUUGUAAUACCUCAAAUGUUCCAUCUCAUUUUAAAACAAAUAAAUGUGUUUUGAGCGAAUUUUCAAUUUUCCUUAUUAUUCAAAAAUUCUGAAAUAAGGCAAUAUCCAAUAUUUGGGAAUUCGAGAAAUCGUGCUCAAUCGUGCUGGGUAUGAUUUUUUCGGUGAACUAAAUAUUUGGAUAACCUUUUAUAAUUUUAGUGUACGAGUUUUUGAAAGUCAAAAGUCGAUCGUAUUUUUGAAGGUAUAAAGGAUCGUAUCCAAUCAUGCUGGGUAUGAUGCUGCAUAUCUUUGAAAUGAGAGAAUUUUGACAGUUAACUUGAACUAUUCACACAUUUUAAAGAAUCAUGCUUUGAAAGAUCUUUUUUCUUAAAAUCUUUGAUAUAAGGAUAGCAUCGAAUCAAUUUGGUACCAAUUUUUGGGCGUAAUGAGGCUGCUUAUCCUUCCUCAUGAAUAACCGACUCCCGAACCCAUUUGUUUUUUAUUUUACGUGAACCAAAAUUGUCUUUAAUGGAACAAAACAUUUUAAUAGGUGGCCCAAUCACACCUAAACCGACAGACUGGUGGCGACUCCACAUUUUUGUUUUAAAAAGUCGAUUCUCAUUUUUCCUAACUCUAAAAAAGGGGUUCGACAGCUUGGCGACUCCACUGGGGAUUGAACAAAGAGGGUCAGGCCAUAAAAUUGAUUAUUUGUUUUCCUUUUGUCAAAGAAUUGAAAUUUUGUUUUGAAAAUCAUGAUUCUUUUAAUUGCAUUUGUUUGCAUGAUUAUUGUGGUUCGAGUCUUGUAAAAUAAUAUGACAUUACAUUGCAUGACCUCUGUGGUUAUACCUGUUAAGUGGGAGUAAGAAACUAUGCUUUUGUGAGGUUUUCACCUCCGCAUGAGCUAGUGGAUUGCUUCCGGGAUACAUCCGUACCUAUGAUUUCGUAAGGUUUUUAUCUCUGCAUGGUCAUAGGGAAAUGUAUUCCCCUGAACCGAACUCGAUUCAUAUGAGCCUAUAAUGGGUAAGAAUUGAGGAAUCUGUUAGUUCAGGUACCCUUUCUCUAAAACCAAACCACAUAUAGUGAAUCUUGAGAAUCCACCUUAAGUAGAACCUUGCCCAAAUUUAGUGGUCACCCAAAUAGGUACUUUAUUUGAUAUUUAUUUCACUUGUACUAACGUGUUUUGUUUUUGUUUUGUUUAUAACUGCAUUGCAUUACAUCAUCAUAGAAAGCAGGUGUUGAUUCAUAUUUGAUUGCUAAAUAGAAUAGUUUGUCAUAAGAAAAUGAAUUUCCUGAUAAAGUGGAUUAUAAUACGGUUGUCUAAAUAGACGGAAGAAGGCUGACAGUUCGUGGAGAAAAACAAGUCUCUACUUGAAGAUUCAAGCUGAUAAAGAUUGUUUGAAAGCCGUCGCGUCUCGAUUUUCUUAACAGAGCUAAUCAAUGUCAUGAGGAUAAUAAGUCGUGGCCUGGAUCAAGCAAAGAAGGGCUAGUGGAGGCAUUUAUUGGAGGCUUGCGAGAUUUGGAUUUCACGAAGAAAAGGGAUUGGUGUUUUCACCUGGAAUAUGAAAGCAAUGCCGUAUAUGUAAUCUGUUUUAUGUAAAGGAAUUUGUUUUCUAGAAAAGUUGUUCUAAUGGAAUUAAAUUCAAAAUCAACACCUCUCUUUCUUUUGCAUUCAUCCCAUGCAUUUGCAUUGCAUUGCAUCAUUUCAUCAUUUGCAUUAAAUUUUCAUAAAAGGGGUCCCUAAUUAGUUGAAAUCAUUUCAGUUAAUUUGGGAACCAAUAAAAACUUACCAAUCAAGCGUCGUUAUGGUACCCGUGCUAAGACAAAAGAUAUGGAUCAAAGGUUGGAAAGACUUGAACAACUUCAAAGAGAGAUGCAAGACCAGUUACAAAUACAGAUGCAAGAGCAAGUGGCGAAGAUUAGGCAAGAUAUGAGGGAUCUGGUGCUAGAGUCUCAAAGGAAUAUGUUGAACCAGUUGUCUCAAUUGCUGACAAAGGGGCUUGAAGAAAGGAAAAGUUUCAUGAUCAAUAUUGGGAAGGACAAUGAAGAGCCUCUCUAUUCUCCGGGUUUCACCCCGAUAAAUACUCAGCCGCAAGGUGUACCUAUUGUCAAAAUUCAGCAAUAUCAGGCCGGUACCUCUGUACUGGUAGAUUACCCGACAGGCUCAGACUCCAAGCCGGGGGGCAACCCAACCAAUCUUGAAGUUCUUGAUUUAGAUGAAAUGGAAAAAGCAGAGAGGGAAUUGCCAAGACAACUUGAGGAUCGGUAUAGGUGGUUGGAGGAAAAAUUGAAAGCAAUGGAGAAUGUUGACCUCUACUAUGGGAUUGAUGCUAAGGAUCUGAGUUUGGUUCCCGAUCUAGUACUCCCACCAAAAUUUAAAACUCCAGAGUUUGAAAAGUACAAUGGUGUAAUACCCCCUACCCGUAUUCAUUUCCGGAAUACGGUACGAGGUAUUACCGGAGUUUACGAAUUUAUUUAUUUAUUUAUUUUUUUAGGAAAACUCAAUAUAAUCCCUUUACAGAUAUCUAACCUUCCCUGCAAUAUUAUAUCGAGACCAAUCCAAAUCAACCAAUCCAAUUCAACAUAUUUUCAAGAUAAAUUCAUGCAUAUUUAUAAAAUAACGUCAUCACAUACCCAAAACCAGGUUUGUUAACCAUACCAAUGGCUAACUCUACAUUCAUUUCACAUAAUCAUUUACUUUAUUAGCUUAUACAUGCCACUGAUUUGCAAAAUAAAGUUUCUUUAUAUACCGAAGUCCUGAGGUUGAUAGUGUGAUGUGUCUCUGACCAAAUCCGACCUCUGAGCUCUUAACACCACAAAACAGGGAAAAAGGAAACGGGGUAAGCACUUUGUGCUUAGUAAGCUCAUGUAACAAGAAUUAUACUUACCUAAUAUUUUCAAUACAAUACAAUAAACAUUCCUAUAUCCAUUCAAUCCAUUAUUAUCCUAAUAUGCACAAACUCAACAUUCAAGUUAGUACAAUAAUUUCCAUGUACCAAUAAUAUAUACUAUGAUUGAUGUGCUCAUCAAUACCAUGAUUUCCAUUUCCUUGUUAUUUUUCCAUAUUUAUCCCAUUGAAUUUCUUGGAAUUUUCGAUGGAUUUUCAGAGAUACACUUUUAGUGUACAUUUCCGGGUCCGUUAAUUCAUAUUCAUGUGCGCACAUAUCCAUUUCAGAGAGCACACUCCUGCGAACCUCAACCGUGCAGCGGGAUUACCAGUCCAGGCUAAAUCCCCUGCAAUAUAAACUCAUAGAGUGUUGUCGGGAUUACCAGUCCAGUCUAAAUCCCCUGCAACGACAAUUACUCUAAUGAGCUUGGAUCUGAAUUACCAGUCCAGGCUAAAUUCAGACCCUAAUUCGGAUUACCCGUCCAGGCUAAAUCCAUUUUAGACAUAUUCUUCUGGAGGGCUAUAUCAGGAUAGGAUCACCCAUCCGGGCUAGAUCCUUUUUACCGUCAAUUCCUUUUCAGAGAUCCAUCGAAUUUUCCUUUCAUUCAACCGGGAUUUCUUCUCCUUUUAUCAAAUAUAUCAAUGUUUCAUAAAUUUUCAUACAAUGAACAUUCAAAUCAUACUCACAUAAAUAACAUACAAUCUCAAGCAUUUAAGAAUAUAAUUCAAGUUACAUGAACUUACCUUGAUACUUGUUUGUAAACAAAAAAAAAUCUACUAAUCUCGAACUUUUUCCUUUCCUCGAUCUAGCUUCGUAUUUGAAUCUUUUGGAUCUAAGUAAAUAAAUUUAAUUAUCAAUUUAAUACAUUUUAUGUUCAUAUGCAACAUUCUCUAUAAUUCAACUAUUAUUUAUAGUUCAUUCAAAGCUGUCUACUUGAGUCAUAGUCACUAAAUUAUUUUUAUCUUGAGAUACAGAACUCUAAAUUAGGAUCCGAUAAUUUUCCCUGAAACUAGACUCAUAUAUAUUCUUACCAUAAAAUUUUCAGAAUUUUUUGUUUAUCCAAUCAGUACAGUUUAUUCUUUAAAGUCACCCCUGUUCUGCUGUCGACAGUUCUGACCCUUCUUCACUAAAAAUUAAUUAUCUCUUCAUAAAGAAUUCAAAUGAUAUUAUCAUUUAUUUCUAUUAAAAAUAGACUCAUUAAGGAUUCUGUACAUAUAAAUUUAAGCCCCUAAUUGUUUUUAUUCAAUUUUUUAUGAAUUUUCAAAGUCAGAAUAGGGGAACCCGAAUUCAUUCUGCCUUGUCUCACAAAAUUUAUUAUAUCUAAAAAUUUACAAAUCCAUUGCUUACAAUAUUUCUUGUAUGAGAAACUAGACUCAAUAAGAUUUAAUUAAAUAUUUUUUUCACAUUCUAAUUCGAUUUCUACAAUUUAUGGUGAUUUUUCAAAGUUAGUCUACUGCUGCUGUCCAAACUGUUUUUGUGCAAGCUGUUUAUUACCAUUUUUGCCCUAAGCUUUUAAUAAAUGAUAAUUUCGUCCCUACUCAAUUAGCCUCUCAAUUGAACUGAUUUUUCUCAAUUAAUAUUUUAUUCUAUCACCUUAAACUAGUUUACAACCUUUAGGAAUCAGAAUUUCAGCAAUAGACUUUAAUUCCAAGUAUUUUCACAAUUAGGUCCUAAAAAUCAAUUUCUAUUGAAAUUACCUAAUAAAAUCAUCUCAUAAACAAAUUAAAGCUUUAAUUUCAUUCUAUUUCAUCAUAAAAUUACAGAAAUCAACCAUGGUGGCUUUCAAUUUCAUCCAUGAAAUCAAAAACUAAUGAAUUUAAUAGUAUGACCUAGUUGUAAAGGUCUUAGAAACACAAAAAUUGCAAGAAAAAGGCAAGGAUUAACUCACUUGGUGCAAAAAUUAUGAAAUACCAGCUUAUAGAACCGUCCUAUGGUGUUUUUAGCUGCUGGAAUUGAAGAGAAAUGAAGAGAAAUCUAGAUAUUUCCUAUUUAGUCCUAGCUUUAUUUAGUUAAUUUUGCAAUAUUCCAAUUUUACCCUUAAUUUAUCAAUUUUUCUGCUGAUUUCAUACCCUUGCCGUCCAGCCCAAAUAACUUUUGGGUCUAAUUCCAUUUUAAAUCCUUUCUCAUUAGACUCUUAAGCUAUUUAAUCAUUCUAGCAACUUUUACACCUAUUACAAUUUAGUCCUUUUCAUUUAAUUGACUACCCAAACAUUAAAAUUUCCUAACGAAAUUUUAGUACCACACUAAUAAAAUUUCAUAAAUAUUUAUAAAAUUAUAUUCGACUCGGUUUUACAAGAUAGAGGUCCCAACAUAUUGUUUUUACCCAAUUUCUUCAAUAAUUUCUUUUUCUAACUAACCACUAAAUCGGUAAAAUUUUUCUAUCAAUAUUUUCAUACGAUUUUCCUAUCAUAUCAAUUUUUGUACAAAAAUAUUGAAAUAAAUUUCUCUUUAAAUCGGAUUUGUGGUUACGAAACCACUAUUCCGAUAACCUUGAAUUUAGGCCAUUACAAAUGGGACUAGUUGUCCUGAAGCUCACGUCACAAUGUUCUGUCGAAGGAUGACAGGAUAUGUUAAUAAUGACCAACUAUUAAUCCAUUGCUUCCAAGACAGUCUGAUCGAGUCAGCAGCUAAAUGGUAUAAUCAAUUGAGUCGUGCUAAAAUCAAAUCAUGGAAAGACUUAGCACAAGCCUUCAUGAAGCAAUAUAGUCUUGUAACAGACAUGGCACCCGAUAGAAUUACCCUGCAAAACAUGGAAAAGAAGCAAAAUGAGAGCUUCAGGCAAUAUGCUCAAAGAUGGAGAGAGGUAGCAACACAAGUCCAACCGCUUCUUCUGGAAAAAGAGAUUACGAUGCUUUUCAUCAAUAUUUUGAAGGCCCCAUUCAUUGACUAUAUGUUGGUAAGUGCUACUCUAAGUUUUUCAGAUAUAGUAGUAUCUGGUGAGAUGAUUGAAAGCGCGGCAAGAAAUGGACAGAUAGAUGUGGGAGAGAGCGUUAAACGGUCGACCCUAAUGAUCAAGGAAAAUAAAGUGAACAUCGUGAGCAUGCCUUCUAAAUUGGUCAACAUAGACCUGUUGAGGGUUGUAAUCACUAGUUAUCAAGGGGAAUUGGAAUGACUUAUCCUAAGAGAGGUCUAGGGAAUAAAAGUUUCCAAACCCUUAUGUACUUGGGAGUGUUUUAAACAAUGGGACUAUGGAAGAGAUCCUUGUAUUUUUAGAGUUGAUUUAGAGUAAUAUUCAAAACACGCUUGUUGCUUUAAGCCUAGGGGCAAUAAGAAUCCUUUUGUGAAAUAGGCUUGUGUCCAAAAUUUUUUAUUUCAAUAAAAUGCAUUCUUUUUGAAUAAAUAUUCUUUCAUUCUUUAUAUAUUCUUUUGUUCUUUGGACUAUUUUUUUUACAAUAUGCUUUCAUUCUUCAUUCAUGAUCAUACCAUACAAAUAAUUAUCCUUAGAAUAAUUUAUUUUUUGGAAUUUUCCUUUGUACCUACAAUAGGUCCCCAGAUAUCAAUGACAUGAGCAACGCUGUAAUUGACUCCCUUUUGGGGUGAGAUAUGUGUUUAAGCGGAUCUCAGGACUUUGAAGAUGACAGAGAUUGUGAUUUAUUUUUUGAUUUGUUAAGGACGAUAGAAUAAGAUGAAAAGCAGAUCCCACUUUACGAAGGGUCAAUGGACACUGUGAGCAAGGGGCAAAGAUCGAAACCUGAGUCAUCACAAAGACAAAAUGAAUCAUCAUUGCGUUAUUCCAAGAAUUCGAAGAUGUUUUCGCAUGAUCAUGUCGAGAUAUACCUAAGAUAUUAGGAUCUGUGGAUGAUACAAAAUGUCUAUACAAUUCUAGAAGGACACAUGUUAAUGGUAGCCACGCUAAUCAUGAGGUUUGGGUAUUGAUAAUCCACCAUGGAAGGGGAUGGCAUUAGUUAAACUGUAUUUAGGGAGACAAGCCACAUUCAUUUCUUCACAGACUUUCUCUAUAUGGGGCAUGGAUGUUGUCAGGCCAUUCUCGUCUAAUACACAUUGAUUCAUCUUGGCAGUUAUUGAUUACUUCAUGAAGAGGGUGAAGGUUGCUUCAUAUGCCAAUAUUACAAGGUCAACAGUCAUCAAAUUCUAAAAAAAAAAGGUUGUUGACAAGUAAUGUCAGAAAGGAUCACUUUCAAAUACAACUGCACAAUGUCAAAAGUUUGCAGUCUGUUCAAAGAUCAGACACCAUAUUACCGUGUAAUAAAGGCAUCUAAAAAGAAAAACAAAAGUUCAAAAAUAGAAAAGAAAAGGGAAAGCAGUGAAGCCAUAAAACAAAGGUCAUAGUGAAAGACGACCGAGCCUUGUAAGGAUUGGUAUAAAGAAGUUAUCAUUUACCCUCUACACUUAUCGAACGGGGGCCGGGACCUUCACCGGGGCAACACAUUGAUUUAUAGGACUGAAACAGUUUUUGAAAACGAGAUUUCUUUUCUUCGAGUCUUGGCAGAACUAAAGUUAGAUGAAUCGGAAUGGGUCCAAUCCUGAUAUGAUCAGUCAAAUUUAAAGGAUAUCCGUCAUAGUGAGAUGAUGCGGGUUUAUGACAGAAAGGUUUAUCCUUGAGAAUUCCAUAAGGGGAGCUUGAUAUUGAAGAAGAUCUUUCCUAUACAAAAGGACUUCAAAGGAAGAAAUAUGCCAAGCUAAGAGAGAUCUUAUGUAAAGGAGGCCUAUUUUGGAGGAGCAUUGAUAUUGACCAAAAAGAUUUGCCUAGUUCGGAGUUCAAAAUGCUGUCAAAGAGUAUUCUACCUAAAAUGGGAGAGGCCAAGGUGAAAACCCGCAAAGGUCACCUUGAGAACUUAAAAAAUAAAAAUAAAAAAAGAGAAAGAAAUAAAAAGAGAAAAUAAAAAAGAAAGAAAGAAAGAAUCAAUCAAAAAAAAAGAAGAAAGAAAAGGAGAGGCCAAGGCGAAAACCCGCAAAGGGCGCUUUGAGACCAAAGGGGAUUUGAGUUGAAAACCCGAAAAAGGGCGGCUCAAAUUUGGAUCAAAAUGGGAUAUACAGUAGUCUUUCCAUACAUGAAUUAACAAUGAAGGAAGUAUGUUAUGUCUUGGGGAAUUGACAAAGUACUCCGGAUCCCCUAAACACAGAUUGAGCUCAGAAUGGUCCUCAAGAAGUUGGUAUAGAGAAGCUCAAGUUGCGAUAUCUGGAGCACCUAGCUUUUUAUUUUUACCCAUUUUUUUACUAUCUUUGAUUACCUGAUUCUUUUCAAGGCACAUCCAAGUAAAUUCCUUUCUUGAUUGCAUUUGCUUAUUUGUUUCGAGCUAUGUUCUCAAUUAAUUCCUUCCUUGUCCAUGGUUAUGAUCUUUUUUCAAGCAUUUUGCAUUGAAAUAACGAUUUCUGGGCUAAUAAUACUUUCAUAAAAGGAGUUUCGCAUAUUACUUUGGGAAGUUUCUAAAUAAUACAGGAGCUUGAAACUAGAUUAUUGUUUAAAACUCACCAAGCUUAAGGGUUGGAAAUAUUUAAGCCCAAAUUGAGAUUAUCUCUUUGGAUUUUCUAUCAAAGAUAUUAAUUGGUGUUAUAAUCCCGGCAAAGAACGAGUAAUGGGGUUAUUCUUGAGAAAAGAAAAAUGAUAUUCUGUAUUCUUACAGAUAUCAGACAUAUACGUCUGCUCAUUACACCCAGAGAAUGGUGUAACAGAUCCAAUUGAUUGAAGAUGAUGCAAAUCCUAUACCUCUGAGUUGCCACAGGAUGGAAGAAAUCAAAUGAUUAUUCCCCUGAGGUUGCAGUGGGAAGUUCAAACUUUAUGUCCCAGAAGUUACAGUGUAAGGGACUCUGAAAUUACAGUGGGGCAAGCUUGCUGAACAGAAUGUGAUUGUUUCUUUGGGUCUUCUGCAAAAAAUACCAGCCGAACAAGAUGGCAGCAUAAUAAAUUAGUGAUAGUGUCCUGAUGAACAACAAGCGAUGAUACCUUAAGCAUUUAAAAAAAAGAGAUCAUUCAAAAAAAAGAUCAUUUUCAUUCAUAUAUCAUUCAUAACACGUUAGGAGCAUUUGAUUCAUUUCGAUCAUAGCAUCCUAAUUAUUUGACACCAGCAUCACAUCUAAUUAGGAGUAUUUGAUUCAUUUUGAUCAUAGCAUCCUAAUUAUUUGACAUAAGCAUCACAUCUAGUUAGGAGCAUUUGAUUCAUUUCGAUCAUAGCAUCCUAAUUAUUUAACAUCAGCAUCACAUCUAGUUAGGAGUAUUUGAUCGUAGCAUCCUAAUUAUUUGGGCAUAAACAUGAUACAUGAAAUCGAGUCUACAAGACAAGUCCAAGAGGAUGGUGUAGUAACAUCGGUGAAGUCAGACUUAUAUCCCUGAAGUUACAGUAGAGUAGGUUGAAGUGACAAGUCUUAUCUCUCUGAAGUUGCAGUGGAGCAGGCUCAAUAUACAAGUCUUAUCUUCCUAAGGUAGCAAGGAAGCAGAUUGAAGGUUGAAGAUCUUAUCUCCCUAGGCAAUAGUUGGGCAGAUCGAAGAUGGCGAAUCUUAUCUCCAUGUAUCGGCAAUGGAGCAGAUUUUAGCCACCAGCCUUAUCUCUCUGAAGUAGCAAGGGAGCAGGUUGGCGAUUGUAGUCUUAUCUUCUUGAGGUAGCAAGGAAGCAGACUGAAGAUUGAAUAUCUUAUCUCCAUGUACCGGUAAUGGAGCAGAUUUUAGCCAUUGACCUUAUCUCUCUGAGGUAGCAAGAGAGCAGGUUGAAGAUGAUAGUCUUAUCCUCUUGAGGCAGCAAUGAAGCAGACUGAAGAUUGCAGGUCUUAUUUCCCUAAGCAGUAGUGGAAUAAACCAAAGACGACAAAUCUUAUCUCCAUGUACCGGCAAUAGAGUAGAUUUAAGUCCCCAGCCUUAUCUCUCUGAAGUUGCAGUGGGGUAGGCUCGAUAUACAAGUCUCUAUCUCCCUGAGGUUGUAGUGGAGCAGACUGAAGAUUGGAGGCAAAUCUUAUCUUCAUGUAUCGACAAUGGAGCAGAUUUAAGCCCCAAGCCUUAUCUCUCUGAGGUAGCAAGAGAGCAGGUUGAAUAUUGAAGUCUUAUCGUCCUGAGGUAGCAAGGAAGCAGACUGAAUAUUGGAGGCAAAUCUUAUCUCCAUGUAUCGACAAUAGAGCAGAUUUAAGCCUGAAGCCUUAUCUCUCUGAGGUAGCAAGAGAGCAGGUUAAAGAUUGAGUCUUAUCUUUCUGAAGUAGUAAGAAAGCAGACUAAAGAUUGAAGAUCUUAUCUCCCCUAAGCAGUAGUGGAGCAGAUCGAAGAUGGCGAAUCUUAUCUCCAUGUACUGGCAAUGGAGCAGAUUUUAGCCACUAGCCUUAUCUCUCUGAAGUAGCAAGAGAGCAGGUUGGCGAUUUUAGUCUUAUCUUCCUGAGGUACCAAGGAAGUAGACUGAAGACUAAAGAUCUAUUUCCCUAAAGCAGUUGCGGAGCAGAUUGAGAAUAGUAAAUCUUAUCUCCAUGUAUUGGCAAUGGAACAGAUUUAAGUCAAUAGUCCUAUUUCCUUACAGUCAGAAUGCAGCAAAACCAAGCAAAAUUGGCCCUAUUUGAAGUCUUUGCUCUAUUCUCAUUACACGACAAUGAGCAAAGAGGGGCAGCUGUAAUGGCUGAUUUUUUGCCGGGGCCCAUACAAAAACCAAAAAACAAAAUAAACCAAAAUUAAAGUCCAAUGUCCAUAAUACCCAAGCCCAAAAUCCAAAAUAACAAGACCCAACAAAAUACGGCCCAAAUGACCCAAAAAAAACCCCCAAACCCUAGCCUGCUGCCUACUGCAGACACCAGCAGCUUCCGCCCAGCCUCCAUGCUCCACAACGGCCUCCACGCUCACGAACGGUUUCCCCACGCCAUGCACACCUACAACAAACGAAAACCACAACAGCAAAUGACGGCAAACCGAAUUACAGCAAUCAAAUAGAGGAGAAAAAUGGAAAAAUUGUAAAUAUUAUAUUUCAUUUUUGGCUAUAAAAAGCCAUUGUAAAUAUUGAUUUUGAGGAUACACGGAUUGAAAAAAAAACAAUUAGAAUUGAAAAGGUGAUUCAAGUUUUCAGUUUUUUUUUUGUUUUCAGAUUUCGUUUUUUUAAUAUUUUUUCUCUUCUAUUCUUUUCUCUCAUAUUUCACAUGAAGAGAAUAAAGGAAAAGAGUACUUGCCUUUGGCCUUUGAUCGCAUCUCUUUUGCUCAUGGUCGGCCACCAAGUUUGAUGGUGGUUCAGCAGUGACUUUGAGAGCCCUAACAUUAGAGAUUUGAUUUGCUGUUUGCAAAAAUGGCAGUGCCAUUCAUUUUUUUUUCUUUAAUUUUGAUUGCAAAGAAACAACACCGUUUCAAGGGGAAAUGUUUGGUUAUUUGCUGCAGAUGGUUAAUUUAUGCGAUUAAUCCCUCCCCUUCGCGUUGAUUUUCAAUUGGAUCCUAUUUGUGUUUUAUUUGUUUUUUAAAUUUUUCCUAAAAUCUGUGUGCUAUUUUAAUUUAGCCCGCGUUUAAGCUUUAUGUUUUCGGACCAGGAUUAUUCCCAACUUUAGUCCCUUAGCAUUUACGCGCAUUAUGCAUUAGCCCUCUGUUUAAUUUCAAAAUUUAUAAAUUAUCCCCUUUCAUUUUAAAUUUAUUUCAAUUAGGAUUUUUGUUUAUAUGAUUUAUUAUUUUUGAGGAGACUCAUUUAAUAUAUUUUUUAUGUGUCAGAAUUGUUUUAAUAAUUUUUAUUUUUGUUUAAAUAAAUCUUUGUUUUGAAAUCUUUAUACUAUUUUACAGUACGUAUAGAAUUUGAUUUAAAUAUUCAUGUUGAGCUUUCUAUUUGAAAUGCUUAUUAUUUUAAAAUUUACUUAAUAUUCUUAUAUAUGUGUUAAUUUAAAAAAAAAGAAAUAAUUUUGUUUUAUUUUUAUUUGUACAGUUAUUUUGGAGUUGAUUUUAUUAUAUUAUUUUUAACAUUUUUUUAUAAUUUUUCGACUAAAUAUUUCCGGAUAUGUUUGUACAUAUAUUAUUUUAAUGGGCUUUUUUUUAUUUUAAAAUACUUAUUGUUUUAAAAUUCAUUAAAUUAUGUGUGUAAAGUUACUUGGGAGCUGCAUUUUUUUUUGUGUUAAUAAAAUUAUUAUUUUGAAAUUCCUCAUUAUGUCAUAUUAUUUUAAUAUAUUAUGUAGUAUCUUAUUUUAAGUGUUUUUAUGUAUAACGGUACGUAUAUAAUUUAUAGAUUAACUUAAUUUUAUAUAUAUUAUUAAUCUCAUGCUAUUUUUUACAAACAAUUAUUCCUAAAUCUAUUUAUGUAUGCAUGUUUUUUUAAUCACUAUACCUUAUCAUGUAUUUUUAUUAUUCUUUCAUAUUUUAUAUAUUAUUUAAGUUAUCAUGUACAUAGUCAAUUUUUGAAUGAAUUUGUGUUUAAAAUAGUUUGCAUAUAAUUCAAUUCAAACUUUUAUUCUAUAAUAUCUAUUUCAAUAAUUAUAUAUCCCUAGUCUUUGUGCAAAUUUGUCAACUUAUCUAUUAUAUAUAUUAUGUAUUCAUUAAUUCAUCAUUAUUUUGAAAAUGUCUUAUACCACAAUUGACUUCUAAUUUCCAUUUUAUUUUGUACAUGUUUUGUGGAUCGUUUCAUAUUGUGCCAUAUUUAUUGUUGUUGUAUAUUAUUUAGUCAUUGUUUUAUCAAUUUUUCUCCAUCCAUUAUUAAGAAUUUGGUUACAUUUCACUUAGAAUAAUUGUACUUAAUUGUUGGAUUUAUUAGUUGUGAUUUAUUGUACUUUAUGUGUGCACAUUAUUUCGUGUUUAUUCAUUUCUUUUUACGAAUGUUUUCUUGUAAUACCUCAAAUGUUCCAUCUCAUUUUAAAACAAAUAAAUGUGUUUUGAGCGAAUUUUCAAUUUUCCUUAUUAUUCAAAAAUUCUGAAAUAAGGCAAUAUCCAAUAUUUGGGUAUUUGAGAAAUCGUGCUCAAUCGUGCUGGGUAUGAUUUUUUCGGUGAACUAAAUAUUUGGAUAACCUUUUAUAAUUUUAGUGUACGAGUUUUUGAAAGUCAAAAGUCGAUCGUAUUUUUGAAGGUAUAAAGGAUCGUAUCCAAUCAUGCUGGGUAUGAUGCUGCAUAUCUUUGAAAUGAGAGAAUUUUGACAGUUAACUUGAACUAUUCACACAUUUUAAAGAAUCAUGCUUUGAAAGAUCUUUUUUCUUAAAAUCUUUGAUAUAAGGAUAGCAUCGAAUCAAUUUGGUACCAAUUUUUGGGCGUAAUGAGGCUGCUUAUCCUUCCUCAUGAAUAACCGACUCCCGAACCCAUUUGUUUUUUAUUUUACGUGAACCAAAAUUGUCUUUAAUGGAACAAAACAUUUUAAUAGGUGGCCCAAUCACACCUAAACCGACAGACUGGUGGCGACUCCACAUUUUUGUUUUAAAAAGUCGAUUCUCAUUUUUCCUAACUCUAAAAAAGGGGUUCGACAGCUUGGCGACUCCACUGGGGAUUGAACAAAGAGGGUCAGGCCAUAAAAUUGAUUAUUUGUUUUCCUUUUGUCAAAGAAUUGAAAUUUUGUCUUGAAAAUCAUGAUUCUUUUAAUUGCAUUUGUUUGCAUGAUUAUUGUGGUUCGAGUCUUGUAAAAUAAUAUGACAUUACAUUGCAUGACCUCUGUGGUUAUACCUGUUAAGUGGGAGUAAGAAACUAUGCUUUUGUGAGGUUUUCACCUCCGCAUGAGCUAGUGGAUUGCUUCCGGGAUACAUCCGUACCUAUGAUUUCGUAAGGUUUUUAUCUCUGCAUGGUCAUAGGGAAAUGUAUUCCCCUGAACCGAACUCGAUUCAUAUGAGCCUAUAAUGGGUAAGAAUUGAGGAAUCUGCUAGUUCAGGUACCCUUUCUCUAAAACCAAACCACAUAUAGUGAAUCUUGAGAAUCCACCUUAAGUAGAACCUUGCCCAAAUUUAGUGGUCACCCAAAUAGGUACUUUAUUUGAUAUUUAUUUCACUUGUACUAACGUGUUUUGUUUUUUUUUUGUUUAUAACUGCAUUGCAUUACAUCAUCAUAGAAAGCAGGUGUUGAUUCAUAUUUGAUUGCUAAAUAGAAUAGUUUGUCAUAAGAAAAUGAAUUUCCUGAUAAAGUGGAUUAUAAUACGGUUGUCUAAAUAGACGGAAGAAGGCUGACAGUUCGUGGAGAAAAACAAGUCUCUACUUGAAGAUUCAAGCUGAUAAAGAUUGUUUGAAAGCCGUCGCGUCUCGAUUUUCUUAACAGAGCUAAUCAAUGUCAUGAGGAUAAUAAGUCGUGGCCUGGAUCAAGCAAAGAAGGGCUAGUGGAGGCAUUUAUUGGAGGCUUGCGAGAUUUGGAUUUCACGAAGAAAAGGGAUUGGUGUUUUCACCUGGAAUAUGAAAGCAAUGCCGUAUAUGUAAUCUGUUUUAUGUAAAGGAAUUUGUUUUCUAGAAAAGUUGUUCUAAUGGAAUUAAAUUCAAAAUCAACACCUCUCUUUCUUUUGCAUUCAUCCCAUGCAUUUGCAUUGCAUUGCAUCAUUUCAUCAUUUGCAUUAAAUUUUCAUAAAAGGGGUCCCUAAUUAGUUGAAAUCAUUUCAGUUAAUCUGGGAACCAAUAAAAACUUACCAAUCAAGCGUCGUUACGGUACCUGUGCUAAGACAAAAGAUAUGGAUCAAAGGUUGAAAAGACUUGAACAACUUCAAAGAGAGAUGCAAGACCAGUUACAAAUACAGAUGCAAGAGCAAGUGGCGAAGAUUAGGCAAGAUAUGAGGGAUCUGGUGCUAGAGUCUCAAAGGAAUAUGUUGAACCAGUUGUCUCAAUUGCUGACAAAGGGGCUUGAAGAAAGGAAAAGUUUCAUGAUCAAUAUUGGGAAGGACAAUGAGGAGCCUCUCUAUUCUCCGGGUUUCACCCCGAUAAAUACUCAGCCGCAAGGUGUACCUAUUGUCAAAAUUCAGCAAUAUCAGGCCGGUACCUCUGCACUGGUAGAUUACCCGACAGGCUCAGACUCCAAGCCGGGGGGCAACCCAACCAAUCUUGAAGUUCUUGAUUUAGAUGAAAUGGAAAAAGCAGAGAGGGAAUUGCCAAGACAACUUGAGGAUCGGUAUAGGUGGUUGGAGGAAAAAUUGAAAGCAAUGGAGAAUGUUGACCUCUACUAUGGGAUUGAUGCUAAGGAUCUGAGUUUGGUUCCCGAUCUAGUACUCCCACCAAAAUUUAAAACUCCAGAGUUUGAAAAGUACAAUGGUGUAAUACCCCCUACCCGUAUUCAUUGCCGGAAUACGGUACGAGGUAUUACCGGAGUUUACGAAUUUAUUUAUUUAUUUUUUUAGGAAAACUCAAUAUAAUCCCUUUACAGAUAUCUAACCUUCCCUGCAAUAUUAUAUCGAGACCAAUCCAAAUCAACCAAUCCAAUUCAACAUAUUUUCAAGAUAAAUUCAUGCAUAUUUAUAAAAUAACGUCAUCACAUACCCAAAACCAGGUUUGUUAACCAUACCAAUGGCUAACUCUACAUUCAUUUCACAGAAUCAUUUACUUUAUUAGCUUAUACAUGCCACUGAUUUGCAAAAUAAAGUUUCUUUAUAUACCGAAGUCCUGAGGUUGAUAGUGUGAUGUGUCUCUGACCAAAUCCGACCUCCGAGCUCUUAACACCACAAAACAGGGAAAAAGGAAACGGGGUAAGCACUUUGUGCUUAGUAAGCUCAUGUAACAAGAAUUAUACUUACCUAAUAUUUUCAAUACAAUACAAUAAACAUUCCUAUAUCCAUUCAAUCCAUUAUUAUCCUAAUAUGCACAAUCCAACAUUCAAGUUAGUACAAUAAUUUCCAUGUACCAAUAAUAUAUACUAUGAUUGAUGUGCUCAUCAAUACCAUGAUUUCCAUUUCCUUGUUAUUUUUCCAUAUUUAUCCCAUUGAAUUUCUUGGAAUUUUCGAUGGAUUUUCAGAGAUACACUUUUAGUGUACAUUUCCGGGUCCGUUAAUUCAUAUUCAUGUGCGCACAUAUCCAUUUCAGAGAGCACACUCCUGCGAACCUCAACCGUGCAGCGGGAUUACCAGUCCAGGCUAAAUCCCCUGCAAUAUAAACUCAUAGAGUGUUGUCGGGAUUACCAGUCCAGUCUAAAUCCCCUGCAACGACAAUUACUCUAAUGAGCUUGGAUCUGAAUUACCAGUCCAGGCUAAAUUCAGACCCCAAUUCGGAUUACCCGUCCAGGCUAAAUCCAUUUUACACAUAUUCUUCUGGAGGGCUAUAUCAGGAUAGGAUCACCCAUCCGGGCUAGAUCCUUUUUACCGUCAAUUCCUUUUCAGAGAUCCAUCGAAUUUUCCUUUCAUUCAACCGGGAUUUCUUCUCCUUUUAUCAAAUAUAUCAAUGUUUCAUAAAUUUUCAUACAAUGAACAUUCAAAUCAUACUCACAUAAAUAACAUACAAUCUCAAGCAUUUAAGAAUAUAAUUCAAGUUACAUGAACUUACCUUGAUACUUGUUUGUAAACAAAAAAAAAUCUACUAAUCUCGAACUUUUUCCUUUCCUCGAUCUAGCUUCGUAUUUGAAUCUUCUGGAUCUAAGUAAAUAAAUUUAAUUAUCAAUUUAAUACAUUUCAUGUUCAUAUGCAACAUUCUCUAUAAUUCAACUAUUAUUUAUAGUUCAUUCAAAGCUGUCUACUUGAGUCAUAGUCACUAAAUUAUUUUUAUCUUGAGAUACAGAACUCAAAAUUAGGAUCCGAUAAUUUUCCCUGAAACUAGACUCAUAUAUAUUCUUACCAUAAAAUUUUCAGAAUUUUUUGUUUAUCCAAUCAGUACAGUUUAUUCUUUAAAGUCACCCCUGUUCUGCUGUCGACAGUUCUGACCCUUCUUCACUAAAAAUUAAUUAUCUCUUCAUAAAGAAUUCAAAUGAUGUUAUCAUUUGUUUCUAUUAAAAAUAGACUCAUUAAGGAUUCUGUACAUAUAAAUUUAAGUCCCUAAUUGUUUUUCUUCAAUUUUUUAUGAAUUUUCAAAGUCAGAAUAGGGGAACCCGAAUUCAUUCUGCCUUGUCUCACAAAAUUUAUUAUAUCUAAAAAUUUACAAAUCCAUUGCUUAUAAUAUUUCUUGUAUGAGAAACUAGACUCAAUAAGCUUUAAUUAAAUAUUUUUUUCAUAUUCUAAUUCGAAUUUAUGGUGAUUUUUCAAAGUUAGUCUACUGCUGCUGUCCAAACUGUUUUUGUGCAAGCUGUUUAUUACCAUUUUUUCCCUAAGCUUUUAAUAAAUGAUAAUUUCGUCCCUACUCAAUUAGCCUCUCAAUUGAACUGAUUUUUCUCAAUUAAUAUUUUAUUCUAUCACCUUAAACUAGUUUACAACCUUUAGGAAUCAGAAUUUCAGCAAUAGACUUUAAUUCCAAGUAUUUUCACAAUUAGGUCCUAAAAAUCAAUUUCUAUUGAAAUUACCUAAUAAAAUCAUCUCAUAAACAAAUUAAAGCUUUAAUUUCAUUCUAUUUCAUCAUAAAAUUACAGAAAUCAACCAUGGUGGCUUUCAAUUUCAUCCAUGAAAUCAAAAACUAAUGAAUUUAAUAGUAUGACCUAGUUGUAAAGGUCUUAGAAACACAAAAAUUACAAGAAAAAGUCAAGGAUUAACUCACUUGGUGCAAAAAUUAUGAAAUACCAGCUUAUAGAACCGUCCUAUGGUGUUUUUAGCUGCUGGAAUUGAAGAGAAAUGAAGAGAAAUCUAGAUAUUUCCUAUUUAGUCCUAGCUUUAUUUAGUUAAUUUUGCAAUAUUCCAAUUUUACCCUUAAUUUAUCAAUUUUUCUGCUGAUUUCAUACCCUUGCCGUCCAGCCCAAAUAACUUUUGGGUCUAAUUCCCUUUUAAAUCCUUUCUCAUUAGACUCUUAAGCUAUUUAAUCAUUCUAGCAACUUUUACACCUAUUACAAUUUAGUCCUUUUCAUUUAAUUGACUACCCAAACAUUAAAAUUUCCUAACGAAAUUUUAGUACCACACUAAUAAAAUUUCAUAAAUAUUUAUAAAAUUAUAUUCGACUCGGUUUUACAAGAUAGAGGUCCCAACAUAUUGUUUUUACCCAAUUUCUUCAAUAAUUUCUUUUUCUAACUAACCACUAAAUCGGUAAAAUUUUUCUAUCAAUAUUUUCAUACGAUUUUCCUAUCAUAUCAAUUUUCGUGCAAAAAUAUUGAAAUAAAUUUCUCUUUAAAUCGGAUUUGUGGUUACGAAACCACUAUUCUAAUAACCUUGAAUUUAGGCCAUUACAAAUGGGACUAGUUGUCCUGAAGCUCACGUCACAAUGUUCUGUCGAAGGAUGACAGGAUAUGUUAAUAAUGACCAACUAUUAAUCCAUUGCUUCCAAGACAGUCUGAUCGAGUCAGCAGCUAAAUGGUAUAAUCAAUUGAGUCGUGCUAAAAUCAAAUCAUGGAAAGACUUAGCACAAGCCUUCAUGAAGCAGUAUAGUCUUGUAACAGACAUGGCACCCGAUAGAAUUACCCUGCAAAAUAUGGAAAAGAAGCAAAAUGAGAGCUUCAGGCAAUAUGCUCAAAGAUGGAGAGAGGUAGCAACACAAGUCCAACCGCUUCUUCUGGAAAAAGAGAUUACGAUGCUUUUCAUCAAUAUUUUGAAGGCCCCAUUCAUUGACUAUAUGUUGGUAAGUGCUACUCUAAGUUUUUCAGAUAUAGUAGUAUCUGGUGAGAUGAUUGAAAGCGCGGCAAGAAAUGGACAGAUAGAUGUGGGAGAGAGCGUUAAACGGUCGACCCUAAUGAUCAAGGAAAAUAAAGUGAACAUCGUGAGCAUGCCUUCUAAAUUGGUCAACAUAGACCUGUUGAGGGUUGUAAUCACUAGUUAUCAAGGGGAAUUGGAAUGACUUAUCCAAAGAGAGGUCCAGGGAAUAAAAGUUUCCAAACCCUUAUGUACUUGGGAGUGUUUUAAACAAUGGGACUAUGGAAGAGAUCCUUGUAUUUUUAGAGUUGAUUUAGAGUAAUAUUCAAAACACGCUUGUUGCUUUAAGCCUAGGGGCAAUAAGAAUCCUUUUGUGAAAUAGGCUUGUGUCCAAAAUUUUUUAUUUCAAUAAAAUGCAUUAUUUUUGAAUAAAUAUUCUUUCAUUCUUUAUAUAUUCUUUUGUUCUUUGGACUAUUUUUUUUACAAUAUGCUUUCAUUCUUCAUUCAUGAUCAUACCAUACAAAUAAUUAUCCUUAGAAUAAUUUAUUUUUUGGAAUUUUCCUUUGUACCUACAAUAGGUCCCCAGAUAUCAAUGACAUGAGCAACGCUGUAACUGACUCCCUUUUGGGGUGAGAUAUGUGUUUAAGCGGAUCUCAGGACUUUGAAGAUGACAGAGAUUGUGAUUUAUUUUUUGAUUUGUUAAGGACGAUAGAAUAAGAUGAAAAGCAGAUCCCACUUUACGAAGGGUCAAUGGACACUGUGAGCAAGGGGCAAAGAUCGAAACCUGAGUCAUCACAAAGACAAAAUAAAUCAUCAUUGCGUUAUUCCAAGAAUUCGAAGAUGUUUUCGCAUGAUCAUGUCGAGAUAUACCUAAGAUAUUAGGAUCUGUGGAUGAUACAAAAUGUCUAUACAAUUCUAGAAGGACACAUGUUAAUGGUAGCCACGCUAAUCAUGAGGUUUGGGUAUUGAUAAUCCACCAUGGAAGGGGAUGGCAUUAGUUAAACUGUAUUUAGGGAGACAAGCCACAUUCAUUUCUUCACAGACUUUCUCUAUAUGGGGCAUGGAUGUUGUCAGGCCAUUCUCGUCUAAUACACAUUGAUUCAUCUUGGCAGUUAUUGAUUACUUCAUGAAGAGGGUGAAGGUUGCUUCAUAUGCCAAUAUUACAAGGUCAACAGUCAUCAAAUUCUAAAAAAAAAAAGGUUGUUGACAAGUAAUGUCAGAAAGGAUCACUUUCAAAUACAACUGCACAAUGUCAAAAGUUUGCAGUCUGUUCAAAGAUCAGACACCAUAUUACCGUGUAAUAAAGGCAUCUAAAAAGAAAAACAAAAGUUCAAAAAUAGAAAAGAAAAGGGAAAGCAGUGAAGCCAUAAAACAAAGGUCAUAGUGAAAGACGACCGAGCCUUGUAAGGAUUGGUAUAAAGAAGUUAUCAUUUACCCUCUACACUUAUCGAACGGGGGCCGGGACCUUCACCGGGGCAACACAUUGAUUUAUAGGACUGAAACAGUUUUUGAAAACGAGAUUUCUUUUCUUCGAGUCUUGGCAGAACUAAAGUUAGAUGAAUCGGAAUGGGUCCAAUCCUGAUAUGAUCAGUCAAAUUUAAAGGAUAUCCGUCAUAGUGAGAUGAUGCGGGUUUAUGACAGAAAGGUUUAUCCUUGAGAAUUCCAUAAGGGGAGCUUGAUAUUGAAGAAGAUCUUUCCUAUACAAAAGGACUUCAAAGGAAGAAAUAUGCCAAGCUAAGAGAGAUCUUAUGUAAAGGAGGCCUAUUUUGGAGGAGCAUUGAUAUUGACCAAAAAGAUUUGCCUAGUUCGGAGUUCAAAAUGCUGUCAAAGAGUAUUCUACCUAAAAUGGGAGAGGCCAAGGUGAAAACCCGCAAAGGUCACCUUGAGAACUUAAAAAAUAAAAAUAAAAAAAGAGAAAGAAAUAAAAAGAGAAAAUAAAAAAGAAAGAAAGAAAGAAUCAAUCAAAAAAAAAAGAAGAAAGAAAAGGAGAGGCCAAGGCGAAAACCCGCAAAGGGCGCUUUGAGACCAAAGGGGAUUUGAGUUGAAAACCCGAAAAAGGGCGGCUCAAAUUUGGAUCAAAAUGGGAUAUACAGUAGUCUUUCCAUACAUGAAUUAACAAUGAAGGAAGUAUGUUAUGUCUUGGGGAAUUGACAAAGUACUCCGGAUCCCCUAAACACAGAUUGAGCUCAGAAUGGUCCUCAAGAAGUUGGUAUAGAGAAGCUCAAGUUGCGAUAUCUGGAGCACCUAGCUUUUUAUUUUUACCCAUUUUUUUACUAUCUUUGAUUACCUGAUUCUUUUCAAGGCACAUCCAAGUAAAUUCCUUUCUUGAUUGCAUUUGCUUAUUUGUUUCGAGCUAUGUUCUCAAUUAAUUCCUUCCUUGUCCAUGGUUAUGAUCUUUUUUCAAGCAUUUUGCAUUGAAAUAACGAUUUCUGGGCUAAUAAUACUUUCAUAAAAGGAGUUUCGCAUAUUACUUUGGGAAGUUUCUAAAUAAUACAGGAGCUUGAAACUAGAUUAUUGUUUAAAACUCACCAAGCUUAAGGGUUGGAAAUAUUUAAGCCCAAAUUGAGAUUAUCUCUUUGGAUUUUCUAUCAAAGAUAUUAAUUGGUGUUAUAAUCCCGGCAAAGAACGAGUAAUGGGGUUAUUCUUGAGAAAAGAAAAAUGAUAUUCUAUAUUCCUACAGAUAUCAGACAUAUACGUCUGCUCAUUACACCCAGAGAAUGGUGUAACAGAUUCAAUUGAUUGAAGAUGAUGCAAAUCCUAUACCUCUGAGUUGCCACAGGAUGGAAGAAAUCAAAUGAUUAUUCCCCUGAGGUUGCAGUGGGAAGUUCAAACUUUAUGUCCCAGAAGUUACAGUGUAAGGGACUCUGAAAUUACAGUGGGGCAAGCUUGCUGAACAGAAUGUGAUUGUUUCUUUGGGUCUUCUGCAAAAAAUACCAGCCAAACAAGAUGGCAGCAUAAUAAAUUAGUGAUAGUGUUCUGAUGAACAACAAGCGAUGAUACCUUAAGCAUUUAAAAAAAAAGAGAUCAUUCAAAAAAAAGAUCAUUUUCAUUCAUAUAUCAUUCAUAACACGUUAGGAGCAUUUGAUUCAUUUCGAUCAUAGCAUCCUAAUUAUUUGACACCAGCAUCACAUCUAAUUAGGAGUAUUUGAUUCAUUUUGAUCAUAGCAUCCUAAUUAUUUGACAUAAGCAUCACAUCUAGUUAGGAGCAUUUGAUUCAUUUCGAUCAUAGCAUCCUAAUUAUUUAACAUCAGCAUCACAUCUAGUUAGGAGUAUUUGAUCGUAGCAUCCUAAUUAUUUGGGCAUAAACAUGAUACAUGAAAUCGAGUCUACAAGACAAGUCCAAGAGGAUGGUGUAGUAACAUCGGUGAAGUCAGACUUAUAUCCCUGAAGUUACAGUAGAGUAGGUUGAAGUGACAAGUCUUAUCUCUCUGAAGUUGCAGUGGAGCAGGCUCAAUAUACAAGUCUUAUCUUCCUAAGGUAGCAAGGAAGCAGAUUGAAGGUUGAAGAUCUUAUCUCCCUAGGAAAUAGUUGGGCAGAUCAAAGAUGGCGAAUCUUAUCUCCAUGUAUCGGCAAUGGAGCAGAUUUUAGCCACCAGCCUUAUCUUUCUGAAGUAGCAAGGGAGCAGGUUGGCGAUUGUAGUCUUAUCUUCUUGAGGUAGCAAGGAAGCAGACUGAAGAUUGAAUAUCUUAUCUCCAUGUACCGGUAAUGGAGCAGAUUUUAGCCAUUGACCUUAUCUCUCUGAGGUAGCAAGAGAGCAGGUUGAAGAUGAUAGUCUUAUCCUCUUGAGGCAGCAAGGAAGCAGACUGAAGAUUGCAGGUCUUAUUUCCCUAAGCAGUAGUGGAAUAAACCAAAGACGACAAAUCUUAUCUCCAUGUACCGGCAAUAGAGUAGAUUUAAGUCCCCAGCCUUAUCUCUCUGAAGUUGCAGUGGGGUAGGCUCGAUAUACAAGUCUCUAUCUCCCUGAGGUUGUAGUGGAGCAGACUGAAGAUUGGAGGCAAAUCUUAUCUUCAUGUAUCGACAAUGGAGCAGAUUUAAGCCCCAAGCCUUAUCUCUCUGAGGUAGCAAGAGAGCAGGUUGAAGAUUGAAGUCUUAUCGUCCUGAGGUAGCAAGGAAGCAGACUGAAUAUUGGAGGCAAAUCUUAUCUCCAUGUAUCGACAAUAGAGCAGAUUUAAGCCUGAAGCCUUAUCUCUCUGAGGUAGCAAGAGAGCAGGUUAAAGAUUGAGUCUUAUCUUUCUGAAGUAGUAAGAAAGCAGACUAAAGAUUGAAGAUCUUAUCUCCCCUAAGCAGUAGUGGAGCAGAUCGAAGAUGGCGAAUCUUAUCUCCAUGUACUGGCAAUGGAGCAGAUUUUAGCCACUAGCCUUAUCUCUCUGAAGUAGCAAGAGAGCAGGUUGGCGAUUUUAGUCUUAUCUUCCUGAGGUACCAAGGAAGUAGACUGAAGACUAAAGAUCUAUUUCCCUAAAGCAGUUGCGGAGCAGAUUGAGAAUAGCAAAUCUUAUCUCCAUGUAUUGGCAAUGGAACAGAUUUAAGUCAAUAGUCCUAUUUCCUUACAGUCAGAAUGCAGCAAAACCAAGCAAAAUUGGCCCUAUUUGAAGUCUUUGCUCUACUCUCAUUACACGACAAUGAGCAAAGAGGGGCAGCUGUAAUGGCUGAUUUUUUGCCGGGGCCCAUACAAAAACCAAAAAACAAAAUAAACCAAAAUUAAAGUCCAAUGUCCAUAAUACCCAAGCCCAAAAUCCAAAAUAACAAGACUCAACAAAAUAUGGCCCAAAUGACCCAAAAAAAACCCCCAAACCCUAGCCUGCUGCCUAGUGCAGACACCAGCAGCUUCCGCCCAGCCUCCAUGCUCCACAACGGCCUCCACGCUCACGAACGGUUUCCCCACGCCAUGCACACCUACAACAAACGAAAACCACAACAGCAAAUGACGGCAAACCGAAUUACAGCAAUCAAAUAGAGGAGAAAAAGGGAAAAAUUGUAAAUAUUAUAUUUCAUUUUUGGCUAUAAAAAGCCAUUGUAAAUAUUGAUUUUGAGGAUACACGGAUUGAAAAAAAAACAAUUAGAAUUGAAAAGGUGAUUCAAGUUUUCAGUUUUUUUUUUUAGUUUUCAGAUUUCGUUUUUUUAAUAUUUUUUCUCUUCUCUUCUUUUCUCUCAUAUUUCACAUGAAGAGAAUAAAGGAAAAGAGUACUUGCCUUUGGCCUUUGAUCGCAUCUCUUUUGCUCAUGGUCGGCCACCAAGUUUGAUGGUGGUUCAGCAGUGACUUUGAGAGCCCUAACAUUAGAGAUUUGAUUUGCUGUUUGCAAAAAUGGCAGUGCCAUUCAGUUUUUUUUCUUUAAUUUUGAUUGCAAAGAAACAACACCGUUUCAAGGGGAAAUGUUUGGUUAUUUGCUGCAGAUGGUUAAUUUAUGCGAUUAAUCCCUCCCCUUCGCGUUGAUUUUCAAUUGGAUCCUAUUUGUGUUUUAUUUGUUUUUUAAAUUUUUCCUAAAAUCUGUGUGCUAUUUCAAUUUAGCCCGCGUUUAAGCUUUAUGUUUUGGGACCAGGAUUAUUCCCAACUUUAGUCCCUUAGCAUUUACGCGCAUUAUGCAUUAGCCCUCUGUUUAAUUUCAAAAUUUAUAAAUUAUCCCCUUUCAUUUUAAAUUUAUUUCAAUUAGGAUUUUUGUUUAUAUGAUUUAUUAUUUUUGAGGAGACUCAUUUAAUAUAUUUUUUAUGUGUCAGAAUUGUUUUAAUAAUUUUUAUUUUUGUUUAAAUAAAUCUUUGUUUUGAAAUCUUUAUACUAUUUUACAGUACGUAUAGAAUUUGAUUUAAAUAUUCAUGUUGAGCUUUCUAUUUGAAAUGCUUAUUAUUUUAAAAUUUACUUAAUAUUCUUAUAUAUGUGUUAAUUUAAAAAAAAAGAAAUAAUUUUGUUUUAUUUUUAUUUGUACAGUUAUUUUGGAGUUGAUUUUAUUAUAUUAUUUUUAACAUUUUUUUAUAAUUUUUCGACUAAAUAUUUCCGGAUAUGUUUGUACAUAUAUUAUUUUAAUGGGCUUUUUUUUAUUUUAAAAUACUUAUUGUUUUAAAAUUCAUUAAAUUAUGUGUGUAAAGUUACUUGGGAGCUGCAUUUUUUUUUGUGUUAAUAAAAUUAUUAUUUUGAAAUUCCUCAUUAUGUCAUAUUAUUUUAAUAUAUUAUGUAGUAUCUUAUUUUAAGUGUUUUUAUGUAUAACGGUACGUAUAUAAUUUAUAGAUUAACUUAAUUUUAUAUAUAUUAUUAAUCUCAUGCUAUUUUUUACAAACAAUUAUUCCUAAAUCUAUUUAUGUAUGCAUGUUUUUUUAAUCACUAUACCUUAUCAUGUAUUUUUAUUAUUCUUUCAUAUUUUAUAUAUUAUUUAAGUUAUCAUGUACAUAGUCAAUUUUUGAAUGAAUUUGUGUUUAAAAUAGUUUGCAUAUAAUUCAAUUCAAACUUUUAUUCUAUAAUAUCUAUUUCAAUAAUUAUAUAUCCCUAGUCUUUGUGCAAAUUUGUCAACUUAUCUAUUAUAUAUAUUAUGUAUUCAUUAAUUCAUCAUUAUUUUGAAAAUGUCUUAUACCACAAUUGACUUCUAAUUUCCAUUUUAUUUUGUACAUGUUUUGUGGAUCGUUUCAUAUUGUGCCAUAUUUAUUGUUGUUGUAUAUUAUUUAGUCAUUGUUUUAUCAAUUUUUCUCCAUCCAUUAUUAAGAAUUUGGUUACAUUUCACUUAGAAUAAUUGUACUUAAUUGUUGGAUUUAUUAGUUGUGAUUUAUUGUACUUUAUGUGUGCACAUUAUUUCGUGUUUAUUCAUUUCUUUUUACGAAUGUUUUCUUGUAAUACCUCAAAUGUUUCAUCUCAUUUUAAAACAAAUAAAUGUGUUUUGAGCGAAUUCAAUUUUCCUUAUUAUUCAAAAAUUCUGAAAUAAGGCAAUAUCCAAUAUUUGGGAAUUCGAGAAAUCGUGCUCAAUCGUGCUGGGUAUGAUUUUUUCGGUGAACUAAAUAUUUGGAUAACCUUUUAUAAUUUUAGUGUACGAGUUUUUGAAAGUCAAAAGUCGAUCGUAUUUUUGAAGGUAUAAAGGAUCGUAUUCAAUCGUGCUAGGUAUGAUGCUACAUAUCUUUGAAAUGAGAGAAUUUUGACAGUUUACUUAAACUAUUCACACAUUUUAAAGAAUCAUGCUUUGAAAGUUCUUUUUUCUUAAAAUCUUUGAUAUAAGGAUAGCAUCGAAUCAAUUUGGUACCAAUUUUUGGGUGUAAUGAGGGUGCUCAUCCUUCCUCAUGCGUAACCGACUCCCAAACCUAUCUGUUUUUGAUUUUAUGUGAACCAAAAUUGUCUUUAAUGGAACAAAACAUUUUAAUAGGUGGCCCAAUCACACCUAAACCGACAUAUUGGUGAUGACUCCACAUUUUUUGUUUUAAAAAGUCGAUUCCCAUUUUUCCUAACUCUAAAAAAGGGUUUCGACAAAAUCUAUAAUUCAACUUUUAACCUUUACGCGAUUUGAUCCUUAUAUUUUAAUAAUCUUAAUACAUGCAAUUUACUAAUCCAAAAUCCAAUUCGCUACUAGACUAACUUCGUAAAUAUUUAAUAAAAAUAUUCACGAGCUCGUUUUACAAGAACGAAGUCCCGAGCUUCAUUUUUCCAACAUACUUGAUUAUCGGGUCGUUACAGUUUCACAUUUUAUUCAAUUUAGUCUCUAAACCAAAUUUUCCAUAACUUUCAAAUUUGAGCCUCGAUUUUGAAAAUGAUCUCAAUUAUAUCUUUCUAUAACCUUCAAUAAUAUAUAAUUAUAGAAAUUUAACAUUAAUUUUGAAAUUUAUGUAGUUCAGUCCUUAUGUUUAAAAACUAGCAAUUAAACUUUACAAACUAGUCCUUUUUCGUUUCAAAAGUUAAAAUCUAACAAUUUAGUACAAAAAAUUCAAGAAAUCAAUAAUGGCAAAUUUUGAAAACUUUAACAUUUUUUCAAAUUUGUACACGGGUGAUCUAAAUCAAGCUCUCGAGGACCUCAAAAAACAUAAAAAUUACAAUAAAUGAGCUUGAAAUCACAUACCAAUUGAAGGAUUAAAGUUUGGAAGCUUUGAAACCCUUUUCUCCCUUGUUCAUACGGUGAAGAAGAUGAAGAUGAGAAAAACUAUUUUUAUUUUCUUUUUAAUUUGCCUUUUAAACUUAGUUUAAAAUUAAUAAACUUAAUUAAUUUAGUUUAAACCUUAAUUAACUUAAUACUAAUCAUCAGUGUAAUAGGCCAAUAAAAACAAAAAAAUCAAACCAAAUCAAUAAAAGUCCAAAAUUUGCAGUCCAUGUUUUACAAAUAUCUGGGCCCAAUUUACAACAUGCAUAGCCCAAAUCAAAACUACCCAAACCCAAUUAAAACCCAAUUACAAAGCCCAAAACAAAUCAACCCUAGCCCACUCUUAACAUUUUCUGAGAGCAAAAGAACCCUAGCCACCUCUGCCUUCAGCCGCCACUCAGCCCCAUGCGCGCCGCACGUUAGCAGGGCUUUUCCCUCACGCUAUCGCCGGCCUUCACGUGUAUCUGACCCCUCUGACACUUGCAAAUAAGAAUCCACACGCAAACAGUAGCAGACAACAAGCAAAAGAAAAAAAUGGAUCUGUGUAACUCGGCUAUAAAAGCCGAAAUAAAUCCCUCUGUAAUUUUUUACACACACUAGUAAUUCAAAAAAGCAAAACAGAAGUUUGAAAAGAUUGAUUUUGAUUUUCUUUACUUGUUUUCUUUUCGUUUUCCAGUUUCUUUUUAUUUUUUAUUAUAAAUCUAUUUAAUAAAAAAAGGGGCGUAAAAUAAGAAGAGGAUGAAGGGAAAACUUACCUAAAAUCCUCCGUGGUUGUGUCGUCCGGGUCCUUCUCACCGUCCCUGAAAUCGAACCCAAAAGAGGGAAGAGAGAGACAUUUUUCUCUCGAUCCGUGGGCUGAGAAGGCUUAGCCUUUAAACAUGUAACAGGGCUGAAAAGCCCGUUCUGUGCCGCUCCGACCACCAUCCACGGCGGAGGAGCGGCGGGAUGGCAACGGCGCCCCAAGGCUAGGUCAAAACCCUAACAGAGAAAAUAGGGAGGGGUUUAAAAGUUUUAUUUAAAAAAAAAGAGUAACAUAAUGAAUUUUUAAGAAAAAAAUUGGUUUUUAUACAGCAAUGAAACGGUGCCGUUUAGCACCAAGGUCACCAGCACCAAAACAGCGCCGUUUAGGGUGACUCUCGUGCGACUCGACUCGUUCCAGGGGGAUCCGCACGUUUUCGCUAAAUGGGCUAUUUACGCUCGUAGUCCCUCCGCAUUUUUUAUUCAUUUUAAUUUAGUCCUUUUGUUUUUAUUUAUUUAUUAAAUUUAACCCCAGAAUUUGCUGCGCUUUUCAAAUCAGUCCCUAGCUUGCUGAUCCUCUGGGGAAGGGACCCCGUGUCUAGGGAUGGUUUUUUUGCCCACUUAGUCCUCUUCCCUUUCGCGCCCUUUCAUUUUGGUCCCUCUUUGUUUUUUUAUUAUAGUUUUGACUUUUAAUUUUAUUUUUGUCCUAAUUUAGUCCUAAAUCUGUUUGAUUUCAAUUUGUUUUCGUAAAUUUGUUAUUUAUUCGUUUUAAACCUUUUUUUCCUCAUAUAUUAUAUAUCCUAAAUUGUUUUAUUACUAUUUAUUUUAAGUUUUUCACAUAUUAUGUAUUUUAAACUAUUAUCCAUUUUAAAUUUAUAUAUAUUAUUUAUUUUAAAGUAUUAUAUAUUAUUUAUUUUGAAUUACUUUUUUAUAUAUCUUUUAUUUUUAAACUGCUUUGUAUAUUAUUCAUUUUAAAUUUCUUUUUACGUAUUAUAUAUCUUAAACUCUUUCAUAUGUUGUUUAAAAGUAUCUUAUAUAUUAUUUAUUUGAAAUUGCUUUGUAUAUUAUUUAUUGUAAUUUGUUUUACAUAUUAUUUAUUUUAAAUUGUUUUAUAUUAUUUACUUCGAAUUUUUUAUAACUUAUUUUGUUUCAUUUUCUUCGUUUGUUAAUAUUGGUAUUUAAACGGUGUAUUACAUGAAUAUUGUCAUUAUAUGCUCUAGAAAUUUUUAUUUAAUAUCUUCAUAUUGUUGACAUUCAUUAACAUAGCAUUUAAUUCAUGUAUUAUUAUUCCAUGCUCCAUAUUGCCUUUUUAUUUUAUUUCGUUUGAAUUACAUCGUGUAUUAAGAUCCAAUAUGUUUAUCAAAUAUAGAUCGUUCUAUUUUACUCCAAACAAAAUAAAUGCACAUCGAUUAAGUAUUGUACUGUUAUUAUUCAAAGAAGGAAAAACUUUAAAACAAGGCAAUAUUUCGAGUUUUGGAGAUUCGAGAAAUCACACCUUAACUUACGGGGUUUCAAUUUUCUUGUUAAACUUAAAUAGCCAAAUAUCCUUUUAGAUUUCAAAAUACAUGAAGUUUAGAUAAAAAAAAUUAAAGGCAAACUUGUUCCCGAGGGUUCAAAUGUUGCAUCCUAACUUACGGGAUGUGGCAUAUUGUAUCGCGGGACGAGUAGGCUUUGAUGCUCGUUUCAAUUUAAUUCAAGCAUUUUUAAAAUGAACGUUAAUAAAAAGGGAUCGUGUUUCUAAUUCUUUUCAAACUUUUAACAUUCGACAUUAAGACAUUAAUCAAUCGAUUAGGUGCCAAUUUUGGGCAUUACGAGGGUGCUAAUCCUUCCUCAUACGUACCCGACUCCCGAACUUGUUUUUCUCUGAUUUCGUAGACCAAAAUCAUUGUUUUAAUAAAUCAAAAUAUUUUAUUAAAAUGACCAAAUUACUAGGUGAUCCGAUCACACCUCAAAAAAUUGGUGGCGACUCCAUUUUCGUUUUUAAAUAAGUCGACAUCGUUUCUUUUCAAAAAAAAUGGUUUCGACAAUCGUUAAGCAAAUAUAAGUGGAAGAUGGCAUAAUCUUCCACUAUUCACUAAUAGAAAUUAGCCCAAUUGCUUAAUUGGUCCUUCGAUUAUAAAAAUCUAUAACGAUUAACUAUUAGAAUUUUUAUGAUUUAAUCCUUAUACCUUAAUUAACUAUCCAAUUGACAAAAUUAAAAGACAAAACUUUAAUUAAACUUUUUACUAACCUUAUAAAUAUUAAAUAAUAAUAAUUAUGGGCUCAAAUAUCACAAAUGAGUAUACAACAAAAUAUUGCAGAUGAAAUCUGCCAAUGGCCAUGGAAGCACAAAAUGCUCGCAAAUGAUAAAUGUCAAAGGGUUGUGAAUACAAAACAAAACAUCGCAGGUGGAAUCUAUUAUGGCUGUGGAUACACAACAAAAAUAAAUGUAGAUAUACUGUCAAUACUUCCUCCGAUCAUAUCAUCCCAUCCCAUGCAAUGCAAUGUAGCACAUUUAAUACAAAUCACAUUUGGUAGCAUUUAAUGUACUAACACAUGGAAAAUCAGUAACAAAAUCAUGUUUUUCAUGUAUUCAGAUUAGCAACCAUAUAGGGCAUGACAUUCAUACGAUCUCAAGGAUAUAUAUACAAUAGUAACAUAUACUAUUCAUAAUUCAUAUAAAUAUAUCUGCAAAUACAUACCACAUUAAUUCAAUCAAUAAGGGAACCUAACAUAUUUCAUUUUAUCAAGGACUAAUUGCAUUAUUUAAUUCAUUAAAACUAGUUCAGAACUUAUUCAUGGACUAAUCUAAUCAAAUCAUAAAAUUCUGGGUCAAAAUCGUAAAAUCUAAAAAAUAGAGGCAAAAUUGUAAAAUCUGAAAAAUAGUGGAAAAACUAUAAAAUCUAAAAAACAGUGGCAAAACUAUAAAAUAUGAAAAACAGGGGACACAAGCCCGUGUGACUGGACUGUGUAGAGGGGGUUCCACGGCCGUGUGACAGACUAUGACCGUGUCAUAUUUGCAAAAUUAACCUACAGGGAAGACACGACGGUGUGAGAAGAGAAAAUCCUAGGAUUUCAGGGGGACAUGGUCGUGUAAGGUGGUGAUGUGGUCUAUCCUAGGCUUGAUUUUGCCUUGAUUUUCUCAUAAAAGAACACACACAUGACUAUGAGAUCUCGAACGUCGUUCCUUGUGCUUAGAUCUAGUCCGAGGUGCCUAAAUUGAGUCCGCUUCUUGGCAAAAAUUAAGAAUGUUUCUAGUGUUGAUUAUGAAUCUGAUUGAAAAACGACUUGAAUUAGGAAUAGAUUUUGAUUUGGGAAGAAAAAAUAUUUUUCAAUAAUGGAUUAAAAUUAUGAUGUAAAGGGAAGAAAAGAAAAGAAAGAGGGAUUAAAAAGAAAAAGAUGGAAGCAAAAUUCUAAGGGGCUUUGUAAAAGGCUAAUUGAAAUUCUAAUUAGGAAAAGAAGAUAAAAAGAUGGUGGAAUUCUAGUUCUAUUGGAAUUUUGAGGAAUGAGCAAAUUGUGGAUUCUAAUUAGGAAGGAAUUGAGUCAAUUAAUACGGGUUUGUAAACCCUAGGGGCGUCACCUGCAAUUUUCCCAAGAUUUUUCCAAAAUUUGAAAUUAAAAAAAAAAGGGAAAAGAGGAAGAGGCUUAAACCUUGUUCACUUAAGGGGGCUAACGCCUUACCAUUAAACAUGUUACUCAUUCUUGCUUAAUUUUUUACACUUAAUUUUAAGUAUUUUAAUAUUUGGAGUGUCUUUGUGAAAUUAUGAAAUAAAAGUGGAAGAAGGGGUUCAAACUUGGGUCAAUUAGGAAGGAAAUUAGCAUGCUAAUUUUUAUCUCAAUUUUUAUUCAAUUUUUUUUUAUAAUUUUUAUCUCAAUUCAUAUUUGUUUUAGUGUGACUUUUAUCCUAGGCUGCUGAAAAUAAAUGAGAGAACGAAGCUUGCACCUAGGAUCUCUAAAAUAGGUAAACACUUAACCACCAAGCCUAAGGCUCAUUUUUUAAUUUUAUUUCUUAAUUGUAUAUAUUUAUUUUGGACUCAACUUACUUAUUUUUUUAUUUUCUUAUACAUUUACUCAAAAAUUUUAUUAACUUAUUUAACUUUAUAUUUUUUAACACAUUCCUAUUUUAGUUUAUAUACAAUAAUUAAUACUCAUAGUCAAGUCUUAUUAUUAAUUAAUACUCAUAGCGCUUAAACUUGUUUUUUUUGUCAAAUCACCAAAAAAUAGAUGAAAAAAUUAAUUUUUUUAACUUUAUUGAUGUGGUAUACACAUAGAUGACACGUCAACAUUUACUUAAUAUUUUUAAAUUAAAAAACAAAAAAAAUUAUGAAAAUUAUUUUUAAAAAUAAAAAAUCAUUAAAUUUAUUUAAAAAUGAUAAAAAAUAUAUAAAUAUUUUAAAAAUUAAUUAAAUGCUGGCAUGUUAUCCAUGUGGUAAUCCAUUUUUGGAUGAUUUGACAAAAAAAAAGACAAAUUCAAAAAACUAAAAGAAAAAAAAAUAAAUGAAAGGUUAAUUUUUUUUAUACAAUUAAAAGGUCAAAAAAAAAGUUAUGUCAUCUUAAAAUAUACUAUAUUUUUCUUCAAAUAAAUCGAAACUGAUAGACCUAGCCUACUUGUGAUGCAUGCUUAUACGAGAUCUUGAUUAGGAACAAUUUGUAUGCCAUAGAAACAAACAAGCAAUACAUAAAUUAAGGAAAAACAAAGAGGUUGUUUAAUUGAUAUUGGAAUUUAGGGUUUAUUUCUAUAACAAAGCUGUUGUGUAGUCUCAAGGUGACAAUCGCAUACGUUUAAGGCCUACCAACCAGAUAAUGAGAAGGGGAAAAAAGAAAAUCCCAAACAUGACUAUUAUUCCAACCCAAUUGUCAAAGAGACCCCUAAAAUUAAUCUAAAAAUUACCAAACUUUUAGUAUUUCAAUUUAGUGUCUGGUUGUUGGUGUAUUUUUUUGGUACAUUAUUAUUGUUAUUAAUUGACUGAUUAUCAACACUACUAACUAAAUAAUUCUUGGACUAUUUCUUGAUAAUUGAUGAGGCCAAAUCUUAAUUUUAAUUAAAUGGUUUUUUAUUUUUAUUUUUUGGAUAAUUGGGUAGGAACGAAGUUGUUAAGAAUUAAAUUUAAAUGUUAUACAAUACAACAAAAUAAAUUUGCCAAGAAGAAUUUAUCUAAGGAUUUGAUAAAUAUUUAAGUACUGGAGAUUUGGUUUUACUGGUGAAGAACAUAUCUAUUCUUAAAUGCUAGAAAAAAAAGAGUAAUGGGGUGUUCGGUUGAAAUCAUAGGGGGUGAUUUUACAUUCCAUUUUAAUAGAGGGUGAUUUUACAUUCCAUUUUAACAUUCUCACAUUUUGUUCGUUAAGAUUAUUUUACAUUUCUAUUAAUAUAGAUGAUAAUCUUAAUUCUAGUUCUUUCUUAGGUAAGGUAAGAUUUUGAGGCUAAUCUUCGACAUUUUUACUUUUUAUUUAUUUAUUUACAAUUUUCAUUAAUAUUAACCCUUCUUUCGAAUUUUCUAUAUAUUACGUAAAUAUAUUACAUAUACAAUUUAAUUUUUUUAUAAUAUAAUAAUUUAACUUAUUAUAUUAAUAUAAAAGAUAUAAGACUAUCGGUUAAUAUAUGUUUUUUUAAAUAAAAUAUCAAUUAUAUUAUUUGAUAUAAAUAGUAUUUUAACCAAAUUUAAAAAUAAUCUAAAGUUAUAUUUUAACUAAGAGGAUGUGGGGUCAAGCUAGACCUAUCCAUGAGCUAGGUCAUUCAGUUCGACCCAAAGGUUUGUCUGAAAAGUGAGAGGGUUUGAGCAAAAAUAGAGGCUCAAAAAAUAUAUUUGGGCAAAAAAACUAAGGUCCGUUUCCGGGCUUCGAGUAAGGUUUUUUUGGCCUGAGCCCAGCCUACAUUUGCAAAAAGAAAAAAAAAAUUCUUGUUUUCUUGCUAUUUUUUCGCAGUUUUGUUCCUAUUUCACUAUUAUGUUAUUAUUGUUUAGAUAUUGUAUAACUCUUAUUUUAUUAUUAAUUUUCUUACUAUUUUAGAGGCAUUUGCUUAUUAAGUUACAUCUAUAUAGUGUUAUUUAAGUAUAAAGAUUUUUUAAAAUUUAUUUUCAAUUUGUUGGGAAACAUUUAUUUUAAUGCUUUUAGUAUUUUUAUGUAUUAUAUUUUAAAUAUAUAUAUAUAAAUUUAAUACGAACGGAUCGGACUCGGGUUUUAGCAUUUUUAUUUGAGCUGAGAUUGGGCAAAAUUUUAAGCCCAUUCUCAGGCUAGACUAGGUUUGGGCCUAUCAAACGGGCCUAAAAUUUUGUCAAGUCCUGACACGACCCAGCCUGACCCAUAAAUAAGUCUAGAAGUAAGCUUUGUAUAAGAAAAAAAAUAUAGUAAUAGAAUAAAAGGAAUCGAAAUUGACAUAUUCAAAUAAUGAAAAAUAUCAUAUGUAUGAUAUAAUAAUACAAUGUUAAUGGUAAGAUUUAAGUUUCUGUAACAAAAAUGAGAGCAUAAAGUUUUAGAGUCCACUGAAAGAGUUUCACAAAAUUUCAUAUCAAUAUUUCUAAUUAAGGUUGGAGGAACUAAGUUCGUUAAAAAAAAAACAAAUUCAUUAACAAGGAUAAAUUUAGUAAAAUAUAAUUUUAGAUAAUUUUCUAUUUUUUCAACCAAAUAAUAAAAUUUUAUAUUUUAUCUAAAUGAAAUAAAUAAAAUAAUUUAACAUAUUUAAUAAUAUAUUAAAUAAUCUUAUAUUCUAAUAAUCCUAUCCAUAAUAAUAUUAUGUUCUCUCAACUGAUUUCCAAAGGUACCUAAAACUCAUAAACCAAAGUAGUUCUUGAAGUGUACCCUUUUCAUAUAUUGCUGAAUCAAACAUGUUGGCCGAUAACUAAUAUAAUUAGGGAUCAACUAAGUACAAAUAAAUAAGUUCAAUGUCAAAUUAUAUAUUAACCUUAUUUAAAAUUAGCAUAGCGCUGCUGGUCUGAGCACUAAACCAACUUGGUGAUGGGAGGAUCACCAUUAAUAACCUGUUUAAAGCUUCUCUUUCUUCAUCAACUUAAAGUGAAUAUAGGAGUAGGUGAAUUCAAUCAAACAAAUAGAAUGAGGAAUUGCAGUUGAAAACAGAAACAAAUAAUGCAUUUACUGAGUUGAGAGAAAAAAGCCCCAACUUUAUCAUCAACAGCUUUUGUAACGCGUUAUCUCUCCCACCAUUGCAUGGCCCAUACUCAUCCAUGCAUGAAAAAAGAAAAAGAAGCUACAUGUCAUAAUUCAUUAAUGGUUAAUUGCACUAGAUGUCCUCAAACUAAGAUUCAAAUUCUAUAUUAUUCUUUAAACUUCAAAAUAUUUUAAUUAUAUUUUCAAAGUGUGAACACCAUGUCAAUAAGGUUCUUCUGUCAAUUUGGGCAUAAAAUAAUAUUUGAGGAGCAUAUUUGAAACACAUUGUUCAAAUUUUAAACAUGUGUGGACCUAUAGCAUGAAAAACUUCGAUUCAAUAUGUUAAAAAAUGGGUAAAUUACACUAGAGGUUACCUAACUAUUAGUAAGUUUUUGUUUUGAUCAUUGAACUAUGAUAAGUUACAAAUGAUCAAUACAUUAUCGAUUUUGUAAUGUUUCAAUCACUUGGUGAUUAAUGCCCCAUUAGCCACAUGAUAAAACGAUGACGUGAAACAAUUUGUAUAGAUUCAAUACCUAAAUUGGCCCAUGAACUAUAGAUUAUAUUAGUUUUUUUUUAGAAAUUCUCAAGGAUAAUUCAAAAAAAAUCCAAAGAAAAUAACAGAAAAUUCUAAAAAAAAAGGUUGAUGUAACACCCCUAACCCGUAUUUGUCGCCGGAACAGGAUUACAGAGUACUACCAGAGUUUUUAGAUCAAAUGAACACAUAAUUAUAAACAUUUCAAAUAAUAUCAAUAUUCAUAUUAAAAUCAAGUAAAAACAUACAUAUUAUCCCUUAAACGAGCCCUCGAGGCCCAAAAUACGUGUUAGAAACAAGUCAAGACUAAAUCAGAAACUCAGAGAAUUUUUUAGAAAUUAGUGAAAAUUUUCAACACUGCAGGGAUCACACAACCGUAUGGCCAGACCGUGUGACUCACACGACCAGGAGACACGCCUGUGUCUCAGGCCGUGUGGGCAAUUGAAAUAGGGACACAUGGCCGUAUCCCAGUCCGUGUCCGUGCCCGUGUAACUCACUGACUUGGUCACACGACCAAGCCACACACUCGUGUGCUAGGCCGUGUACCCUUUGAAAUAACCUCACACGCCCAUGUGUCAGGCCAUGUGCUAGGCCGUAUAACAGCUUGACUUGCAACCCUUCGAAAGCUACAAGGGACAUACAGCUGUGUCGCCUGGCCGUGUGUAACACACUGCAGAGACACACGCUUGUGUCUCUGCCCGUGUGGACGAAAAUAGGCCAUUUUACAAGUCAUUUUUCUCGGCCAAUUUAAUAUGAACCUACAACCACAAAUGCACAUAUACACAGGCCAUAAUAAGGCACUAAAACCAUGCAUAAUCUAGCCAUAUAUAAAUGGUAUGAUCACAUACAACCAAUAUGCCCUUAGGCACCUCAAAUGACAAUAUAAAACAUGAAACUUACUUACCAAAAUAUACCAAAUGGUACUAACCAUGUCAUUCAACCAUUAACAUCUAAAACCAUAUAAACCAUUCAAACAAAGUGCCAAUUCACAAUAAUUUCAACAAUUUACAAAACUUAUACAAUAUGUAUAUUCAAACCUUAAUUUCAUCUUCCAUAAUUCAAACAUAUCAAUCCAAACAUCAACCAUUAGAAAUCUAAUAUUUACAUGCCAUUUACUAAACUCAUAUCAUAAUCAAAGUGCCAAAACACAAUCCAAACAAAUGGCUAUUUAACAACCAAAAUAUAUGGCCACAUUAGCCAAAAUACCUAUACAUGUCAUUAUAACAAAAAUUAAAUAACCGAAUGUACCAAAAGAGUCAAUAGAUAGUGUGAUUUAUCUCCGACAAGCUUCCAACCUGAACGAGCUUUCAAUUCAAUAUAAGACACGGAGAAUAACACAGAGUAAGCAUUUAAGCUCAGCAAAUUUGUAUAAAAUAGAAUAUAACUUACCAUUUUGGCAUAUAAUAGGUAAGUAAAUAAAGCAUAUUCCAACACAAUUUGGCCAAAUUCCUAAGCACAAAUUCACCAACCAUGUUAGCCAUGUAAACAUAUAUAUAAGCCAAUAAACAUGGAUGAACACAACAAUUGAUCAAGUUCCAUAUACAUGUAUCAUCCAUUUCAUGUUUCCAUAUACCAUGUAACAACAUUUCCAUGUAAUUCAUGGGUAUACCUGAAUAGUUCGUAUCGAACUCUUAUCAUUUCGUAUCAGAACAUCGCCUAUUGAACCAUUUGGAAUAUCGUUGGAUACCCCGAAUAGCUCGCACAUAGUGUCCUAAACCAUAUAACUAUAAUCCAUCAAAUCCUGUACAUGUAUGCUCACACGAGCUGUAAAUAUGUAUCCUCUUAUGAGCUAUGGGUCGAAACGUAGCUACACGAUGCUACUCACAUGAACUGUGGAGUAUCCGUAACACAUGCCAGACCUUAGCCAUUUUUAGGACGUCUAGGACCAACACACGAAUCAUGUAAACCCUAAUGACAUGUCAUUUGUAUCCUACAAAUUCCUAAGGUUCAAAUGGGGCUUGGUAAUCGUCUAACGUCGUUGGAUAUGCAAUCGUUAUUUAUAUAACAUUUCAUAACACAUGUAUAAUUCAAUUUAAAACAUAUAAACAUGAUUUAAUUACACGAACUUAUCUUGUAAUACCCCGAAAAUUUUUACAGUAAAAUAUUAUCCGUGAUAUAGUAAAAUAAGGAAAUAAAGUGAAAAAAAGGGAAUUUUUGAGUGAUGUCAAUAUUGAGAAGUAUAUUAUGAUAUAUUAAUUCAAGAAAGGACUAAAUUGCAAAGAUGAGAAAAGUCUCGUUUCACAAGAGUAAAUACUCAAUAUUUAAGGGGUUGAAGUGUAAAUAUAAAAAUUUGAAGGACUAAUGGUGAAAAUAUUUUAAGGGUGGAAUGAUCUAGAAACCAAGAAAUAUUUUGAGAGAAUUCUAGAAUGUAAUGAUUAUGUUGAUGAUAUUUUAAAUUAAUUAAUUAGAUAAAUAUUAUUUUAUUAAUAUUUUAUGAGAUGUUUAUUAUUAUAUUAUUAUUUAUUUAGUAUAAAAGGAAGGAAAGAUGAAGAAUUAUCAACACAUUUCCUUUCCCAUGCAAACUAACGUAAGAUAAGAAGAAGAAAAGAAGUUUGCUUUCUUUACAAUUUAGUCCUUCCACCAAAAAUUCAUUAUUUUCACCUAAAAAUUGAAAGAAUUUCCAUAGCCAUCAAGAGAGAAAGAUAGCAAGGAGAUGAUGAGGAGCAAGAAUAUCAAGUUGGAUUCAAGAAAUCGAAGCGGAGGAGAGAGAAAAAUCAAGUUAAAGAUUGAAGUCAAUAAGAAAAGGUAAGUACAUCAAGAUUUCAAUAUGUUUUUAAGUUUGUUAUUAUUGAUAAAGCAUGGAAAUAAUGUUAUAGUAGAGUUUUCUUACAUAAAGUCCUAUGUUCUUGAUAUGUUAGUGAAGAAAAAAUAAGAUAAAGUGAUGAGAAAUGGUGUAGAAAAAGAAAAUAAGGAUGUUAUAACAUGGUAAUUAAUAUCUUGUACUAAAACAGUUUUGGACAGCAGCAGUAGUCUAACUUUGAAAAAUCAUCAAAAAUUGUAGAAAUCUAAUUAUAGGAUGAAUAAAAUAUGAAAUUAAAUCUUAUUAAAUCUAGUUUCUUAUAGAAGAAAUUAUGUAAGAAAUAGAAUUCUAAAUCAUAAGAUAUGAUGAAUUUUGUGAGACAAUGUCAGAAUGAUUUUGGGUUCCCCCGUUCUGAAUUUGUAAAAUCAUAAAAAAAAUUGGAUAAAAAUAAUUAGGGGCUUAAAUUUAUAUGUUUAUAAUCCUAAAGUAGUCUAUUUUCAAUAGAAACAAAUAUUAACAUCAUUCGAAUUCUGUACAAGGAGAUAAUUAAUUUUUAGUGAAGAAGGGUCACAACUGUCAGACAGCAGAAUAGGGGUAACUUUAAAGAAUAAACUGUACUUAUUGACUAAACCAAAAAUUCUGAAAAUUUUAUGAUAAUAAUAUAUGAGUCUAGUUUUAGGAAAAAUUAGCAGAUCUUAAUUUGGAGUCCCAUAUCUCCAGAUAUAAAUAAUUUAGUGACUAUGACACAGAUGGACAACUUGAAUGUUCAUAAAAGUAAAUAAUAAAGAUUAUAGAUAAUGUUACUUACAAGUGUGCUACAUACAUCAAGGAUGUGGAAUGGAGAGGAGGAGGAGGAAAACAUAUAUGAAUAUUCAUUAAGCAUGGCUAAUUUUCAUAUUUUAGGCUUAGGGACUAAAUUGAAUAAAGUAAAACUUUAUGGGUAAUUUUGUAAAAAUGUCAGAAAUGACCAAAUUGCAUGAAAUGUAUUAUUUUAUUAUUUAAAUUACAAAAUUGAAUGAAAUUAUUAAUUUAGUUCAAGAUCGGGGGAAAACAUGUUUUAGGGAUUAAAUUGAAAAGUGUUGAAAUUAUGGAAAAUUCUGAUAUUUUAUAGAAUUCAUGGACUGUUAUCAAUAUAUAUGAGAAUAAUAGCUGGAAAUAAGGAUUAAAUUGCAAGAAUUUUAUUUUCCUGACCCUAAGGACGAAAUCAUCAUUAAUUAAAAGUUUAGGGGCAAAAGGUAGUUUUGCCUAGAGCAUUAAUUAAAUGCAUUAGAAGAUGAAAUGAAUGAAAAUGAUGAUCAAAUUUAUUUAUAAAGAUCCGAACGACUCAAAUAUGAGACUUGAUCAUGGAAAAGAAAAGAUAUCGGAUUAAUGAAAUUAUAAACACAAACAAGCAAUGAGGUAAGUUCGUGUAACUUGAAUUAUAUUCUUAAAUACUUGAGAUUGUAUGUUAUUGAUGUGAAUAUGAUUUGAAUGUUCAUUGUAUGAAGAUUUAUGAAACAUUGAUAUAUUUGAUAAAAUGGGAAGAAAUCUCGGUUGAAUGAAAGAAAAAUUCGAUGGAUCUCUGAAAAGGAAUUAACGGUAAAAAGGAUCUAGCCCGGACGGGUGAUCCUAUCUUGAUAUAGCCCUCCCGAAGAAUACGUGUAAAAUGGAUUUAGCCCAGACGGGUAAUCUGAAUUAGGGUCUGAAUUUAGCUUGGACUGGUAAUUCAGAUCCAAGCUCAUUAGAGUAAUUGUCGUUGCAGGGGAUUUAGCCCGGACUGGUAAUCCCGACAAUACUCUAUGAGUUUAUAUUACAGGGGAUUUAGCCUGGACUGGUAAUCCCACUGUAAGGAUGAGGUUCGCGGGAGUGUGCUCUCUGAUAUGAAAUGUGUAAGACCGUGGUUGAAAGAUACCAUGGCAGCCUGGUAUGAAAUGUGUAAGACCAUGGUUGAAAGAUACCAUGGCAACUUGAUAUAAAAUGUGUAAGACCAUGGUUGAAAGAUACCAUGGCAACGCGAUAUGAAAUGAACAAGACCAUGGUUGAAAGAUACCAUGACAACAUGACAGAAAAUGAGUAAGACCAUAGCUGAAAGACACUAUGGCAUCAUGUCAAAGAUAAAUAAGACCGUGGAUGGGAGACGCUCUAACAUCUGUUGAACAAUUGAUAUUUAGGUAAUAUGUAUCAGAUGACGAAUGGUUAUAUGAAAUAAUUAUGAAGAUAGAUAAACGAAAUAAGUAUAAGUACAUGGAAUAUAAUUUAUGUUAAGUUUGAUAUAAGCUAUUACCGGAAUAAAUAUACAUAAAAUAUAUGGAAAUGAUGGAGCAUGAAAUAUUGAUAUAAUGAAAUGAAUGAUAUAUGCUUAUGAAGAAACGGUAAGAGCAUGAUAUGUUUCAUGACAUGUACAUAUAUGAUUAUCUUUGAUAUGUUGAUACAAGGAAAUUAUGUAAGUUGAGACUAUUAUUAAACUCAAGUGCGAUAUGUCGAGAAAAUAGAUAUAUCAAUGUUGAAUUUAUAUGAGAUAUGUGCAAGUAUAUUAACAAUGUUGUUGUUUGAUGCUUAUACAAGUGUCAAACUGUUGAUUGAAUGGUAAUAUAUUUAUUUAUAUGAUGCAUUGAAUUGGUAAGUAUUUAAAUUUUUUUUAGUGAUCUGUAAAUGGUAGUAAUGCUCCGAAACCCUAUUCUGGCAGCGGAUACGGGUUAGGAGUGUUACAUAUCUCGAUGAGUAUAUGUAUAUACGGGGGUGAUUAAUCUAAGAUUUUCUCUUUGCCCCGAUCUAAUGUUGUAUGAGGUCUGUCUUGAUCUAUACAGAUAAAUUUAACUCAAUUCAAUAUAAAUUUUAUUCAAUUUAGCCCAAAAUCAUAUUUUGAAAAAACCACCAUUUUCCCCUAUACUUUUAAUUUCUUUGCAAUUUAGUCCUUAGCUCAUAAAAAUGGAAAUUCAUGAAAUUCUACCACAACCGACUAUGGUCGAAUAUUAAUUGGGUCCCUAGCAUGCCCUAUAUUUCAUUUAUUUCACAAUUUCACCAUGUAAUAUUUUCUAAUUUUUAUUUUAGUUCCUAUUUGACAAUUUCACUAAAAAUCCUUUACAAAUGUUGUUUAUCUAACAACAACCAUCCAUUUUCUAUCAUCAAACAUCAAACUCAUGUACAUGAAUCAAUGGGAAAACCUUAAUAGUUUAAUAGUUUCACAAAUUAGUCCCCGGGCUUGCUAGAUUAAGCUACAACAAUCCCAAAAACAUAGAAAUCAUUAAAAACAUGACAAAAAUGCAUACCUAAUUAAGGAAAUAAGGAUGGCCGAAUAUAGCUUCAAAAAUGGCUACUCUUUUCUUCUAUUUUUGGUUGAAAGAUGAAAGUAAAAGAUGGUGUUUUGUUUUUAUUUUAUUUAAUUUAUCAAUUAUUUAAAUUUUACUAAUUUAACCUUAGAAUCUUUAUUAAUUACACAAAUGCCAAACCAUGUAUAUCCACUAUCAACUUAAAUGGUCUAAUUACCAUAUAAGGACUUCCAUUUUAAAGUUUUAUAGUUAUUUAAUACCUUUAGUAUUAGAACUCAACUUUUGCACUUUACACGAUUUAGUCCUUUUAAUCAAAUUGAACAUGUAAACGGUAAAAUUUCUUAAUGAAACUUUUAUAUAGUACUUCUAUCAUUCUGUAGGAAAUAAAAUAAUAAUAAAAUAAAUUUUUUAACUUUGGAUUUGUGGUUCCCAAAUCGCAGUUUUGAUUUCACUAAAAAUGGGCUGUCACAGUUGAGAUGUAUUUAACCCUUGUACUUGUAUUUCUCCAACUUAAACUUGUUAAAGAUUCUAAGUUGUUUAAGAUGUCUCAUAGAGCUUCUUGACCUAACCAUAUUGUGAUGAUUCUUUAAGGGCUUUCGGAAAAAUUAUAUUAAAUACUUACAAUCAAAUUUCCUUUUAGCUACUAGGAUGCAGGAAAUCAUUGGCUAAUGUUUCACUUUUUGUGGCUUUAGAAGGUAAAAAUCUAACCUUGAUAAUAGUGAGUUUAAAUUUUUUAGAACCAAUUGAUUUAAGUUUAAAAGAUGUUUUUUUAUCUGUUAGAGAAAAAAAUAAAAUUUAUGAUUCAUCCUAUAUAUUUAUCUUUCCUUUAAAUAGGUACUUUUAUUUUCCUCCUUUUAUAUUGAAAGAUGUAAUGAUGUAAUUGCUAAUGCAUUUUUUACUUGAGAGGUGGUGGAACUUUUUUAACUUUUUAUUUUGAGCAUAUGCUUGACAAUUGCAUUUUUUGUGAGCAUUUGUUGGUUAUCCACAAUUUUUUUAUUUUUAGGGUAUAUGGUAUCUGCAGAGGGUAUCCAUGUAGAUCCAAAAAAAAAAAUAAUAAAGGCUAUUCUGAAAUGGAAACAACCUAAAAAUGUUUCCAAAAUUAGAAGUUUCCUUGGUUUAGCCGGAUAUUAUAAGAGAUUUGUUGAAUGAUUCUUUCUUAUUACUGCUUAUGUAACUAAGUUAUUGAGGAAGAAUGUUCUAAUCAAAUAGUCGGAUGAUCAACAAGCUAGCUUGGAAAAGCUAAAAUCAAUGAUGAUACAAGCUCCCAUGUUAAUUCAACCAGAGUCGAGAAAGAAGUAUGUGGUAUAUAGAGAUGCAUCUUAGACUGACAUUGGAUGUUUAUUGAUACAAGAUGGACAAAUAGUUAUCUAUGUGUUGAGACAGUUGAAACAACAUGAGUGUAACUAUCCGACUCAUGAUUUGGAGUUUACAGCUAUGGUAUUUACAUUAAAAAUAUGGAUGCACUACCUGUAUGGUGUAAAAUGCUAUAUUUAUACUGAUCAUAAGAGUCUCAAAUACCUUUUCACUAAAAAAGAGUUGAACUUGAGUCAACGGAGGUGGAUAAAAUUGUUAAAGGACUAAGACUGUGUGAUUGAAUACCACCCUAAAAAAGCCAAUGUAGUGGCAGAUGCUCUAAGAAGAAAACAAAUGAUUGAUUUAAGAGUAAUGCUUGCUAGGUUAAGUCUAGUAGAUGAUGGAGGCUUACUAGCAGAACAACAAGUGACACGUACCUUGGUUAGUGAAAUUAAAGAUAAAUGACAUUAGAUGUGUCUCUGUUGUCAUGGAUUGAGAAGGUGGAAGACCGAAAAAAUGAGGAAUUUGAGUUUAAUAUUGAUGGUUCUAUGCUUGCGAGGGAGAUAUUGUGUGCUGAAUGAUAAGGGUCUAAAAUAGUCUAUACUUCAGGAAGUGCGUACUAGCUUGUAUGCUAUACAUCCAAGAAGAAAUAAUAUGUAUUAGGAUUUAAGGGAACUGUACUGGUGGCCUAGACUGGAACAAAAAGUGACAGAUUCUAUAGCUAAGUGCCUAACGUGUCAGCAAGUGAAAGCUAAACACCAGUUCACUUCUAGUUUGUUGUAACCAAUUAAAAUACCUUAGUAGAAGUGGGAGUGAAAAAAAUGGACUUUGUUAGUGGGCUACUUUUAACACCCACUAAGAAAGACUUAAUUUGGGUGAUAGUAGAUCGAUUAUCUAAGUCAGCUCAUUUCUUACCUUUUCAUACAUAUUACUUUUUACAAAUUCUGGCUAAGUUAUAUAUUUCAAAGGUUGUAAGACUACAUAGAGUACUAGUAUCAAUUAUUUCAGAUCGAGAUCUCCAUUUUACAUUUCGAAUUUGGAAGAAACUAAAUAAGGCACUAGGUACUUGUUUGGAUUUUAGUUCUACCUUCCAUUCAUAUACUAAUGGACAAUUUAAGCGAGUUUUCUAGAUCUUAGAAGAUAUGCUAAGGGGCUGCAUUAUUGAACUCUGAGGUUGUUGAGAGGAACAUUUGCCCCUAGUAGAAUUUUCCUAUAAUAAUAGAUUUCAGUUAAAGUAUAUAAAUGACAUCUUAUAUAGCCUUGUAUGGUUGUGAGUGCCGAACAUCACUGUGUUAGAUUGAACUAGGUGAAAGGAAAAUUUUGGGUCCUUAGGUGGUAGAGGAGUCCGAGGGAAAAAUUAGAUUAAUUCAGGAUAGAUUAAAAGUGACUUCAAAUAGGCAGAAGUCGUAUACGGACCUAAAGAGAAAGGACAUCAAAUAUAGUGUCAGAGAUCAAGUCUCCCUGAAAGUGUUGAGUUUCAGUCGAAAAUGUAAGUUAAGUCCUAGGUUUAUUGAACCUUACAAAAUUCUUAAGAGAGUCGAUCGAGUGGCAUACCAAUUAGAAUUACCUCCUGAGUUGGACCAUAUUCAUGAUGUAUUUCAUGUCUCCAUGUUGAGAUAAAACCGAUUCAACCUUUUCCAUAUUGUUCUAAUCGAAGAGAUCGAUGUGAGGCCGGAUUUUUCUUUUGAGGAGAAACUUAUACAAAUUCUAAGAAGGAAAUGAAUCCAAUUAGUUAAUGUUCUGUGGCGAAACCAUGGCACCAAGGAGGCUAUGUGGGAACCACAAGACUCAAUCUGUUAACAUUAUCCUCAUCUGUUUGAAUCAUGUAAAUUUCAAGGAUAAAAUUUCUUUAACGAGGGGAGAGUUGUCAUGACCUAAAAUAUAAGGGGAUCAUUGAAAUGGAUAGACAAGAAUUGAAUUAGGCUUCACGAUCAAGUGUUAGAUAAUCCUCCUUAGAGACCCAAGUUAGAGCUCCUUUCCUCCCAUUUCCUUCCUCUUUUUUUUCGGCAACCUAGGUUAAAAGCCACACUUAAAAUAUAUACAGUAAGGAAUUAAAACUGAACAAGAAUAGGCUUCAGGCCUAAUGAUUAAGAGUUAGCGUUCCUCCCUGGUGACCCUUGGUUCGAGCCACUCUUUCCCCAAAAGUAUUCAUUUCAUUUUUGACCAACUUUUGGGAUAUUUAUCGUUGCCACCUCCUUAAAGACCUAAGUUCGAGCUCCUUUCCUCCCAUUUCCUUUCUUUUAUUUUUGACAACCUAGGGUAAAAGCAACACUUAAAAUAUAUAUAGUUAGGAAUUAAAAUUGAAUAAGAAAUAGGCUUUAGGCCUAAUGGUUAAAAGUUAGCUUCCCUCCAUUGUGACCCUCGGUUCGAGUCACUCCUUCCUCAAAAGCAUUCAUUUUAUUUUCGGUUAAAUUUUGGGAUAUUUACCGUUGCUGCCCUAGGGUUUACAAACCCUAGCUAUUUAGUCAUUCCUAUUCCUAUUUUGAUUAGGACUUUCUCUUUUCAAAAUUUUAGUAAAAUUCCUCUUCAUCUAUUUUCCUCCUAUUUUCUCUCAUAUUUGCACCAUAUUUUCAUCCUAAUUUGUGAUAAUUAUUUUGCUUUCUUGAAUUAAACCAUCAUUCAUUCUAUCAUUCUUUCUAUCAAUUUUAUAAUUUUUUUUCAAUAACAUCCCUACCUUUUCCAAGAAUCUGUAAGUACAUCUUGUUUCCAAUGUUUAGAUCCUGAACUUUGGUAGUAUUAAUAUCUAAUGCUAAUCUUACGUCCGAUUAAUCAAUUUUUACAGUUAUUGCCAAAUCUUCUGUUAAUCUUGUCAAAUCUUGAAACCAUCAGUUAAUUCGUGUGUAAAUGUUGUUUGAAGGAUCGGAUUUAGGUGAAUCAGAUUAGAAUCGAGCGUUAGGAAUGUCAAUUGGCAACGCGGUGAAAUGUGUGUAUUCUUUACCAAGUGAAUCGGGGCACACCGUGUGUAUGUUUAGGACGAAAUAGGCGUGUGGAUGACACGACCAUGUGCUUUUGUUUUACGUUAGGGUACUUCGAUUUUCAUAUGGCCACAGUUUGUUAUGUGGCCUGGCCACAUGGCUAUGUAACCCUCCCACACUGUCUUAGCUUUCUUACAUGGCAAUGUGACCCCUGUUUUAAAGCUUUGCCCAUAAAUUUGUGAAUUGUUCUAUUUAGUCCCUGUAUAGUCCCCAAAUUAUUUUUAGAUUUUUAUUUCACUCAAUUGAAUCCCUGAUAAUAUGUAUAUUUGGAAUCUAUGAUCUGAGGGGCUGAAUUAUUAUUGUUAUAAGCAUGAUAUGUAAAUAAUACAUGCCUACUGCUAUUGUUAAACCGAAUACACGUUAAGCUUGUUUAUUGCUACCGUAUUGAUUUGUUACAAGCAUGUUAUAUUGCAUUGCAUGGGGUGGAAUGAUAUGAACAAAGGAAGAAUGAGCAGUUCAUCUGCAAUGAUUAGUGGUUCAUCCACAAUGUAUUGACAACUCGUCUGGAAAUGUUCUUAUUUGAAAACUUUGGUGGUUCAUUCGUAAUUUUUAUUACUAACAGUUCAUCUGCAAUGACUAGUGGUUCAUCUAUAAUAAUGAGUGGUUCAUCUACAACGUGAUGUAUAAGGAUGGAUGAGUUAUAGGGAGCUCUUACUGUGGUGUGUAACGGAGUUAAGUGGAAUCUUUUCUGAAAAAUUAAAAUUGCAUCACCAUUCAUAAGCAUGUAUAUGCAUAACUGUGUAUUCUGAAAUAUUAUUAUAGUGAUGUAUUAAUCAAGAAAACUGAUUCUGAGAAUUGUUAUAUGAUUGUGUUUGUUAUGAAAAUUGUUAUUUUGUAUGUUACAUCUACAAUUUUCACUAAUUUUCUUGUGAUAAGACUUACAUCGAGCUUCUUAAAGCUCACCCCACUAUAAUUUUUAUCUUUCCAGAUAACCCGCAAGGUUAGGGCACAGACUUGACAUUCGAAAGGUCUCGGCUCGAAAACAAUAAUUUUAAUAAAUAGUAUUGAGAUUUUAUAAAUUCUAUUAUUUGCAACUAUAUUGAUUUAUUCAAACUGUGGCAUGUGAUUUAAGUUUUGGGUUGAUUUGGAAUGCAUGACAUAUAAUUUGAAAUCAGGAUGUUGAAUUAUGAAUUAUGAGUUAAUUAUACAUGAAAUUUAAUUUUCAUUAAGACUAGGUUAAAAAUCACUUUUUUGCUACAUGACUGGGUAAAUGAGAUUUAAAUAAAUAUGUAUACAUACAUAAAAUUGGAAUUUAACUUUGGCAAAACGAUCACUAAAAUCAUCUUGUUUUUGAAAUUAAAUUGUACCUUUUAGAAUCACGCUAUGUUUUUCUUCAAAAAUUAAAACAAAUGUUUUUAAACCCCGAUAGUUUUGCUAGGCCAUUUUGAUGAUAAAUGUAAUCUUCCGAAUUCGGGCUUAAUGUCUAUGCUGGGUUGGGGAGGUUACAUAUAUUAUUAUAAUUUUUUUGAAUGAUAUAUUAUUAUAAUGUUAAUUUUUUAUGUUAAUGAUAUAUAAAUUUUAACCUUGAAUGUGUAACCAACUUUAUGGUAGAUUAGAAUAUAUAUACAAUUAUUAUUAUAUAAUUAGGGUAGAUUAUUAAUGAUAUAUAACUCUAUAUAGAUUUAUGAUAUUAUAAUAUACAUUUUUAUAUAAUGAUAUGUAAGCUUAAACCCUAAACAUGAAACUAACUUUGAGGUAGAUUAUAAUAUAUAUAAUUAUAAUUUAUUUGGAAUCCUUAUAUUUAAAUUGUUAGGUAUAUUUAUAUUGUUAUGAAAUCAUUAUGCUUAAUUUGUUUCUAUUUAGCUACUUCAAUUAAUUUAUUUUUUAUUUAAUUAUUAUUAAUUAUGAAUAAAUUUUAUCUAAAAUCAAUUUCUAUUUUAUUUUAAUAUUAUUUUUAAAAUUUUAAUUUUAGUAUCUUCAAAUUUAGAUUUUUUUUGGAUUCGAAUAUCCAGCUAAUGAUUAAAAAUGUUGAAUUUGAAAUUUUUUUAUUGAUAAAGACACUUGGAGAUAAUGAUAUUUAAUUCAUAUUCGAAUAUAGAUAGUAAUAUUUAGAUUUAAAUUUUUAAACAGAUUUACAUAUUCAAGUAUCCUAAAAUUACAAAUAUUCUAACCCGUUGCUAUUCUUAUUAUAAACAGAUUUAAAAUUUUAAAAAUUAAUCUUUUAAUAUAUGGAAUUUUUAUGCCUCAUCAAUUGGAGUGAUAAUAAUGGUAUAUUUAUAAAAAUAUUUUACGAUUUUGUAUGAAAAGUAAAUUCGAUAAAAAUAAAAUCAAGACACUAGAAUUUGUAUUUGGUGAUCAGCAAUAUUUGUUUGGGAAGACGGACGCUAAGAAAAAAAAAUUACUUGAAUGGAAUUAUGAUUGUAGUGGUUAGUAAAAGUGGCAUUUUGAUGAAAAAGAAAGUACGUACGAUUGUUUGUACAAUUUGAUUUUAUUAAAUUUAUUAUCUUUAAAUAUAGUAUAACAAUGUUAUAUUUGGUACAGACUAUUAUUUUUUACUAUGUUUUAAUAUAUGAGUUUGUAAUAAACUAAUUUCAAUUGGUCAUUUUUAGCCACUCAUAUGGCUUAAUUUGCGAGAAGAACAGAGAAAAUUUUCGCUUAUUUUGAAGAUGUGUUAUUUUUUACAAAAAAUUUACUCAUAUUUGUAAUCUCAAAUUUAAAUUUGUACUAGCUAUAUUUUAUUUUAUGUCUAACUAUUACAAUAAAUAAUGUAAUAAAUAAGUUUUUUCUUGAUGUUAUUACAUAAGUAACCAAAUGAGUUAAAAGCGACUUAAGUUCUAUCACAAAUUGGUAUAACAACCUCAAUUUUGUACCUAAAGAGAUAGAUCACUCUCCUCUAAGUCUAAGAACUUAGGUAAAAUGUGUUUACCCUAUUAAGUGUACUCUAAAAAAUAUGUUCUACAAUGAAUAGAUAUGUGCUCACAAUACUCGAUACAAAACUUAUACAAAUCUCAAAUAUAUAAGAGUUUUGAGACUAGCUAACAUAUUAGAAAUAAAUUAUAAUUAUUUCUCUUGUUAAACAACAACUAAAAUAACAAUAUACAAUGUAAUAAUAAAGAUUAAUGUAAGGCGGAUUGUUCAAGAUAUGCCCUCAAUGCUAUCCGGAUCCAGUCUAUAAAAUUCAAUGAAUUCGAAUGCGUAAUCCAAACUAAUCUAAUCUUCAAAAUAAAUUGUUUGAAACAGAUUAAUCUUAAUAAAUGAGUCCACAUACUUUAACAAUAUCAAAAUGUUUAAAGCCUAAAAAUUUUAUUUAAAAUUUUAUCAACCUAAAGUAACAAAGUCGAUUAUAGUAUUAAUCGUAUAUGAAUGAGUAUAUAAUAAUAUUUAUAUAUUUUUAAAAAUUAAUAAUAUGUAGUGUCAAAAAAAAUUAUAUAUUUUAAGAUUAUCUUCAUUUAAAUUAUUAUCUUUUAAAUUUAAUAUCUAUUCAGAAUUAUAUUAGAUAUUAAGCCGGCAAAGGAAAAAAAGAAAAGGAUAAAUUACACCAACAGUCACUCAACUUUGGGGUAGCUGACAAAACAGUCACCUGGGUUUCAUUUCAGUCACUCAACUUUGAAAAAAUAACAAAACAAUCACUAACGUUAUUGAAAAGUGAUAAAUCAAUCACUCAUUAACGUUUUCCAUCACAGGCUUAACAGGAUAGCUGACAUGGUCAGUUAAUUAGCUGAUGUGGCCAGUUAACUUGCCACGUAGAACAAGUAGUCAAAGGGUAAAAAAAAAUGAUUGGGCAUUCUCUGUGCAUUUCUUCUUUUUCUUCUCAUCUUUCUUUUCAUCUUCUUCUCCCUCAACCUCUUUCUCUUUAUGCUUUUUUUUUUUCUUGUUCUUUUCUCCUUUCUCUUCAUCUUCUUUCUCCCUUGGUGUAUGCUUGCUGGGAAUAGGUCGGGGGAGGAACCGUCUACCGAUUUGGUAAUAGCUUUUUCUUUAAGCAUCUUAUUUCAUCUAAAACACCAGUUUUUUGUUUCUGAUAUGCUUCUAUAGAGGACAUUGAAUCUUCACUUGGUGACUACCAGAAAGCUCUAUCCAUUUUGCUACAGCUGGUUGAACCAGAUCACAAUCAAAUAGCUGAACUAUAUCCUUGAUAGGGUUGAAAUAUCUAUAUUAUUGGGAUUAUUACUCUUUAUGUAGCACUCGAUACUAGGUUGAAAUAAAUAAUGUGGUAUCUUGGUUAAUGCAUGUCAAAAAAUAAAUGUGAAUUUUCCUAAUUCCAUUAUUCAAUUUCGUUCAGAUUCUAUAUAUGUUACUUAACCCUUUAAUUUAGAAAUUUUCGAAUAUGUAUGUGUUUGGAAAUUGGCUCAAAGCCCCAAGAAGCAGUUCCAUACUGUCAGAAAGCCAUCUCAGUUUGCAAGUCUCGGUUGGAGAGGCUUAGAAAUGAAGUAAACAAUUCUUCAUAACCAACAUCAUCUGUAGCUGCUUCUGAAUUGGAUGAUGGUGUACAACAGUCCUCUAAUGGCUAUCAGACUGUUUCAUCUGUCAAAGAUAAAGAAGCAGAAAUCAAAACACUUGCUGGUCUUGCCGAAGACUUGGAAAAGAAGGCAAGUCCAAUUUUGAUCACUUCUAUAAAUUAAAACCUUAGCGUAUAACUUUAAGAUUCCUUCUAUUUCUGUGUUUGCAGCUUGAAGAUCUAAAACAGCUGGUCUAUAAUCCAAAGUCAAUUGUUGCAGAGAUCCUGGGAGAAAAAAACAUAAAGAGAAAGAGGUUGAAGGAGAAGAAGAUGAAGAGAAAGAUGAGAAGAAAAAGAAGAAAUGCAGAGAAAAUGUCCAUUCAUCUUUUUUUUUUACCCUUUGACUACUUGUCCUACGUGGCAAGUUAACUGGCCACAUCAGCUAAUUAACUGGCCAUGUCAGCUAUUCCGUUAAGCCUGUGACGAAAAACGUUAAUGAGUGACUGAUUUGUCACUUUUCAAUAACGUUAGUGACUGUUUUGUUAUUUUUUUAAAGUUGAGUGAUUGAAAUGAAGCCUAGGUGAUUGUUUUGUCAGUUAGCCCAAAGUUGAGUGACUGUUGGUGUAAUUUAUCCAAAAGAAAACGUCACCUAGUAUUAACGUUGAACGGUUGAUGCCAUGGUGUGUGUAAAUUGGAGUUUGAUUUUCAGGGUUUUUACUUUAUCACCACCAAGAAGAAGAUUCGAUUUGGAUAAGCUUUACGUUAUGAAUCAGUUUAUGGUUAUGUCAAUUGCUUAACUUCAAAUUGGUACAAUAUAAUUUAAUUUUGUAGAAAUUUUGGAGCACUGGACCAUUCCCAUCUCAUCUUUUCGCCAUUCUUUUCUCAUUCAACUAAUAAAAUAUUAAACGAAUUUGGAAAAGGAAAAGACUCUUAGAAGUUCCAAAUUAGAAGUCAAUUAAAGUCCAUGUAAUAUCAAUAUAUAUACAUGAAAGUCUUCACAAUAAUAGGAUAAAAUCUGAAUAAUAAACACGAUUAAUAUGAUCUGAACAGGUCACACUUAAAACAGUAAAUACUCUUAAUUAUUAAGUCAUCACAUGAAAUUGCUCUCAAUAAUUUGUUAUACAAAUAUAAACUAUUUAUAUAUAUAUAAAUAUUCAAGUCGGAUAUUAAAUAUACUCAAAUUUAUUUUUUAAGCUACUCUAAUAUUAAUAAUGUCAAUUAAAUUAAUACUUAAUUAAUUUCUUCAAUUAAAAUUAAUAAAAAUAAAACUCAACCAAACAAUCAAAAUAUUUUUUUAAUAUUAAGACUAAUUACCUAAAUUGAGAUAAAUUUUUUUAAAAAUUGCUUAGGUAAGAGUCAAAUAAUUUUCAAUAGUUACCCGGUCGUAAUAGUCUAUUGUGUUUUUGGAUUUUGUCUUAUUUCUUAAAUGAAUUGGUAAGUGAAAAAAAAAAAAAGACAAACCUUUUUUAAUGUAUUCAAAUAAGAGCAUUUUAAGUACAUAACCCUAUUUUAUGGUAUAAAAUUAGGUGGAUAUUACAUGUUUAGAAUAGAAUAGAUAACAACUUAGUCGGAUAUUAUUUGAAAAGAAAAAAAAAUAAGAACAUUAUUUGGAACCUAAUAUAUAAUAUUUAAAAAUUCUUUAUUUAAGCACAUUUUGAAAGUUUUUUUUUUAAGGCAUCUUUUAUGUCCGUUUUAUGAUCUAUAAAGACUAAUUCUUUUAGAGGAUUUGAGGUUGCUUUUCCAAAAUUAAAAAUUUAAUGUGAGUGUCACACCCAAAAUAUAGGGAGUUAAUCGAAAUAAUGAAUAAAGAAAUGACAUCGGCUAAAUGGUUGAAUAGUGGGUGCACUCACUAAAGGAGUCACCAUUACAUAGGUAGUUAAUCUAAAACCAGUCUUGAUAACUCGUAAGUUUUCAUUUCAGUGACUAAUGUAAUCUUUCGAAUAGAGGUCUAACGCCUAAGCAAGGUUGAGGAGCUUACAAUAAGUAUAUAAACCAAUAUUAAAUAUGAUUUUAAAAAAAAAGAUCUUAUAGGAAAUUCAUAAAAAAAUAUUUAAAAAAUCAAAAUUAAUUAGAAUUAUGUAUAUUUUGAUUUUAUUUAGAUAAUACUUUUAUUCAAUUUUUAAUUUAUAAAAAAUGGAAUUAUUUAGAUUGAAGUCUUAUUUUUGAUAGUUUAAAAAAGUACCUUUUUAUAGACCGAUCAUAAAUCUUAAAAUAUGUAGUCUUUUAAUUCAAAUAAAUAGCAACUGAUAGACCUAGCCCACUUGUGAUGCAUGCUCAUACGAAAUGUUGAUUACCAACUAUUUGUAUGUCAUAGAAACAAACAAGCAAUACAUAAAUUAAGGAACAAAAUUGAGGCUGUUAAUUGAUAUUGGAAAUUUAGGAUUUAUUUUUAUAACAAAGCUGUUGUGGAGUCUCAAGGUGACAAUCACAUACAUUUGCCCAAUCCAUUUGUCAAUUGGACACACCAAACCUUUUAGUAUUUUAAUUCAGUGUUUGAUUGUUAUUGUAUUAUUAUUACUAUUAUUAUUAUUUUGGUAAAGUUGUAUUAUCAAUAUCGUCCUCGACGAGUUUAAGAAUUGAUUAAUUAUCAACACUACUAAUUAAACAAUUAUCUUAGUUUUAAUUAAAGGCUUCAUAUAUACCUUAGAAACCUAAGUUUAAUAUUUUUUUAAUGUAAUAUUUAUGUCCUUUUCUAUUUAAUGUGGUAUAUGUAUUUAACAAAAGUCGUAUAUUUUGAUAUCUGAAUGUAAUAAUGUUAACUUUUUAGUAUUAAAUUUGGAGUUUAUAAUUGAUUUGAUGAAAAUUCAUAAUUAACUAAUAAUAUUAGCAAUUAUCUUUCAUCUAAUCAAUUCCAAAAUCUGAAUUGAAUUGUAUCCAUCAUACUGUAUUUGAUAAAUUAAAUGCAAAAUUAAAGAAACUCAUAAUUAACACAUUUAUGCUAUUAACAAAACCAUGAAAGAUUCAAGACUAAGAAUAUUAGCAAUUAACUUACAUCAAAUCAACCAUAAAACUUAAAUUAAACAUUAAAAAGUUAACACAAUUACAUUUGAGUACUGAAAUAUAUAAUUUUUGUUAAAUGCAUGUAUAACAUUAGAUUAAAAUAAUACAGAUAUCAUAUUAAAAAAAAAGUGUCAAACAUAAGUACCAAAUGAUAUAUUAAUCUUAAUUAACUGAUUUUUUUCUUAAUAAUUAGAAUUAAAAUAAAAUUAUCAAGAAUUGAAUCCAAAUUUUUAUGCCAGCACAACACAAUAAAAUUAUCCCUAAAUAAGAGGUUGUUGGGUAUUUAAAUAAUGAUUUGAUAAUUAUUUAAGUAGAGAUUUAGUUUUACUGGUGAAGGAUACAUCUGUUCUUAAUAAGGUUUGAACUAAAAUGAAUAUAUUUAUUAUAAUAAUAUUAUGUUAGUGUAAUUUAUAUUUUUGUAAGUUUGAUUAACCUUCGUAUCAAUAUUUUUAAACUUAUUAAUAAAUAUAGUUUAAUAAAAUGUAUUUUUAAAUAAUUUUUUUAUUCCGUUAACUAAACAAUAAAAUUUUUCUUUUCAAUAAAAUAUAAAAUAAUAUAACAUAUUUAUAAUAUACUAAAUAAUUUUACAUUCUACUAAUUUUAUUAUCGAAAAUACUCUUACAUGUGUGAACCAAAAGUUACUCAUACCAAAGUACCUCUUGAACUUAGAUAAAUACCUAAAAUUUUGCUGACAAACACAUGGACCAAUUUGACUAACGUUAUUAGUCCAAGAUGAAAGUGGCAACUAAUGUUCAAUAAGAAGGCAAAACGUGGUAAAAACAUUAACUCAAUAUUUUCAUAUAAUUAUUAAGUGAAAUAAUUGAAUAUUAAAAAAAUAAAAUUUAAAAAUUCCAAUAUAUAUGUAUGUCUGUAAUCAACACUAGCCGCUGCUGGAUCCCUCCAGGUUGUCUCCAUUUGAGUUCUAAACCAACUUGGUGAUGGGAGGAUCACCAUUAAUAACCUGUUUAAAACUUCUCUUUUCUCACCCACUUAAAGACAAUAUAAGAGUAGGUGAACUCAAUCAAACAAAUAGAAUGGUAAAUUGAUGUUGAAAACAGAAUUAAUGAAUGAAAGAUAAAAAAAGAUGGUGGCAAUUCCCCUAAAGUCAAGAAAGACGUGCUAACGUGAGUUGAGAGAAAAAGCCCAACUCUAUUAAAAAAACUCAUAAUUUAUUUUCUGAAAUUAUAAAAAUAUUCUUAGAAUUGUAAUAAUGAAACAAAUUUUAUUUUUUUAAAGUUCACAAAAUUCUAGAUAUUAGAAAAAAAAAAAAAGAAACCCAAAAUUUUCUUUUGGGAUGAAUUACCCAUAAAUACAAUUUUUUUAGAUAAUUAUCAGAUUAGGUCAGUUUUUCCAAAAUUUAUCAAUUUAGGUCAAAAAUACGGAAACGCAUCCAGCUAGACGUAUUUUCAGCGGACUGGCAAGAAAACGCUUCCAACUGGUCGCAUUUUCAUUCUCUCUCCACGGGCUAGGGUUCUUUUAUCAUUUUAGUUCUUUUAAUUGUUUUAGGUUAGGGUUUAGAUUUUGUUAAGGUUUUAGGGUUUAUGAAAUUAGGGGUGACCAUUAGAUUGUAUCAAAUGAAAUUUUUUUAGUUAACUAAGUUGACGAGUCCUAUUUUAUCAUCCUAACUUAAUUUGAAAUUUUCUCAAAUCGAGUCGAGUGGGAUGAAAUUAGAAUUGAAUCUAAUCGAAUAUAUUUAUUCGAGUUAAAUUAAAAAAAAUGACUUUAGGUCCUUGUAGCCAUUACCACCCACCGUAAUCAAUUUUUUUUAUGAAUUUUCAUCUCCUUAUAAUUUAUUUAUUAAUCUUUUAUAUACGGGUUAGCUUCUUUGCUUACUUACUUGUUUCAAUUAUCUUCUAAUAUUUUUCGCCAUAUAUUUUGAAAUAAAAAAUAUAUUAAAUGUAAAAAAUGUGAUUUUUUUAACAACAGUUAUUUUACAGAUAAAAUGCGAAAUUGAUAGUAAUAGAAAAUUUUAACACGAAUAUUUUAUGGCAUCAUCAAUAAUUCAAUUUUAAUACAAAUUGAUAAAGAUCCGACAUUACUAAACAAUUUAAUAAUAUAAGUAGUAGAAAAUGUGAAAUUUAAUUCGAUAAUGUAAAUAGUACACAUAAAUUCGAAAAAAAAGUUUUGGGGGUUUGGGAGGAAGUAAAAGUUUUAGAGAAAAGCAAAAGAAAAAAGUUUUUUUUUUGGGGGGGAAGCAAAAAGAAAAAUGUUUUAAGGGUCUAAAGGGAAGUAAAUUUUUAGAGGGAUAAGUAAAACUUUUGAGGGUUUGGGGGGGAGUAAAAGGGUUUGAGGGGGGUUGGGGGAAGGAAAGUAAAAGGAUUUGAUAUUUGAUUUAUUCGGAUUAUUUGAGUUAUUCAAAUUCGAAAUUUUAACUCGAUUUGAACUUGAAAUUUAAAAAAAAUUGAGUUGAUUUGGUUAACUUGAUUAAUUCAAUUCGAAUAAUUUAAAAUUCAAAUUUUUUUCGAGUCAAAUCGAAUUUUGCCCACCCCUUUAUGAAAUAAUGUUUUAGGGUUUUUUUAUUUACUUUUUAACUUUUUUUAUAUAUUCUUUAGAAAUGUUUUAUAAUUUUUUAAGUUAUAAAAUUAAUAUUAUUUUUAAAAAUUUGAAAUUAUUUAGAGCCCAAUUUGGUAUAAAUUUAAAACAUGACAAGUACCAAAAAGGUAUUUACAACAAUUGUAUUUACGCCAAUUGUAUAUUCAAAUUAUUCAAAUUGUAAAAUUUAAUUUGAUUCAAAAUCGAAACUCGAACUACUUGAUUCAAUUAACUUGUAGCUCGUAUUUUUUUUCGAAUGGAAUCAAGUUUUGAUCACCCAUAGUUUACGGCAAGAGGAGGCCAAUCUAAAAUUUUCAAAAAAUAUUAUCCUGAGAAUCUUGGGAUAUCUGAUGGGUGAAUGGGUAAUUUGUAGGAGUUGAAAUUGGUAGUGGGAAAACGCUCCACAUAGGGCGCAUUUUUAGUGCAAUGUCAAAAAAAUGAACUGAAAGCACACUCAAUUGGAUGUGUUCCAUCCUUUCUUCUAGACUUUCAAGCAAUGUCAACAAACUUUCUGGUAUUGUAAGACAUUGGUACAAAUCAAUGACAUCUUUAUGUCCAGGGGAUAUAUGCAUUGAUCUCGCCAUUGCCUUUGCAAAAACACCGUCUGAAAAAGCGGAUGAUUGGGAUUUCUUCCUGUCUAGGUUGAGGAAGUAUGUUGUCCACCAACACAAUAUAUGCGUCAUCUCCGACAGGGGACCUAGAUUACUGGUCGCAAUUGGAUGACAUGGAAGCCUUUGGGACUGCGCACUCCAUAGAUAUUGUUUAAGACAUGUUGCGGUGAACUACCACGAACAGCUCGAAUCUAAAGCUCAACACGUACAAGUGAUUAUCAUGGGUAUGUAUUCACCACUAUUUCAAUUGCCUGGUAUUUAACCGGUCAACAGAUGUUAGGGAUAAUGGAUAAACUAUUCACUUUCCUCGGUAAAGUACAAGCUCGUCAAACAUCAUUUCCAUGAAAUAUUGAAAAACUUGCCGGCCAUUAACAGUGUUGAUGCAAGUUACCUCUCUAAUAUACCAUUCGGCUAGUAGACAAAAUUGUAUUACAGAGGUCUACGAUAUGGGCACAUGACGACAAACUUGGCAGAAUGCAUCAAUUCCAUUUUGAAGAGGACAUGUCAUUUUUCGAUAACCUCGGUUGUGAAAUAAACAUAUUUCUAUUUAGCAACACUAUUACCAAAAAAGAGCGGAAAAAUAUGUUGGACAGAUUAAGCAUGGGUACAUUUGGUGUGAAGACAUUAUGAAAGAAAUUAGAGAGGCUACAACACGAGCUAAAUAUAUGCAUUCAAAGUGUCACUUACGCCAUACUAACCAAGGGAUGGUGUGACCAUCGGUGCUUGUUUUUGUGUUGGCGCAGAUGAUGGACCAGCCUCAACAACUACUCCAGACCUUGGAUUCCUAGGUGCCUCUCGUAUGACAUUGCCUCGCCUCUUUCGCUAGUAGAUAUGGCUUGUAAUGAUGUCUAAACCAUGACAUGUACUCUGAAUCGCAGGCUAAUUCUCGAGCGAUAAUGAGUUCAUGUGUAUGUAAAAAGUCAUACCUAUAAUUCCAAAUGUUGAUAUUUUCGAGUCAAAUUCAACCCUAUUUCAUCAGUUUUCCUCCGUAAGUCGAUAUGGUGCAGAUAUUCUAUUUUUUAUGGUACUGGUGGAAUCGUUUUCCUAAACCUAAGCUGCCACAUAAGUCUAUCUAAUUUGUGUAUCUAUACUAUAGCAGACACUACUAAUGGCCUUCACGUGCCAGAUCUUAAGAUUAACCAAGAAUUCAGAUAGGAUGCAUGCUUGAAUUCUUGGAUCGGAGUAUGGCGUCCAUUCAAAGUAUAUUAAAAUAAUAAUUUUAAUUAUAUAUUUACUAUUAAUUUUUAAAUCGAUUACGUUAAUAUUAUAUAAUUGAAAUUUUAAAAAUACAUGCCUCUGCUUCUAAUCGUGGAUCUAACAAAAGUCGUAUAUCUUGAAGCUCCUCCAGUAGUUCCACAUAUCUCGACCCAUGGUUCCACCUAUUGAAAUAAUAUGUUAACACAAUAAUUUAAAUUUUAAAUAAUUUUAUUAUGAUAAAUAUAUUAUCUAAUGAAUUUUACCUUGUUAUGAGUGCGAAUGUAUAAAGUUAGUCCGCUUGAGGACGUAAAAAUGGUAGCAGUACCACACCCAUGAUUGCAGCAGUAGCAUCCGACCACCGAUGGUUUCUUCGCCUCACACAUCUCCCGGUACAACGUCACCAACACAGUUGGCCCCCAACUGAGUUCGCCUACUUCUCUAAAGUUCACGAGUUUUAGCAGCCACUUUAAAUGGAUAAAAUUUCGUGAUUUGUCAGGUAUUAAGGAUGUACGCCCUAACGUGUUAUUCUCUUUCAACUUCACUCGAUUCUGCAUUGAGUCUAACAAAAUUUCUUUUCAACCAAUUCAUAUCUAUCUGGGUUCCAUCAAUCGUGUCUGAAACACUGUCUAAAAGUUGCUGGCAUACAUCUCUCCAAUCGAUUGCGAAAACUGACCCAGUCACUAUCACCCCAUUCACGGUAACCCAAGCUGUAACUACACGUCCUUGAAUGUAAUAAUACACUCGCCGCAUGGAAGAUCAAAUGUAUGCGUCUCAAGUCUCCAUCUUUCCACCAACACGCUUUCAAUUGUGGGGUCCAAUUUACACCCCAUACCCAUAUGGGCCAUGUGCAAAAACCCCGUAUCUCUCAAGUAUGGCUCGAUUAAAGAUGAUGGAGGAUCGGAUAGAUUACGAAUAUAUGUCUCCAAAAUUCGUUCUCCCGACUAUAUAUAAAAAAACAUACAAAAUAUCAAAUUUUUGUAUGGUAACAAAAUAUUUAAAUUAAGUUAGAUUAAAUAUAAUAAAAACCUUAUUAUCAUGUGCAAUUGAUCAACUGAAAUGUGCUUGUCAUUCAAACGAAUUAGAGAUUUUGUCAUUACUAAUUUCAAUAAAUACGAAAUAAAUUGUAAUACAAAAUUAUUUAAAAAAACUUAAUAAAAUUUGAAUAAAAAAUAGAGUUGAGAGAAGAAAAAAAAAGAGUGAUAAUUAAGAGGGAAUUGAGAGAAAUUUAGAAGAGAUUAGAGAGAGAAUUGAGAAUGUAAGAGAGAGUUGAGUUGAGAUUGAAUUGAAAAACAAUGGAAUUAGGUGUUGAAAUAGGGGGGGGAAAGGACGUCAAGGGGUGGGGCGUUUUAAAAUCCCGUUGAAAUAGCCGUUGGGUGGGGGUUGUUAGAAAUUCAUCGAUGGAGGUUGGGGUAGCCAUUACGGAAAACACAUUCAAUUGGAAGCAUUUUCUUGCCAAUCUGCUGAAAAGACGUUUUUGUAUUAUUAGCCUAAUUUAGUAAAUUUUGGAAAAAUUGACCUAAUUCAAUAAUUAUCCAAAAAAAACUGUAUUUAUGUGUAAUUCACCCAAAGAAUUGAGCUUUUUCUAAUUAAUAAAUUUUAAAUCAUAAAAAAAGCAAAAAUUAUUAAGGAUUAUAAAGUUUCAGAAAAUUAAAGAAGCAAUUUUUUAAAUAUAAAAACUAAAAAAAAUAUUUAAAAUAGUGGGAUAUUCAUAUAACCUAAGAUAAAGCUUAUCUUUAUUCAAUAGCCUGAUGUUUGUUUUUAAUUGGUGCUUGAGAAUUGUUGUUCCAGGGAAUAAAGUAAAUUAUAUUAAAUACUUAUUUGCCAUUUUUUUAAGUUUCUAGAAUGCAGGCAAUCAUUGGCUAAUAUUUGCUAAAUAAUAGAAGUAAAGUGAAUUCAUUCACAAUUAGUACAUGGGUAAAUUUAAGUCAGUUUAGUAACCUUGCUAAUACUUUAGACAUUGUCUAAUUGAUUGGUUUAUGUUGAAAAGAUGUUUUUUUCUUUUGGGUAAAUCUUAAAAGAUGGUUUUCAUUUAUCAAAGAAAAAUAUAUAUACCAGCUAAUUAUGAGAAAUUAGAUCCAAAUUACAUCUUAUUAUUAUUCAUCCUAUCUACAUUUCUUUCCUUCAAGUGUGUAAUUACUAAUGCAUUUCUCACUUGGGAGAGGUAAUGAAGCUCUUUAACCUUUUACUUUGAGGAUAUGUUUGUUAACUACAAUUUUUAUGAGCAUCUAUUGCUUAUCCCCAAUUUCUUCAGAAAAUGCUAUGAAUGUUUAUUAUGGUGCUAGUGCAUAAUUUGAUUUGUCUUCUGGAUAAAGACAGUUUGGUAUUGGGUUAUUCCCCAAAAAUUUAAGUUUUUUUUUUUAAGAAUUUCAUGAAACUUAAUUUUUAUUUUUUUUUGAAUUUUUUAUAAGUUUAAGGAUUUUUAGAUUUUUUUUUGUAUUUUGUUAUAAUUUAAAAGUGUAUCAAUUUUUGGAUUCUUUUGGAAUUUUUUUAUUUAAAUUAUGAAGUUUAUAAUAAAAUUUAUAAAUUUUUAGCAUAAUUAUAAUUUCUUUUAAAAAAUAAUUGAAAAUAAAUUUUCAUUUUUUAGAGUUUUAUGAUAUUUGUUAUAUUUUUAAAUUUAUUGUUAAAAAAAUUACUUUAAUAUUUUAGCAAUUUAAGGACAAAAUAGAUAUUAACCUUAUAUAAACGUUUCACAUCAUCAUUCUAUCAAGGGAUUAAUUACAGUUAAUGGACGAGUACCUAAGAUAUUACAAAUAAAUAACUUAAUAUUUAUUUUGUAAUUUUUUAUAAUUUGAUGACCAAAAUGAGAGCUGACUAAUAAUUGGGUGAGAUCUCUAGCUAGUUUAAAUUAUCUUAAAAAAUUCCCUAUUAAAUUUAAUGAUAUUAUUUUUUAAUAGGUUAGAUCUAAGCUUUUUUAUAUAAUUGAUUAAAAAUUUGAUCUACGAAUUUUACAUAUGCUUCACAUAUAUUUUAAGUUAACAUUUGAUAUUCAAACCGAUAAACGAACCUAAUUAAUAUUAUAUUGAUAUUUUAAAAAUUCAAUUACAAUGUUUUAGAUAUCUAAUUACAAUUUUUUUUCAAUAUAUUUCACACUUUAGUUUAAUCAACUUGUUUAUAUUUUUUUAUAAAAUGUGAUAUUUUUAAAGUUAAAAUACUUAUGCAAAUCGUGACACAUUAAUAAUUUAUAUAAUAUAAACCCAUGCAUUUGCAAAAUGGUUGCAGAGCACAUACACAGUUACAUAUAUGAUUCUUUUAAACAGAAAUAAACACGAGUGAAGCCACUGAAUAACACACAAUUUAUCUAACAUUAUUCACUUCAAACGCGGAGACUAGGUAGGCUGGGCUUCCAAUCUUCUUCUUUAUGAUUCCCUCUAGAUUUCUUUUCAAACCAUCUUUUGUGGCUUUAUUUGAAUCACAAUCUUCUCUUCUCCUGCAACAAAACAAUGGGUUUUUUGGUAUUGAACUGAUUAAACAUCAAAACAUGCAAAACAAUGUGAAAUAAUGCACCUUCACGAGUUGGUAAAAAAAGGAGAUAUAUAAAUGUACAUUACCUAGGAGUAUGGUCAAAGCCGUCAUCACUUAGUAGGGGUGAGGAGGAGGAGGUGAAGAGUAGACAUAAUGGGGUGGUGGUGGAGGAGGAGACUUGUAAACGGCAGGAGGUGGUGGAGACUUAUACUUGUAAACCGGAGGUGGUGGGGGUGGAGACUUGUACUUGUAAGGGUGCUUGGGUGGGGAUAGAGGUGGUGGUGGGGGAGACUUGUACUUGUAGGGAUGCUUGGGUGGUGAUGGUGGUGGUGGUGGUGGAGACUUGUACUUGUAAGGAUGCUUUGGAGGUGAUGGUGGUGGUGGUGGAGACUUGUACUUAUAAGGAUGCUUUGGGGGUGAUGGUGGUGGAGGUGGGGACUUGUACUUGUAAGGGUGCUUGGGUGGUGAUGGUGGUGGAGGUGGUGGGGACUUGUACUUGUAAGGGUGCUUGGGUGGUGAUGGCGGUGGAGGUGGUGGAGACUUAUACUUGUAAACUGGAGAUGGUGGGGGUGGAGACUUGUACUUGUAAGGGUGCUUGGGUGGUGAUGGUGGGGGUGGGGGUGGGGGUGGGGACUUGUACUUGUAGGGGUGUUUGGGUGGUGAUGGUGGUGGUGGUGGUGGGGACUUGUACUUGUAAGGAUGCUUGGGUGGUGAUGGUGUUGGAGGUGGAGGAGACUUGUACUUGUAAGGAUGCUUGGGUGGUGAUGGAGGAGGUGGUGGGGACUUAUACUUGUAAACAGGAGUUGGUGGGGGAGGAGAUUUGUACUUGUAAGGCUUCUUGUGUGGUGGUGGUGGUGGUGGAGAGUAGACCGGAGGAGGCGGUGGUGGAGACUUGUAAUGGUAAGGUGGUGGUGGGUACUUCUUAGGAGGUGGUGGAGGAGAAGAAUAAGUGUAAUCUGCUGAGGUUUCAAAAGGCAAAUUGAGAGACACUGCUAAAACUAAAAGAGUGAGAAAGAGAGAGGUCAUUGAUGACCCCAUUUUCCCCAUACUUCUAAAAAUGGGUUUAAUUUGGUUAUGCUCUUAGCAACCCUCUUCACUCCCUUUAUAUAGACUUUUUUUUUAACCUUAUAAUCAUGAUAAAAGUUUGAAGAUGGACCGAACCUUCAGCAGCAUGUAAAAAAGACAUUACGUUUAGGUUAUUAGCAUGGUAUGAUAUAAUAAUUCUCUAUUCUCUUCCUUGUCGUUUCCCAUAAAUUCAAUUUUCUCUAUUAAAUAUUUAUCAAAUUCAUUUCUCACUCCCUAUUAAUUCUUUAAUAAGUUUAUAGAAUAUGAAUAAUUAAUCAUUAAACUCGAUUUAAUAAAUACUUUAAACAAUUAAUAAUUUAUCUUAUUUUAUGCUUUAAUUAAGGCAUCAAAUCAUAAUCCUAUUUUAUAUUUUGAAAAUUUAUCAUUUUUUAAAGAACUUAAUUGAUUAAAAUGUGAUUCUAAUAUUUGGCAGGAAAAAUUAGUUUACUUUCCUUAGAAUGUAAUAUUCUUUUGAGAGUUAUUUUCUUACUAAUAAUAGAAAGUGAUAAUUCGUGAGAAAAUUACUUUCACAUGUAAAUAAAAAUUAUUAGAACAAAAAAUUAACUUUCUUUUAUUUAUGUUUAGGUACUAAUUAACUUAUUGAGAUAAAGAUAGUUGUAGCUUGCUUUUUCAUGUCAUUUUCUUAUCUUUACAACUUCAAACCAUUAUUCUAGAGUAAGUUUUUUUUUUUUUUUCUAAAUAGUAGAUAAAUAUCUAUAUUUUAUUUUGCUAUAAGAAAAUUAUAUUUUUUAGCAUACAAAACUUAAAGACAACUUGUAGAAUCAAGUAAUUCUAUGAAAAGCAAGCCUAUUCACAUAUAAUACCUAUUACUCUAGCAAUAAUAAUAUUGACAUUGUCUAAAUUUUCUAAUAAAAAAAUUAUAUAAUUUGUAUGUGUUAAAAAUGAAAAAUAUGGCGGUUAUUAAAAAAGAUUUCAUACAUCUAAAUGAAACUACUAAUUUAAAAAUUAGUAUUGAGAUAAUUUCAAGUUAAUAUUGAAUAUACUUGAAUUUGUACAUACAAAGUAAUGAGGGUAAAAAUUUUGUAAAUUGUACAUCUUCACAAUCUUGAGUUAAUAUACAAUUUUUUAAUGUAUUAAUAUAAUGUUUUAGAUCAAGAUGUGAAAAAACAUAACUCAAAUAUUUGUUAAUAAUAAAAAAUUAUUAAUAAAUAUUUAAUUCAAAAUUUAUUAAUAAUAAAAAUUAUUGAAAAAUAUUAAAUACGUUAAUAUUAUUUUUAUAUAAUAAUGAUAAUUUUGUACAGUAAUCUUAUAUUCUCAAUAAGUGUUAAAUGUCUCAAGAUUUUAAUUAAUACUUUUCAGUGGUUACCAAACAUUGUGAAAUAACUUCUUGAACAAUGAUAUUCUUAUCAAUCACAUUCCAUUAGAAAUUUAACAUAGGAAAGCACCAAAACAACCGCUUAAAAAUGAAUGUGCAUGAUUAAAAUCGCGAUAAGUCUUGUUUAUCUAAAAUUUAAAUAUUCAUUUUAUUAUUUAAAAUAUAUUAAUUUUCCAAAAACAAUCAUUAAUAUUUAUAUUUCUAAUUUUAAACAUUCUUUUGUUAAUUAAAUGAUAGUGUAAACGGUUAAACUCAAAUCGAAAGCAUUUUAUCUUAUAGUAGAUUAUAUGACUCAUAUUAUGGUUGAAAGUAAAAUGUAUAAAAUCAAUACAAACAUCAAAUAUUAAACUUGCACUCAAUAGAUUUUAAAAUUUCUAAUUUUACCACUAAUCUAUUUUAAGAUUUUUAAAAAAUCGUACUUUAGAUUAUCUAAUUUAAAUUUUAAAAUUAUUAAAAAUAAAAAAAUUCUUAAUAAAAAAAUUUGUUUCAAAUUUUUAACCUUUUAAUAUAAUUGUUUUAACUGGUUAUCUAAACUAAAUAAAAACUUAUUUAGUAUAAAAAAAAGUGGUAAAUGUGAAAGGAGCACAAAUCACAACUACAAUAUGCUACAUUAGUUUUAUAAUUGGAUUAAUUUAAUCACCGGCAGAGGAAAUGUGUUAGUUCUAGCUACCACCAAUUUAUUUUAAUUCCUUUAAAAAUAUUAGAAAAAAUCAAUUUGAUUUUUAAUAAUAGAUCUAAUUACUUAAAGGAACAUCGGUGAUGUCCACAUGGCAUACAAGGUUAAGCAUAUAAAAAAAGAACAAAAAGAUUAAGUAUCUUUGCAAGAUAGCUUUCUGAAAUAAAUAAAACUUAAAUAAAAACAAUUUUAUUAUCAAAAUAAAAAGAAAAAAGAAAAGAAAUACUAGUGUUUUUAAUUAAAAUAGAGUGAUCUGGGUAGAAUCUUUUACUUAAAUACUGACAUUGACUUUAUAAGCUAUUUUUUAUCAAAAGAAGAAAGAGAAAAGCAUCCGAUUGAAGAUGUGAAUUAUUAAAUUAAAAUUAAUCAUACAUGUAAAAUUUUAUUGUGCUUUUUUCUAGCCCUCCGAAUGACAUUAUGCUUUGAUUACAACAUUCUUGCUCAGAGAUCGGGUUUGAAGAUGAACUCGGAUGCAUUUAGAUUUUUACAAGUAAAUUAAAGGAUGUUAGAACUUGUAUUCCGAUAAACUUAUAAUACAGAAAGCAAGUAAUAUGUGACUGUACAUAAUGGCUAUGAGGCGAGGAUAUGAUAUGAGAAGAUAGAGAUGAGAGAUUGCACUUAAGGGGUUAACACCACUUUCCUUUUUGUGUUUGGUCCCCAAAGCAUCUCUUAUUGGCUGAUGUUGCAAGGCCGUCCCAUAAGUUGGUCUAAAAGUGCUUGAUAGCUAGAAUUAAUAUUGUGGUAUAACAUAUGUCACCACUAGGUUUGAAUAAGGUUACACAGUGAUUUGAUGAAGAUUUAAAAAAGCAUAGAGAUAAUUAUGUUGCAAAUAUUGUAAAAGUAAGAGCUAAAUUGUUUGGCUUUAUUAGAGUUUAGACUCUGUUAGUCUAUUACCAUUCUCUAUUAGUCUGUUACCAUUUUGUUAUAUAGGCUGUAAUAUUGUUAGAAAGCAGUUAGCAGCUGUUAGUCAUAGUAGUUAGUCAUACAAAUAUAAAUUCUAUUCAUGUAUUGUUCAAAGGUAAGCUAAUAAUAUCAGAAGCGAUUUAAUGUAUUCAUUCUACUUUUUUUUUAUUCUUCAUAAUACAGUUGUUAACAUGGUAUCAGUACCCUAAUUUCUUAGAGGUCGCUUCUAUUGUAGAUCCAUGGCCAAUUCCACUGAUUCUACCUCCACUGGUCGUAGCAGUCCCUCGUUCUCGAUUCAUGUUUGGUUCAAUCGUUUCCUCGUCGUCACACUGAGAAGUUAGAUGAAAGAAAUGUUAUGCAAUGCCAACAGCAUAUCCUAUUGAUAAUUGAAGGGUAUGAACUCAUAAGAUUUUUAGAAGGGACGUUACCUACUCCGCCUCGCUUUGUGUCAUCUCCCGAUGGAACCUUGGCUUCGGCUCCCGAUGCAUUCCUGUUUGUUCAGCAAGAUAAGUUACUCGCUCUUUGGUUGCUUUCUACGAUUAGUGCUCCUUUGUUGUCCUCUUUUAUAGCUGCUAAGACACCGUGUGAGGUUUGGAGCACUGUGAAUCACCUCUUUACUGUUUCCACCAGAGCGAAGUUAUCGCGUAUUAAGCAUGAACUCCACUCCAUCAAGAAAGGCAUGAUGACUGUCAAAGAGUAUAUUAUUAAGAUUCAAAAUACCUGCACCUUACUCGAGGCAUCUGGAUUGGUGGUUUCGAAGGCCGAGAAGGUAGAGAUCAUUCUUGCUGGCCUAUCGUCAGAUUAUGAUGUCGUUUUAACACUACCAUAGUUCUCUUCUGAAACUCUUCCGUUACAGAAGAUAGUUGUUGUGCUACUGAAGUUCGAAAGCCGUCAGACUCAUGUCGUGAAUGACAUACCUUUUCAUGCUCAUCUGGUAGAGGCCACUUCGGCGACAUCGGUGGAGGACUCCGUACAUGGUAGCCAUCCUCCUCCUGGUGCUCGUGGGCAUGACUUUCGACUCGGCUUCAGUUCCAGAUCUAUGGUUGCUAUGGACAUCUGGCACAACGCUGUUAUUAUCAUUUCAACCGCGAAUACAGUGGUCUAUCUGCUCUGACCAUGGCGCAGGCUUCGCUUUUGUGCUGGGCACUAUUCGUGUGACAAUGUUUUUGGUGCAACUGGUCUCUUGACCGGCUGGUUUCCAUCAGCUCAUCCUAGUUCAAACCCCUUCGAUGUGCCUGGACAGUGUGCCGAUUCUUCGGUGACGGUACCGGCGCAUUUCCCUUAUGGCUCCUCUUGGGGAGGAUGGCCACAUUUGUAAAACAAUGCCUCCCUUGUGCCAAGUCUACCGAAUGUUAGGGUUUCUAACCUUUUUGCUCCUAAUUUUAACAAUGAGGCAAGCUAAGUGUUUGGGCCCGCUGUUGAACCAGGCUCAAAUAGUGACCAAUCUGGUGGUCCUCACUUGCCGCUGAAGAUGGGCUAACGCAUUGGGCCAUUCGCUGGUGUUCCUAGGCCAACUGCUUCAGGCCAAGAUUUUGGCCUAAAUGGAAUUGGUAGGCCAGCCAGUGCUCGUCCUAGCAUUGGAUAGGGUUCACUUGGGUCAAAUGUCAAUUUUAUUGGACUUGAGGGUUCUUUUGGGUAUAGACAAGAGUUUGGGCCCACCACUGGCAAUGUUUCAGUGCCAAUUAAUAGAUCAUGUGUUCCAUGGCACACAAAAUCGAGGGCACGCGUUAUUGAUUUUGAUUCUUCGCUGUGCGUUGGGUUGCAUCGCUUUACUAAUUUUCACGCAUCCGAUUUUUUUACUACCACUGGGUCUAAUGCCAAUACAACUCCAUAUAGGUCUAAUUUUGAUAAUGGUAAUUCUUACAUUCCUAUGCCUAUAGGGACCUCAUCAUGGUGUCUUGAUUUAGGGGCUACGCAUCAUGUCUGUUGAGAAGUCUCUGCCUUGAAUAAGUCUACGCCAUACUCAAGUACAUCUCCUUUCUUCACGGAUGAUGGUAUUCCUACAAAAAUAUCGUAUGUUCGGAAUCUUAUCUUGUCUAUGAAAACCAAAUUGCUUCAUUUGUCUAAUGUUUUGUGUGUGCCAAAUAUACGGAAGAAUUUGCUAUUUGUUUCUCAGUUUGCUAAUGACAAUAACGUGUUCUUUAAAUAUCACCUGUCUUAUUGUGUUAUUAAAGACAUCCAGACUCAUGAAAUUUUACUACGGGGCUACACUCGUGAUGGGCUCUAUUAUUUUUCGUCGGUUACUCUUGCUCUGUUUGUCGUUGUUCCUUUUUUCAUAGCACUGGGAUCUAGAGUCGCAAUGCAUAUGAUGAUUGUUUUGCAUUAUGGCAUCACAGGCAUAGUCAUUUGUCUGCCUCGAUUGUUAAACUUGUUCUCGAUAAGUGUCAAGUUGUUUCAAAAUAAAAUGUGCCUUGAAAAUAUUUGUAUUGCAUGUCAAAACGGGAAGUCUCACAAACUGCCUUUUUCAAGUUCUACUACUGAAUAUACAAAUUUGUUUGAUUUGGUUGUCUCUAACUUAUGGGGACCAACGUCUGUUGUCUGUAGAAAUAAUUUAUAUUAUGUUUUGUUUAUCGAGAUGUGUAGUUGAUAAACCGUAAUUUAUACAUAUUUUUAUCCUAUGUUUGGCACAUUUAUAGAUGAUUUAUCCUUAGAUUUGGUGAAUUCGAUGCUCCUAAUCCUUUAAUUUCAUAUUUUAUACUUAGGAGAGCAUAGGAGGGCAAAAAGAGCGAGAAACGGGCCGAAAACGGAAAAAAUAGACCCACAUGGGAAAUCAACAUGGCCUGGACUUCCUCACACUGGUAAGCCACACGGCCGUGUCCAUUUGGCAGGAUCGAAGCAAGACUUACACGAGUAGACUACACGCCCGUGCCUUUUUAAUAGCCUUGACCACUGUCUGGAGCAAUCGCGCACGGGCAUGUCCCUGUCGAGCCCAAGUAUAGUCUUAUUCGGAAAAGGUCUAUUUUAAGGGCUCUUAGGCAUUCUAAAGCUUAUUUAAUCACCUGAGAAGGCACUUAAAAGGGGGGACACGGAGUAGGAAGCAAGGAAUUACUCGAAGAAAGCCGAUUGAUCCAUCUCAGAAGCCUGAUUAUUCAUCAAGACUGAAAAUCUCCCUUCAAUUACCAUUCAGGAGUUUUGGGUUUUCUUUAUGUUUUGUAUUCAUUAUUCUUCUGAGAUGUUUUCUUUUAUAAUUAUGAUUUAAACCCUCUAAAUACCUAAGGGGAAUGAAACCUAAACGGAUCUUGUUAUUAUUAUCUGAAUUAUAUGAUAAAUAUUUGACUUGUUUUUAAUUAUAUGUUCUUAAUUCUUGUCUUAAUAUUCCAGGAUAUUGAUUCAAGUUAAUGCGCUUAUUCAGAGGAGCAAAAGUCCCUGUCUAAGAGUAAAUUUGUCAUAAUUAAACAGAGUUGAUUGCACACCUAAAGAUAGGGUAACAAGAUUUUGCCGAAUUAGGGUGAAACCUAAUAAGGAGAUCCAUAGAUCGAGUUAAUGCAACACUAGGGCGUUAAAUAGAAAGAGAUUUCAAUUAAUCAACCUAGGGUUAGAUGUUAUUAGUCUUGAGAGAGAUAAUAAUAUAACUUAGGGAUUUGUACGGAUCAUGUCAAAUGGAUAAAUCGACUGAUUCAGAGUCAAAUAACAAGUGAAGUCUAGGUGGAUUUUUCCUUGGGUAUUGUCCUAAUCAAGCGAAUUUUCUAAAAGUAUUUUCCCCAAUUUUUCAAGCGAAUUUUCUAAAAGUAUUUUCCCCAAUUUUCUUUCUCUGCACCCUUAGUUUAGUUAAUUAGUUUUAAUAAACAAAUCCUUUAAUUUUUAGGUUAGAUAAUAAAAAGAAAGUGAUUACUAGUACUCUUGGUUCCUUUGGGUUCGACAAUUCGGUCUUGCUAAAGCUAUAUUACUGUUCGAUAGGUACACUUGUCUUUAUCGUGAUAAUAGUUGGUUUCAAUAACGAUCAUUUCUAAAUUAUUUAAAACUUAUCGCAAGUAUCAUGAAUCAAGUUUUUGGCGCCGUUUCCGGGGAACUAAGAUAUUAGGAACACUUGAUUUUUAUUACUUUAGCCAUUUUUCUUUAUUUUUACUUUAAAUUUUUAUUUUCUUUUCUAAUUUUUCUUUUAUUUGUUCCUGACAGGUUUUUAUAGUUUAUGAUUAGAAGAAACCCGUCGGGACCAUUACUGUUUGAUAGUGAGAUCGAUCGCACAGUUCACAGAAACCAAAGAAAAAUAAGACGAAGCUUAAGAUACAAAAAGGAAGAGUAAGACGACGAUACUUCAACCACAAUCGAGAAGAUGGCUGAAAACCAGGAAAAUUUGCUACCUCCUGUGAUUUCUGCUGAUCCAGUAAAUCAGAAUCCUACUCCACGCACUAAGUAUGAUUAUGCUAAACCUACUUUAACAGGAACUGAGUCAAGUAUAGUUAGGCCUGCUAUUGCUGCGAAUAAUUUUGAACUGAAACCUAACACAAUUGAAAUGAUACAGCAAUUUGUUCAGUUUGAUGGUUUGCAGGAUGAGGAUCCAAACAACCACUUGGAAAAUUUUCUAGAGUUUUGCGAUACAUUUAAAAUCAAUGGCGUUUCUACUGAUGCCAUUCGCCUUCAGUUAUUCCCUUUUUCAUUGAGGAACAAAGCUAAACAGUGGUUGAACUCGUUACCACAAGGGUCAAUCACUGCUUGGGAACAAAUGACCGAAAAAUUUUUAUUAAAAUAUUUUUCGUCGACUAAAACAGCCAAAUUACGUAAUGAUAUCUCUUCAUUUAUGCAAAUGAAUAUAGAAACACUCUAUGAUGCAUGGGAGAGAUACAAGGACCUUUUAAGAAGAUGUCCUCACCAUGGGUUACCACUCUGGCUACAGGUUCAAACGUUUCACAAUGGCCUGAAUCCUUCGACUAGACAGAUGAUUGACGCAGCUGUUGGAGGAACUAUCAAUAAUAAGACACCUGAGGAUGCUUAUGAAUUUAUAGAAGAGAUGUCACUAAAUAAUUAUCAAUAGCAAGUCAUGAGGACAAAACCGAUGAAAGCAACCGGGGUUUUUAAUGUUGAUUCGGUCACCAUACUUUCUAAUCAGGUAGAACUUUUGAAUAGAAAAAUUAACAGUUUUUUUGGUUCUUCACAGGUUCACCCAGUAAUGCAAUGCAAUGCAAGUGGGGGAGAAUUGAGCAAUUCAGAAUGCCCACCCUAUGGCCACAACAUGAAAAACAAGCAAUUAAAUUAUAUGGAUAAUAAUCCUCGACCUCAAAAUAAUCCUUAUAGUAACACUUACAAUACAGGAUGGAGGAACCACCCAAAUUUCUCAUGGGGAGGCCAAGGGAAUCAGAGACCACCACCAUUUCCAGGUUUCUAACAGCAACCUUACCAGCAAAAUAAAAAUUUGAACCUUGAGGAAAUGCUAACAAAAUUCAUCUUGGUGUCAGAAACUCGUUUCCAGAAUACCGAGACAGCACUUAAAAAUCAACAAGCGUCGAUCCAAGGGCUCGAAACUCAGAUAGGCCAGCUCGCUAAAUUGAUAUCUGAAUGAACACAAGGUAGCCUACUGAGUAACACUGAAUCUAACCCAAGGGAGCAACUCAAUGCGAUUGCCAUUCAAGAUGAGGAAGGGUUAGUUACAUCUAAACCAGAACCGAGGCAAGAAACUGUGGUAAGUAAAGGUAAAGGUAAGGUAAACCACAUCGAGCAGAAACCGGUAAGUAAAGAGUACAAACCACGAGUGUCAUACCCAAAUGCGACAAAGAAAGACCAUACAGAUGAACAAUUUUGUAAACUCCUUAAACUAUUAAAGAAAUUACACAUUAACUUACCGUUUAUUGAAGCCCUUUCGUAGAUGCCGAACGCAGUCAAGUUUUUAAAGGAGCUUUUAGGAAACAAGUGAAAGUUGGAUGAAGCGUCGCAUGUGGAGUUGAACGUAGCUUGCUCAGCUAUUCUACAAAAUAAGCUACCCAACAAAUUAAAAGAUCCAGAGAGUUUUACAAUUCCUUGCUUAAUUGGUAGCUUAGAUGUUAAUAAUACUUUGGCUGAUUUAGGGGCUAGCAUCAAUGUCAUGCCUUACAAAAUGUUUAAGUAACUAGGUCUUGAGAAACCCAAACAAACUAAGAUGAGUAUUCAAUUAACCGAUGAAACAAUUAGAUUUCCUAGGGUUAUUAUUGAAGAUGUACUCAUUAAAAUUGACAAAUUUAUAUUCCCAGUUGAUUUCGUUGUUCUAGACAUAGAGGAGGAUAGUAACGUUCCUUUAAUUUUAGGGAGCCCUUUUUAGCAACUGUUAGAACAAUAAUUGAUGUUGGCACAGGUGAACUCACACUUCGUGUGGGAGACGAAACAAUCACCCUUUAAGCUCGUAAUUCAAGUAACACAUCAAAAAUUGAAGGUGGUUGUAUAAAUCAUACUAUUAAAACUGAUCAUUUGGUGAAACCUUCCUGGCAGGAAACACGUUCAAAGAACACACCUGAGCCAUGUUCGAGUAACGACAAAAGACCUAUCUAUGAAGAAUGAAGGCUACAACUUGAGGAACUAGAUGAAUAGCUGACACAUAAACCGAGGACACACGAUAAACCAAAACCAUGCCAUGACGAGCUCAAUAUUUCACCAAAUCAACUUAAGGUUGGAGACAAAGUACUACUAGAUGCGGUAGACCCUCGUAUUGCUACGUCUGAACCUAACGGAGCAAUCCCUCUUACAGUACUCAACAUUUUCCCAUAUGGUACAGUCGAGGUUAUUCAUCCCAAACUCGGCACUUUUAAGGUAAACAGUACUCGUCUUAAACCUUAUUUUGAUAAAAUUGAUAGCAGGGAUGAGGAGUGUGAACUCCUCACAUCACAAUGACCAUGCAACAGAAAGGUAAGUCGAGCUUAGACUAUAAAUAAGCGUUUUUCGGGAGGCAACCCGAGCAUUAAUGAUGUUAACUUUUUUAAAAUUUUAGUUUUUUACAUCUAAUCACUAACUGAGUCAGUGAAACACAGGUUUUCUAAUCUACACGGCCAAGCACACGGACAUGCCUUAGGCCGUGCUCACACCAUGGGAGGAGACACAGCCGUGCGAUACUGCCGUGUGAAAACAGGGUAAAAUUUUUCCUUAACACGGGAUGUGAUAAGUUGCCACGGCCGUGCGAUGUAGCCGUGGGCGAGUCUUUCAAACCAACACAGGCGUGUGACACACCCGUGUCUAUAAACCAUGGUUGAAACUGAGAAUUUAGCACGAGCAUGUCCUAUCAACCGUGCUCAAGACUGAAAAAAGAACACGGGCGUGGACAUCUAUACACGGGCAUUGGAGAAGAGAAUGAAACAGAACAUGGUCGUGUGACACAGACGUGUGCACCAACACGCCCAAAGAGCACGGGCGUGUGAAGAAUUUCAGACACGCCCAAAUUUGAAAAUUACGAUAAACACGAGCUGAAAUAAGGGCACAUGGGGGUGCCCCACGACCGUGUGCCCCAAAAUCUAUAUAAACCCCUUACUAUUCAUCACCCCCUUCCCCAAAAUCUCUAACCCUAGCCGCUGCAACUUCACAUGCCCUACCUGCCACGCCCGUGCACCGUCCACAGCACCACCUUUGACAACCCAAAGCUCCUCCCUCUUACGUUUGUACAUUUUUUUCCUUCUAUUCUCUUCAUUCUUUUACUUAUUUGAUGAUAUUUUAUUUUAUUUUGAGUAAAUAAUCAUAGUUAUAAUGAUAGAAUACUUAUGCUCUUUGUUAAGAAAUUUACCAUUUUAAUUGAUAUAUUUUGCUGCAUUUAUCCACUUUUCUUGUUUCCAUAGAUUUCAUGCUUACCCACACCAUAUUUCAUACUUAUUAAACCCACAUGCAUUCAUUCAAUAGAUAUUUCCAUUAGCAUUACUCUCGUAGUCCUAUUCAUAGUAAUGACUUAAUAUAUCUGAUUGGGUUAUUUUUAGUAUAGUUGUUCUUUAGUACAUGACUUCUAUGAAGUAUCUCUAUUAGUUUUACCAUGCAUAUUUUCUAUGCUAUUGCUGGGGAGUAAUUUUAUUUUUUAUUUUUUCUUGCCAUUGUAGGUAUACUAUCUCAACCUUACGUGGUAAGGAGACCGCCAUCCCCUCUUCGAAGAAAAGGAAAGGAGCAACGUCAUCCUCAGGUCCUACCGCUGAGAUCCGUUACCCUUUCCUCCAGUUUCCCUUUGGACCCCAGGAGGAACUAUUUCAGAUAUUACGGGUCCGACCCUUAGGUGUAGGCCACUGCAUUGACUGGGCUGCACUUAAAAAAAUUCAAAUGGCUGACGUGGUCCAAGCCCUCCUGACGACUACCCGUGGAGGCUUUUCUUUGAGAUCAUCGAGCCGAUGUACCACGAGCUCACAAUGGAACUCUACUCGACCUUCCAUCUUCAAGUCGCCAUGAUAAACUGCGACGAUCCUAGAACGGUCCAAUUCCACCUCAGUGGUCUAGUGCGCCAGUUGAGCGUACCGAAGUUCAGAAUUGCACUAGGGCUGUAUAUGGAAGAGUUCAUGGAUGACAACGAACUUGACACCCUCUAUUGCCACAUCCACUACUCUCUCUCCAAAUGCUGGAAGGACUUUGUCCCUGCCUCGGCCACCUAUGAUCCUAACUACUCUAAGGCAUCAGCCCUCACCCCAUCCCUGUGAUACCUACACGCCAUCUUAGCCCACACUCUGACAGGGCGGCGAGAGAGCACCGGCAUCAUCAACACUCACGACGCCUACUUUUUAUAGAGCAUGGCAAACGGGCACGUCUUCGACCUUGCCUAUUUCAUUGCUCUCGCCAUCCGCCAUCAGACGGAGCGGCAUAGGAGAGGAGUUAUCACCAUUAGCCACUAUGUGACUCGACUGGCACGGCACUUCGGGCUCCUCAACACAGCAGCAUAAUCAUCCUCACUCACUCUCAUUGGUCAUAUGUCCCCUCAAGGCAUCUCGAGUAUGCUACAUAUGAGGAUGCUCGAGAAACGACGUGGAACUUACCCUCCUCAGUACCGCCUCGUCCAGUCCACUAAAGAGGAGAACCCAUAAGACAUUACUGAUGAUGUCCCUCCACGUCAUGAGGACCCACCGUCUCAACCAUCACCCAUCCAUCGUCCAGUUCAUGCGGUGGCUUCAUACUCUGAUAUCUCUAAGCACCUUACUCGAUUUAAGCAGCAGUGUUUUCAGUGCUUUGAUCACAUUGAUGCUACUCUUCAUCAGAUUUGUCAGCACCUUCACAUCUCAUCGCCACCACCACCUCGCGAACCAUCCGGCGAUGCUGAUGUUUAAAGACUUUUUAUUUUUUAUUUUUAUUUCCACUUUUAUCUUUAUUUAUCUUCUUUAAGUAGUUUUUAUUUUAUUUUCCUUUAAUAUUAUUUCAAUUUUAGGUUUUAUAAUUUUUAUUGAAUAAUUUAUAGUUUUGGCUAUUUUAUUACGAGUAAUUAUGCUUCCUUAUAUUUCCUAAAGAGUUCUUGAUUUUAUCACAGUUAUAAAGAGCUCUAAAGCUCAUCAUCACUUAGGAACUAAAAAAUCACUGGAAAAGGUUCUCCACAACUGUCAAGUCCUGCUCGACCACGACCACAGCUACUACCAGAUAUAAUAUUCUGUUGGCGCAGGACUUAUGGACUAAUGAACCUCUACCACCACCGGAGUAUCCUCCUCCACUCUCAUCAUUGCCUUGGCUGAUUAUUCUCCAUAACUCCAAUUGAAGGAGUUCAUUCAUCAUUCAGGAAGUUUAACUUCUCUUCUUAUCUUAUGAGUAUUUAUCUAUAUUUUUCAGUAUAUCUAUCUUUGUACAUUGAGGGCAAUAUACAUCUUAAGUGUAGAGGGUCUUUUAUAUCAUUAUCAGAAAAAUCCCUGAAUUUUAUCUUGUUCUCAAAUCAUCUUCUCAUAUCAUUAUUAGAAUAAAAUUUGAUUAAUUUAUGAUUGUUAUUGAUAUGUCUUCAAUUAAAACAUAGGCAUUCAUGUAUUGAUUGUUUAAACUUUAAGGAAUUAGAUAAUCAAGCAGGAUAAGUUGAUUUUUGAGAAUUAAAAAUUUUUAGGUUGUUUCCCCAAGUUUAGGUAUUAUCUCGAGUUAAAAUUCACAGGGUUAACAUCAACAAGCCAUAAUUUCUGUAAGAUCUUGAGCCUUUAGAGCAACUAUUAUUUCUUUCAUGCUCACUGUUAUUAUUGAUAAUGAGUGUGUCAAUAUUGAUUUAUUAUUCUAGAACUUGCUUGAUUAUGCAUGUCAAGACCACACCCUUGAGUUAAUAUGUCAAUAUGAUAAAGGCACCUAGGUUUAACCCACUCACUCCAUAAAAGCAUACCUUCAUAAUUUACCCUUAGUGAACCCCUUUGAGCCUAACAAGCCAUUAAUUGAUUUACCCUCAAUGUUAACCCAUAACACAUUAUUGUUGAAAUCCCCUAAUUUGAUCCCUAUUUUUGUCGAGAUUUGAUUUGAAUUAUUGCAUAGCUAUGUUUUAUUCUUCGUUGCAAUAAUUAGCAAAGUCCUAUGUUAUUUCACUUGUUUAUUUCACUUGUUCCUAAAAAAAAAUACAAUACUUACUUACAUAUUAAUAGUAAUUCGUCAUUUUUGAGCUUAAGUGUUAAUUCCAUAUUCUAAGAAGAAGCUCACUCGUAUUCAACUUAUAAUUAGUUGUUUUUCUAGUUAGGUGAUUUUUUUAAUUCAAUCUCGAUUCUAACCUUUCCUUUUAGCUUGUGACCACACCCCCUAACCAAAGCCACGUUACAACCCUCUAAAGACCUUUUGAUUGAUGUAUCAUCUCAAUAUAUAGUGGUGGAGAUUUGAUUUUCUGCAAGCCUAUGGUAAUAACUUUUCAUAUUGACUAAUGAGUGCUUCAUUUAUUAUCCUUAAACACCUCGAGUGAUUUGAGUGAAUCUUUAGUGAGGAUGUUAAACUCCGUGAUAUUUUGAAUCAAAGGUAAUCACUUAGAUGAGGGGAGACACCUAUGUUUUCGUGAUGAAAUGCUCAACUUGGAAUGUUUGAAACUUUGAUAUUCUUCUAGUUGAAUUCUCCAUGUAUGAUUACUUAUGAUUUAUUUUAAGAUAUUAUUGAUAGAGAUUAUAGAUUGAGAAGAAUUUAUUUUGAUUGUGAGUUGAGGAUUUUGCUUGAGGACAAGCAAACGCUUAAGUGUGAGAGUUUUUGAUAAACCGCAAUUUAUACAUAUUUUUAUCCCAUGCUUAGCACAUUUAUAUAUGAUUUCUCCUUAGAUUUGGUGAAUUUGAUGCACCAAAUCCUUUAAUUUCAUGUUUUAUACUUAGGUGACCAUAGCAGAGUAAAAAGAGCGAGAAACAGGUCGACAACGGAGAAAAAUAGACCCACAUGGGAAAUCGACACGGCCUGGACUUCCUCACACGGGUAAGCCACACGGCCAUGUCCAUUUGGCAGGAUCGGCGUACAAUUUACACAGGUAGACUACAUGCCCACGAUUAUUUAGCAACCUUCACCACGGUUUGGAGCAAUCGCACACGGGCGUGUCACACAGGCGUGUCCCUGUCGAGCCCAAGUAAAGUCCUAUUCGAAAAAGGCCACUUUUGAUGGCUCUUAGGCAUUCUAAAGCCUAUUUAAACACCUGAGGAGGCAGUUAGAACGGGGGGACACAGAGUAGGAAGCAAUGAAUUACUCGAAAAAAGCCGAUUGAUCCAUCUCAGAAGCUGGAUUAUUCAUCAAGACUGAAGAUCUCUCUUCAAUUUCCAUUCAAGAGUUUUGGGUUUUCUUUAUGUUUUGUAUUCAUUAUUCUUCUAAGGGGAAUGAAACUUAAGACGAAUCUUGUUAUUAUUAUCUAAAUUAUAAGAUAAAUAUUUGACUUGUUCUUAAUUAUGUAUUCUUAAUUCUUGUCUUAAUAUUUCAGGAUAUUGAUUCAGGUUAAUGCGCUUAUUCAGAGGAGCAAAAGUCCCUGUCUAAGAGUAAAUUUGUCAUAAUUAAGUGGAGUUGAUUGCACGCCUAGAGAUAGGGUGACAAGAUUUUACCAGAUUAUGGUGAAACCUAAUAAGGGAUCCAUAGAUCGAGUAAAUGCAACACUAGGGCGUUAAUUACAAAGAGAUUUCAAUUAAUCAACCUAGGGUUAGAUGUUAUUAGUCUCGAGAGAGAUAAUAAUAUAACUUAGGGAUUUCUACGAAUCAAGUUAAAUGAACAAAUCGCCUGAUUCAGAGUCAAAUAACAAGUGAAUCUAGGUGGAUUUUUCCUUGGGUAUUGUCUUUAUUAAUCGAAUUUUCUAAAAAGUAUUUUCCCAAUUUUUAGGCUAGAUAAUAAAAAGAAAGUAAUUACUAGUACUCUUGGUUCCUUUGGGUUCGACAAUUCGGUCUUGUUAAAGCUAUACUACUGUUCGAUAGGUACACUUGCCUUCAUCGUGAUAAUAGUUGGUUUUAAGAACGAUCAUUUAUAAAUUAUUUAAAACUUAUCGCAAAUAUCAUAAAUCAGUAGUCGUUUUACAUGGAUUUAUCUCAUUAAAUGAAUGUCUCAGAUGGUUGACUAUUUUUUUCAGUUUCAAAAAAUGGUCAAAACUCAGUUUGGGAAAGAUAUUAAAAAUUUUCAAAGUGAUUGGGGUGGUGAGUUUCGUGCCUUCGCAUCAACUCUUGCUAUUCAUGGGAUACUUCAUCACCUCUCCCGUCCACAUACAUCCGAGCAGAACGGUAUAGCCAAACCAAAACAUCAAGACAUUGUUGAGAUAGGUCUUACUCUCUUGACCCAAGCUAAUAUGCCCAUGGAUUUCUGGGGUUACGUGUUUUGCAGUGUCGUUUAUCUCAUUAAUCGUCCACCUACCUUGGUUUUGAAAGGUCAAUCUCCGUAUUAAGUUCUUCAUGGUAGUGACCCUACAUAUGAUCAUUUACGGGUGUUUGGGUGUUAUUUCUUUCCAUACUUGCGUCUGUUUCUGCAACAGAACUUGGAUUUUUGUUCUCAGCCUUGCACAUUUUUAGGGUAUAGUUCUCAACAUAAAGGCUAUCACUGCCUCACACCAGAUGGUAAGGCCAUUGUCUCUUAUCAUGUUGUGUUUGAUGAACGUCGAUUUCUCUUUUUUUUUAUGUUGCAAACACCGUCCAGUCAGGUCCAUGUAUCUCUACAUAUGUUCCUAUUGCUCAGUCUUCAUCUGCCGCGCCACGGCAUCCUCGCUUGUUCAGCCCAUUAAGUCCUCUUGACUCUUACUCCUAAUUGUAGUUCCAAGACGUCUAUUUCAGUUGACUCUCCGACUGAAUUGGGUUCUACUCAUGAGGUGCACCGGCUCUUCACCUCAUCUCCUGAAUCACGUCAAUGCGACUCUACUACAAUUCCCUCGGUUAUUCCAUCUAUUUUUCUAGAGAAUACUCAUAACAUGAUUACUCGGUCUAAGGCUAGUAUUUCUAAACCCAAAGCUUUCUCUGUUGAAACUGUCGACUAUGAGCCACACACGAUUGAUGAGGCACUCGCUAGUAAGGAAUGGCAAUUAGUUGUCCAAGCUGAGUUUGUUGCUCUAAUGGCUAACUCUACCUGGGAGCUUGUUCCCUUACUUCAUUGUCGAAAAGUGAUUGGGUGUAAGUGGCUUUUUAAAAUAAAAAAAAUCCUGAUGGGGCUAUCACUUGGCACAAGGCUCAGCUGGUAGCAAUGGGUUGUUCUUAGGUACCUGGGUGUGAUUUCAAAGAAACCUUUAGUCUAAUGGUUACACCUACUACUAUUAGAAAAAUAUUGUCUAUUUCUGUUUCCAAUGGGUGAAAACUUCGUCAAAUCGAUGUGAAUAAUACCUUUUAAGAUGGUGAUCUCACUGACGAAGUGUUUAUGCAACAACCUUCAGGCUAUGUUCAGAUUGGUCCAUAUCGUGAGCUAUUGGUGUGUCGUCUGAAAAAGGAGUUGUAUGGAUUACGACAAGCUCCACGUGCCUGGUUUGAUAAAUUGAAACAUUUUUUCUACCAGAUUUGUGUUAUCCAAAUCUGAUGCAUCCCUGUUUGUUCGAGUUACGUACGUAUCCACUAUUUAUGUUCUAAUCUAUGUGGAUGAUAUUACCGUUACUGAAAGUACGACUGACGGUAUAAAUGACUUUAUUCAACAGUUACAUAAUAAGUUUUCCCUUAAAGAUAUGGGAGAUCUUCACUACUUCUUAGGUAUUCAAGUCACUCGGUCAUCCACUAGAAGUCUUCAUUUGUGCCAACGCAAAUACAUCUAGGAUCUGCUUGACAGGAGUUCCUGGGCUAACGUGAAAAGUGUUCACACACUGAUGGUUAGUUCUUUUACAUUGUCUAAAGAUGAGAAAAAUCACCUCGUUGAUCCCACUAAAUAUAGGAGCCUUGCCGGAGCAUUACAAUAUGUGGUCUUAACUCGGCCUAAUAUUGCUUAUGCGGUAAAUCGUGUUUGUCAAUUCAUGCAUAUGCCUACUACGGUACAUUUGGUGGCUUUGAAAAUAAUCUUGCGCUAUUUACGUGGCACUAUUGAUCAUGGGUUAAUUUUUCGUCCGUUCGACAGAUUGUCUUUAGUUGGCUAUGCUGAUUCCAACUGGGGACUGGAUUUUGAUGAUCGUCAGUCAACCAUAGACUAUUGUGUGUAUUUUGGACAUACAUCCAUCUUUUUGUGUUCUAUGAACCAACAAGUUAUUUUUCACUCCACGGCUGAUGCGAAGUAUCGUAGUCUAGCAGUAGCUACCAGUGAUGUUACUUGGUUAGCCUCUCUGUUAACGAAUUUAAAAAUUUGUUCUGCAAAUCCACUUACUAUUUGGUGUGACAAAUCUAGUGCAAUAGUGGUUGCUGCUAAUCCGGUUUUACACUCCAAAUUUAAACAUGGCGAGCUUGAUCUAUUUUUUGUUCGCGAAAAUGUCACUAAUGGUUCUCUCAUUGUUGGCGAAGUUCCGGCAUGUGAUCAGGUUGCUAGUAUUCUCACAAAACCAUUGUCCAUCUCUACUUUUGCUAGGUUUCAUAGUCUGCCUCAAGUCUUACCUCUUGAGAAGCUGGAUGAAGCCGGGUGAAUAUUAGAGUAUAGACUCUAUUAGUCUGUUACCAUUUUGUUAUACAGGCUAGAAUAUUGUUAGUAACCAGUUAGCAGCAAUUAGUCAUAGCAGUUAGUCAUACAAGUAUAAAUUCUAUUUAUGUAUAGUUCAAAGGUAAGCUAAUAAUACCAGAAGAGAUUUAACGUGUUCAUUCUACUUUCUUUGUUAUUCUUCAUAAUACAGUUGUUAACAGGCUUGAUAUCAUCUCUUAGAGAAAACUAGGAGAGAUAAGAGUAAGAGUAUGAGCAAACUAUGGAUAAGGCUCUACCAUAAUACCUUAGAUGCAGUUAAAGUAAGAGUAAGAGCCAACUUGUUUGGCUUGAUAGCAUCCCCUUAUAGAAAAAGCUCUACCGCAUGGCAUUAGAGCAAUAAAAGUAACACUUAAUUUCUUGGUUGAUAGCAUCUCGUAGGGGAAAAAGGUUUACCAUGUGACAUGAAAGUAAUUAAAGUAAGAUUAAGAGCUAACUUGUUUGUCUUAAUCGCAUUGUUUAAGAGAGAUCCAAAUAAAUUUACUCAAAAUAUGUUAAUCAAAUAAUGCAAAUUACAAUGUUUUGUCAAUUUUUCCUUUAAUUGUAACUGGGUUAAAGUUGGUAGUUGUAACUGGUACUAAUAGAAUAGAUUUGGUAGAAAUGGUUGAAAGCAACAUAAGCAAAGAUGACUUUGAUGUCAUUGUAUUGACCACGUGGGAACUAUAGAAUGUAGAGAAUAGUAUGGUGAUUGGCAUCAGAAUGUUGCUAACUUUGAGGACAGUAGAUAAGGAUGGAUCCAAAGGGGCUGUGGGCGGCCCCCUUGAAAUUUUCAAAUUUUUGAAUUUAUAUAUAAAUUAUCAUGUAUUUUAGAUUUGGUGUCCACAUUGUAUAACAUUCACCCCCUUUGCCAAAUUGUAUUUCAUAUCAUUCGCCCCCUUAAACCAUAAGGUUAUACUUUAUAUUAACAAAGUAUUUUCCAUUUUUUUUAAUUAUAUAAAUUUAAUAAUAACAAUAAUAAUAAAAUAUUAAUGUAUGAUAGGCAUUGAAAGACUAAACUUAUAGGUCCAAUUUGGACUUUAAAGCCAAAUUCUAUAAUUAAUUAAUUGAUUUGGCUCAUACCUAUACAUAUUAGGUUAGCGACUUUCUUGUAUUUUGAUUUGUAUGUCUUCUUAAGGAAUUAUCUUCCUUUGGUAAAGUGUUGACACUACCAAGAGAAAAAGAAAGGAUUUUGAUGACGAGACUAAGAGUAUAGAGCAAAAAUAUACAAAUUAUCUUCCUCUUGGCUCCUUAUGCAAAAAACCUCUCGGUAAAUUUUUUGCAUAAAUUAUGUUCUUUAUUUAUUUGACUUAUUUUUUUUAUUUUUUCCUAAUAUAUUUUGUUUAAUAUAUUAUUAAAAUCAUCAGGUUUUUCGAUUAAAUAAUGGUCAAUAAAAAGAUCGAAUCUAUUUUUUUAAAAAAAAGGUGUCAGAAAGCAAUAGUGAUCAACCAGUUCCUUAACCUUCUGUUAUUCGUGAAGAAAAACCAAAUAUUGGAUAUUCCCAAGCUCCUGAAUGAAAUAUUAGGUCUUAUCAAGCCCAAACUUUUGAAUGCGAUAUGGAGUCUUCCCCAGUUCUUAAACUAGAUUGUUACACUCCUUACCUGAUCCGAUCACCAAAUCCAUGUAGAGAGUACCACAACUUAAACCAUAUGAAUUGAAUAAUAAAUAUUUGAAAUUUAUUAAAGUAUCGAGUUCUUGGUGUAACCCUCAGUAUAAUAAUAUGAAACAAUCAAAUCAAUGAUACGCCAGGAACAAACAUUUUUAGGAAAAACACAUGGCGGAAACCUUACAAAAGUUUAUAAGUUUAUAUGAAAUGUAAGAUGAGUUAAUCCCAUACAAUAGUUUCAAGUGCAUUUUUGGCAGUUAAAACAACACUCUAAAACUAUUUGGUGUAGAUGCCAAUGAGACAAUCAUGUGGAAUAAGAUAUAGUAGCAUAAACACAUACAUCACUUACCAUGUCAUUAUAACAUAUACUAACCACAUAAACAAAUUUCUCGAGCUGCGAACGAACAAGUUUACCCAAACAUCUGGGGUUGGUAGAUAGCUUAUCAGAAAAGCCCUCCAAAUCCUAGAGUUCACCAAAACCUGGAGUUCGCCAAAUAGAGAUUCCCAUAGAAUACGCCAAACACACAACCAAAAAACAAAUACUCUACUAACUUACUUAUUUUUUAUUCUUAGCAUAAACAACUAUGCGCCAAAAAGUAACUUGAUACAUUAUCCAUCAGGCGGGUUGUUACAAUUCUCCCUCACUUAGAAAAUUUUGUCCUCAAAAUUCUUAACGGUGAAUAACUGAGGAUAUUGUUCUUUUAUUGAACUCUCUCUUUCCCAAGUGGAUUCUUUUUUAUUGUGAUUUCUCCAUAAUACAUUAACAAAAGGAAUUCUUUUUCUUCUCAACUUUUUUACCUCCCUUGCUAAUGCGAACAGGUUCUUCUUCAUAGGAUAUGUUUGGCUCCUUUUCUAAUGCUUUGACUUGUACCACAUGAUCUGGUUUGGAUUGAUAUUUUCUUAACACGAACACAUUAAUCACAUUGUGUAUCUUUGAUAACUCUAGUGGCAACACCAAUCUGUAUGCCACUGGACCAACCAGUUCCAAAAUCUCAUAUGGUCCUACGAAAUGCAGACUUAAUUUCCCUUUUUAUUCUAACCUUAUGAUAUUCUUCCAAAGAGAAAACUUCAUAAAUACAUUGUCACCCACUUCGAAAGAGAUUUCUUUCCUUUUUAGAUCAACAUAAGCUUUCUGACGAUCUUAAGUUACUUUCAGAUGAUUUCAAAUAAUAGAGACUUUCUCUUCUGUUUCUUGUACUAAAUCAAAACCAACUAUUUUCCUUUCACUGAGUUCCAUCCAACAGGUGGGAGAUCUACGCUUUCUUCCAUACAAAGCUUCAAAUGGUGAUAUUUCUAGAUUGGCGUGAUGACUAUAAUUAUACACAAACUUUGGCAAAGAAAGAUAUCUUUCUCAAUUCAUUCUGAAAUCUAUAAUACAACUUCUGAGCAUGUCUUCCAAAACUUGAAUUACUCUUUCAAAUUGUUCACCUGAUUAGGGAUGAAAGGCAGUACUGAAUCAUAUCUUGGUUCCUAACGAUUCUUGUUGUUGUCUUCAAAAUCUUGAUGUAAACAUUAGGUCUCGAUCUAAAACUACGGAUGUUGGAAUCCCAUGAAGACAUACAACUUCAGAAACGCAGAGCUUAGCCAACUUUUCCAAUGAGUAAUUUGUGCGGGCAAACAAGAAAUAGACUGACUUAGUAAGUCGAUCUACAAUUGCGCAAACUGAAUUCUUCUUUGAAAGGCUGAAAGGGAGAGCCAAAACAAAAUCCAUGGUGAUGUUAUCCCACUUCCACUUAGGUAUCUCUAAAGGGUACAACUUGCCUAAGGGAACCUGAUGUUCUGUUUUAAUCCGCUGACAUGUCAAAGAAAUGGAGAUGUACUCUGUUAUUUCUUUCUUCAUUCCAGGUCACCAAUACAAACUUCUCAAAUUACGAUACAUUUUAUGUAAUGCUCUCAACCCGACUCGAUAUGUCGAGUUUGGAUCUCGGGUAUUACUAUACACAGUACUUAGUAAAAUAUCAAAAUAGCUGACAAAUACUCUUUACUAAAAACAUUUUCUUAUUAUUUUAACCGAAAGAGUAAAUAUUUAAUAACAAGGGUAAAUAUUAGAAAUAAAAUAAAUUAUUACAUCAGACUUGGUACAACUGAUUAUAGUAUAAAAUUUUGUUAAAGACAGACUCUUGGGGAAUAACCCUAAUCUAUGCCACUUUUCCACUAUAUACAUAAUAACCCACUUCAGCACUAUCUUGGCAUACUCCUAGCAUCGUCACUCCUAACGCAUUCUCUACCCAUACACCUAAAAACAACAACAUUAUAAGCUCAAGAGAACUUAGUGAAUUUUAUCCCAAAAAUACCUUGGCGAGUACUUUAAUUAUUUGACUAACAUCUGUGCGCCAUCUAUCUUUUUAAACCACCUUCUUCUGAAUCAGACGGAUACUAUUACAGAUUCGACUUUCACUUAUACGCCAGCUAUCAUACUCUUAACACACUCACUUAUUCUAGAACAGUUUUUCACAUAUAUUAAUCAUUGACAGAUACAUACAUUUUUGGUGAAUACUUACGCAGAUCUAAAUACCAUCAAACUACUAAUCAAAUCAUACAUUGAUUCGAUACCAUACAAACUCCCAUUGAUAAUGUACUACACAAUUUAUUCAAAUGAAUUUUCCACUACUUUGUUACAGGACCCCAGAAAAUCAUCAUAACAAUAACUCAAUUUCCAUAUGAUUUCAAAAAAGGAUAUAAUACAACCCAAAUAUGGCGAAUUCCAGACAACUCAGAUUCAACAACUGUAUAACAUAGACAAAAUCACAUUGAUAAUUUCUUAUGUCCCAAAUAACUAUGAAUACGUCCAUAUUCAAUACUAACAGAUAAUCAUGACGGAUACCCUUCUUAUACAUAUAUGCAUUUCUUUUCUAAAAAUCUCUUAAGACUUACUCAGUUAUAUCACAGAUCUUAUUCAACCUUUAACUUCAGACGUAUCAUAAACCUAUCAGAUCAAUAUCUGUCACAAAGAAAUUGGCAUUUACCCAGAUUUUACAAUAAAGGCAGAUAAUCAUAUUAUAGUAGACAAACUUAACUGAAAGUGCUACAAAGGCCAAACAAAAUAUGCCAUAAAGGCUUCAUACAAAAUCAUGUGUUUACUAUCUCGACGGAUGAUACAUGAUAUUCGUGACAGGUUUUAAAAAUUUAUAAUUAAUCGUUCUUUAAAUUAACUAUUAUCACGAUGAAGGCAAGUGUACCUCUCGAACAGUAAUAUAGCUUUAGCAAGACCGGAUGGUCGAACCCAAAGGAACCAAGAGUACUAGUAAUUGCUUUCUUUUUAUUAUCUAGCCUAAAAAUUAAGGGAUUUAUUUAUCUAAUUAAUUAACUAAACUAAGGGUGCACAGAAAGAAAAUUGGGGAAAAGCUUUUGGGAAAACUCGAUUGAUUAAGACAAUACCCAAGAAAAAAUCCACCUAGACUUCACUUAUUAUUUGACUCUAAAUCAGACGAUUUAUUCAUUUGACUUGAUCCGUAGAAAUCCCUAAGUUAUAUUAUUAUCUCUCUUGAGACUAAUAACGUCUAACCCUAGGCUGAUAAUUGAAAUCUCUUUCUAAUUAACACUCUAGUGUUGCAUUAACUCGAUCUAUGGACUCCCUUAUUAGGUUUCACCCUAAUCCAGUAAAAUCUUGUCACCCUAUCUCUAGGCGUGCAAUCAACUCCGCUUAAUUAUGAAAAAUUUACUCUUAGAUAAGGACUUUUGCUCCUCUAAAUAAGCACAUUAACUUGAAUCAAUAUCUUGGAAUACUAAAACAAGAAUUAAGAACACAUAAUUAAGAACAAGUCAAAUAUUUAUCAUACAAUUCAGAAAAUAAUAACAAGAUCCGUCUUAGGUUUCAUUCCCCUUAGGUAUUUUGAGGUUUUAGUUCAUAAUUAUGAAAGAAAACAUCUCAAAAGAAUAAUGAUAACAAAACAUAAAGAAAACCCAAAACUCCUGAAGGAAAUUGAAGGGAGAUCCUCAGUCUUGACGAUGAAUCCGGCUUUUGAAAUGGAUCAAUCGGCUUUCCUUGAGUAAUUCAUUGCCUCCUACUCCCUAUGUAUCUUCUAAGUGCCUCCUCAGGUGUUUAAAUAGGCUUUAUAAUGUCUAAAAGCCCUCAAGAGUGGCCUUUUCUGAAUAGGACUGAACUUGGGCUCGAUAGGGACACGCCCGUGUGACACGCUCGUGUGCAAUUGCUUCAGACCGUAGUCAAGGCUACUAAAUAGGCAUGGGCGUGUGGUCUACCCGUGUGAGGAAGUCCAGGCCGUGUUGAUUUCUGAUGUUGGUCCAUUUUCUUCAUUUUCAGCCCGUUUCUCGCUCUUUUUACUCUCUUAUGCUCACCAAAGUAUAAAACAUGAAAUUAAAGGAUUAGGAGCAUCGAAUUCACCAAAUCUAAGGAGAAUUCAUCCAAAAAUAUGCUAAGCAUGAGGUAAAAAUAUGUAUAAAUUAUGGUUUAUUAAAUACCCCCACACUUAAGCGUUUGCUUGUCCUCUAGCAAAAUCCUCAACUCAAAAUCAAAAUAAAUUCUUCUUAACUUGUAACCCCUAUCAAUAAUAUCUCAAAAUAAACCAUAAGUAAUCAUGUAUUGAGAAUUCAACUAGAAAAGCAUUAAAGUCUCAAACAUUCCAAGUCGAGCAUUUUAUCACGAAAACAUAGGUGUUUCCCCUCAUCUAAGUGAUUACCUUUGAUUCAAAAUAUCACAAAGUUUUAACAUCCUCACUAAAGAUUCACUCAAAUCACUCGAGGUGUUUAAGGAUAAUAAAUGAAGCACUCAUUAGUCAAUAUGAAAAGUUAUUACCAAAGGCUUGUAUGAAAGUCAAAUCUCCACCACUAUAAAUUGAGAUGAUACAUCAAUCAAAAGGUCUUUAGAGGGUUGUAAAGUGGCUUUUGUUAGGGGGUGUAGUCACAAGCUGAAAGAAAGGUUAGAAUCAAGAUUGAAUUGAAAAAUUACCUAACUAGAAAAAUAACUAGUCAUUACUUGAAUACAUGUAAACUUCUUCUCAAAAUAUGAAAUUGAACACUUAAGCUCGAAAACAACGAAUUACUACUAAUAUAUGUAUGUAUUAUAAUUUUUUUUAAGAACAAGUCAAAUAAUAUAGGUUAAUUAUCAAAAAUAAAACAUAGCUAAGUAAUUUAUUCAAAUUAAAUCUCGACAAAAAUUGGGAUCAACUUGAUUGAGGGGAUUUCAACAGUAAUAGGUUAUAGGUUAAUAUUGAGGGUAAAUCAAUGGAUAGUUUGUUAGGCUCAAAGGGGUUCACUAAGGACAAAUUAUGAAGGUAGGCUUUUGUGGAGUGAGUGGGUUAAACCUAAGUGCCUUUAUCAUCUCGACAUAUUAAAUCAAAUGGUGUGGUCUUGACAUGCAUAAUCAAGCAAGUUCUAGAAUAACAAAUCAAUACUGACGCACUCAUAAUAAAAGUGAGCAUGAAAGAAAUAAAAUAUGAUCUAAAAGCUUAAAAUCUCACAAAAAAUUAUGGCUUUUUGAUGUUGAACCUGUGAAUUUCAACUCAAGAUAAUACCUAAACUUGGGGAAACAACCUAAAAAUUUUAAAUACUCAAAAAUCAACUUAUCAUGUCUGAUUUUCUAAUUCCUUCAAAGUUUAAACGGUCAAUGCAUAAAUACCUAUGUUUUAAUUCAAGACAUAUCAAUAAAAAUCAUAAAUUAAUCAAAAUUCAUUCUAAUAAUGAUAUGAGAAGAUUAUUUGAGAACAAGACAAAAUUUAAGGAUUUUUUUGAUAAUGAUAUAAAGGCCCCCCACACUUAAGAUGUACAUUGCCCUCAAUGUACAAAGUUAGAUUUACAACGAUAUAGAUAUAAGAUCAUAAGAUAGGGAGAGAAGUGAAACUUCCUGAAUAAUGAAUGAACUCCUUGAAUUGGAGUUAUGGAGAAUAAUCGGCAAAGGCAAUGAUAAGAUUGGAGGAGGAUACUUCGGUGGUGGUAGAGGUUGGGUUCCACAACCUCAGUGUCCAGCGAAGAAGUUAUCGUGGUGGUCGAGCAAGACAUUACAGUUAUGGAGAACCUUUUCCAGUGGAGUUUCAAGUUUCUAAGUGAUGGUGAGCUUUGGGGCUCUUAGUAACUGUGAUAAAAUCAAGAACUCUUUAAGAAAUGUAAGGAAGCAUAAUUACACGUAAUGAAAUAGCUGAAACUAUAAAUUAUUCAAUAAAAAUUAUAAAACCUAAAAAUGAAAUAAUAUUAAAGGAAAAUAAAAUAAAAAGUACUUAAAAAUGUAAAUAAAAAUAAAAUAUAAAAAGUUUUUAAACAUCGUCAUCGCUGGAUGGUUCGCAAGGUGGUGGUGGUGAUGAGAUGUGAAGGUGCUGACAAAUCUGAUGUAGAGUAGCAUCAAUGUUAUCAAAGCGCUGAAAACACUAUUGCUCAAAUCAAUAAGGCACUCAGAGAUGUCAGAGUAUGAAAUCGCCGCAUGAACUGGACGAUAGAUGGGUUGUGGCUGAAAUGGUGGGUCCUCAUGACGUGGAGGGACAUCAUUAGUAAUUCCUCCGGGUCCUCCUCCUCGGCUGACUGGAUGAGGCGGUACUGAGCAGAAUCGAUUCCAUGUCAUUUCUCGAUCAUCCUCAUAUGUAGCAUGCUUGAAAUACCCUGUGGGGACAUCUGGCCGAUGAGAGUGAGCGAGAAUGAUUGUGCCACUGUGUUAAAGAGUCCAAAGUGCCGAAUCAAUCGAGUCACAUAGGGGCCAAUAGAGAUGACUCCCUUCCUAUGCCGUUCCGUCUGAUGGCGAAUGGCGAAGGCAAUGAAAUAGGCGAGGUCGAAGAUGUGCCCAUUCGCCAUGCUCCAUAAAAAGUAGGCAUCGUGAGUGUUGACAAUGCCGGUGCUCUCUUGUCUUCCUGUCAGAGUGUGGGCCAAGAGGGCGUGUAGGUACCUCAAGGAUGGAGGGAGAGUUGAUGUUUUGGAACGGUUAGGGUCGUAGGUGGCCGAGGGAGGGACGAGGGCCUCCAGCACUUCGAGUGAGAGUAAUGGAUGUGGCGAUGAAGGAUGUCGAGUUCGUUGUAGUCCAUGAACUCCUCCGUAUACAGCCCUAGUACAAUUUUGAACUCCGGUACGCUCAAUUGGCACACUAAACCACCAAGACGAAACUGGACCGUUGUAGGAUCGUCGAACUCUGUCAUAACGGUUUGGAAGUGAAAGGUCGAAUAGAGUUCCAGUGUGAGCUUAAGGUAUAUCGGCUUGAUGAUCCCAAAGAAGAGCUCCCAUGGAUCAGUCGACAGAAGGGCUCUGACCGCGUCAACCAGUUGGACUUGUUCAAGUGCGGCCCAUUCAAUGCAGCGGCCCACACCUAAGGGUCAGGCCCGAAGUAUCUAAAAGAGUUCUUCCUAAGGUCCUAAGGGAAACUAAAUAAAGGGGUGCCUGAUCUCCACGGUAGGACCCAAGGAUGACACUGCUCAUUUCCUUUUCUUUGAAGCGGGGACAGCGAUUUUCUUACCAUGGUUUGACAUGAUAUCUGCAAUGGCAAGACGAAAAAAAUAAUAAAUAAAAAAGUAAACUUACUCUCCAACAAUAACAUGAAAAAACAUAUGCAAUGCAUGUUAAAACUAAUAGAGAUACUUUAUAGGAGUCAUGUACUAAAGAACAACUACGCUGAAAAAUAACCCAAUCAGAUAUAUUAAGUCAUUACUACGAAUAGGAAUAUGAUAAUAAUGCCUAGUGAAUGAAUGCAUAUGGAAAUGAUGAUAUGGAAAAUAGAAUGAAGUCCAUGGCAACACAAGAAUGGUGGUAUCAUAAUGCAUCAACUAAGAUAGCAAGAAACAAAGAGCAUAAGCAAGGCUAUUAUUAGAACUAUGAAGAUUAACAGUCAAAAUAAAACAAGAAAAAUCGAAUUCAUAAACGAAAUGAAGAGAAAAGAAUGGACAAACGCAAAAGCUUGGUAGAGGGAGGAGCUUGGGCCGUCGUUAGUGGUGUUGUGGUUGGCGCACGGGCGUGGCAGGAAGGCGUGGGCAAGAGUUACGGCGGCUACAGUUAGGGAUUUUGGGGAAGGGGAUGAUGAAUAUAAGGGGUUUAUUCAACUCGUGUUUAUCGCGAUUUUUAAAUUUGGGCACGUCUGAAAUUCGUCCCACGCCGAUGUCCUUUGGGCGUGUUGGUGCACAUGGCCGUGUCGUACGGUCGUGUCCUACUUCGUUCACUUCUCCCACGCUCGUGUGUAUAAGCACACGCCCGUGUUGUUUGAUCAGUCUUGAGCACGGUUGGUGGGCACGGGCGUGUCGCACACUUGUGCUAAAUUCUCAGUUUCAACCACGAUUUCAAGACACGGGCGUGUCACACGCCCGUGUUGAUUUGAAAGACUCACCCACGGCCACGUUACACAGCCGUGGCAACUUAUCACAUCUCGUGUUAAGCAAAAAUUUUUCCCUGUUUCCACACGGUCGUGUCGCAAGGCCGUGUCUCCUCCCGUAGUGUGAGCACGGCCUAAGGCACACCUGUGUGCCUCACCGUGUGAAUUAGAAAACCAGUAUUUCAAUGACUCAGUUAGUGAUUAGAUGUUAAAAACUAAAAUUUUAAAGAAGGUAACACUAUUAGUGCUCGGGUUACCUCGCGAAAAGCAUUUAUUUAUAGUCUAAGCUCGACUUACCUCUCUGUUGCAUAGUCAUGGUAGUGCAAGGAGUUUACACUCCUCAUCCCUGCUAUCAAUUUUAUCAAAAUAAGGUUUUAGACAAGUACUAUUUACCUUAAACGUACCGAAUUUGGGAUGAAUUACCUCGACUGUGCCGUAUGGGAAAAUACUAAGUACCGUAAGAGGGAUUUCUCCAUUAGGUUCAAAGGUGGCAAUCCGAAGGUCUGCUGCAUCUAAUAGUACUUUGUUUCCAACCUUAAGUUGAGUUGGAGAAAUAUUGAGCUCGUCAUGGCAUGGUUUUUUUUAUCGUGUGAUUUCGAUUUCUGUGUCUGCCAUUCAUCUAGUUCCUCAACCUGUAGCCUUGUUCUUCAUAGAUGGGUUCUUUGUCGUUAUUUGAAUGUGGCUCAAGUGUGUUUCUCGAAUGUGUUUCCUGCACAGAGGGUUUCACCACAUGAUCAGUACUGAUAGAAUUUCGAGCUUGAGGAGUAAUUGAUUCAUCACCCAUACGAAGUGUGAGUUUACUUGUGCCAACAUCAAUUAUAGUUUUAGCAGUUGCUAGAAAGGACCGUCUUAAAAUUAAAGGUGCGUCGCUAUCCUCUUCUAUGUCUAGAACAACAAAAUCAAUUGGGAAAAUAAAUUUAUCGAUUUUUACCAAUACAUCUUCAAUGAUACCCCUGGGAAAUCUAAUAGUUUUAUCAGCUAACUGAAUACUCAUCCUAGUUUGUUUAGGUUUCCCAAUACCUAGUUGUUUAAACAUUUUAUAAGGCAUGAAAUUGAUACUAGCCCCUAAAUCAGCCAAAGCGUUAUUAACAUCUAAGCUACCAAUUAAAUAAGGAAUCGUAAAACUCCUUGGAUCUUUCAAUUUGUUGGCCAUGAUGUCUCGUUGAGAGCACCAAAAAUAUCCUAUUCUCUGUAAAAUAGUAAAAAUAACAGUAAAAGGGAAGUAGGGUCGAAUCCUCAGGGACCGGAUUGUACAAAUGCUCGUUUCUUGAAAUCCUGGACAAUUUCUUGGCCAAGAAAACCUGCGUUCCUGAAAAAUAAAAAAAAUAAAAUUAAGAAUCUGGAAAAAAAAAUAGAAUUUAAAGGGAAUUGAAAUUGCGAAAUUAAAUAAAUUGUCGAAAUUAAAAUGAGGAAAAAUAAAUAGAGUUGGGAAAAGAGAAAGUUUCUUAUGUGGCGAGAUUCCAGGCUCCGGUUGUCUCGUUCCGCCUUGGGUUCAAUCCUUGGCCUUUAAGUAACCCUUCCCAACUCAAGUAAGCCAGUUAUAGUGGAAGAGGAUGCCUACGACCACCAGCUCCAAAGAUUAGACUUACGAUUUUUAGGGAACCUGACUCUAACCAGUAAUCUAUGCUAGAUCAACGCUUCUCAAUGGCGAAUCCCAAGUCAUUUUGUCUCUUUGGCUCGCCAACCUUUGACGCAGUAAAUUAACAAACCGACUGUGCAAUCCUUUCAAAACAUACAAAGCGGUCGCCUUUGCAUAUGCUGAAAAGCUUACUUCUUAAGGGCCAUGGACGGAAGCGUCAGCCCGUAGUGCGGAGAAACGAUGAAUACUUGGCGAGAAGGCUAAGUACGGGUUCUAGGCCUCAAAAACCCUUUUUUGGGGAAUAUUGACAACCUUCAGCUAGAUAGGUUUUAAUGGCUCAUGAUAAUGGUGGAAAAGGAAAUAAAUAUAAAAAUAGAAAAUAAAAUUUUAUUCAAAGAAAAUAUGAAGAAACAAAAGCCUAGACUUUUAGGGGGAGAGUGUUUAUAGAAAAAGAUGAACACCCCAAAUAGAGUCACUUCACCCCCUAUUUAUAGUGCUAGGGAGAUAAUCUAAUUUAACUUAAAUUCUAAAAAGAUAAAUACAUUUAAUUAAAGAUAAUUAAAAUAAAAUCCUAAAAUUAAAUAAUCCUAAUAAUUAUCUUAAUAAUAAUUAUUCUAAUAUAAAUAAAAUGGAGUCUUAUAAAAUAAAAUCUCUUCUUUUUGAGUUUUCAGUCCUUGUGUCAUCCAUGCUCGCACUUUUGGAACAAUCUUUUUCCUGUGUCGCAUAUCAGCCCAUUGUGUCUCCAAAUUCGCACUUUUGUCCCUUAAUUUUUCUUUUUGCCUCCAAAUCAGUCCUUUAAAGAUAAAAAGACAUAAAUAGCUAAAAUUAGUAUGAUCAAGCUCAGAAUAAAUAUAUAAUUAGCACAUAAAAACAUGACAUUCUAGAGUGUUAUCAGGCCAGCUUAUUUUGCAGAAUGGCUGAGCAAACUGCAUUCAUCUCCACAUGCGAUGCCUCAUCUAACUUCCGUUUAUUCGCUAAAAGCUCCUUUAAAAAUUUGACUGUGUUCAGCAUCUACGAAAAAGCUUCAAUAAACGGUAAGUUAAUAUGUAAUUUCUUUAAAAUUUUAAGGAAUUUACCGAAUUGUUCGUCUGAGUGGUCUUUCCUUGUCGUAUUUGGGUAUAGUACACGUGGUUUGUACUCUUUACUUACCUGUUUUUGCUCAUUAUGGUCCACCUUACCUCUACCUUUACUUACCACAAUUUCUUGCCUUAGUUCUGGUUGAGGUGCAACUAACCCUUCCUCAUCUUGAAUGGUAAUCGCAUUGAGCUAUUCCCUUGGAUUAGAUUUAGUGUUACUCAACAGGCUACCUUGUGGUCGUUCAGAUACCAAUUUAGCAAGCUGGCUUAUCUGAGUUUUGAGCCCUUGAAUCGACACUUGUUGAUUCUUAAGUGCUUUCUUGGUAUUCUAAAAACAAGUUUCUAACACUGAGAUGAAUUUUGUUAGCAUCUCCUCAAGGUUCAGCUUUUUCUCUUGUUGGUAAGGUGGUUGUUGGAAGCCUGGAGGUGGUGGGGGUCUCUGAUUUCCUUGGCCUCCCCAUGAAAAAUUUGGAUGGUUCCUCCAACCUGCAUUUUAAGUGUUACUAUAAGGAUUAUUUUAAGAUCGAGGAUUAUUACCCAUGUAAUUCAACUGCUCAUUUUCCAUACUGUGGCCAUAAGGUGGGUAUUCUGAAUUGCUUGAUCCACCUCUACUUGCUUCGCACUGCAUUACUAGGUGAACCUGUGAAUAACCAAAUAACCCGUCAAUUUUCUUAUUUAAUAGUUCUACCUGACUAGAGAGCAUCAUGACUAAAUCAACGUUAAAAACGUCAGUUGUUUUAGUCGGCUUUGUCCUCAUUACUUGCCACUGAUAAUUAUUCAGUGAGAUCUCUUCUAUAAAUUCAUAAGCAUCUUCAGAUGUCCUAUUAUUGAUAGUCCCACCAGCGGAUGCAUCGAUAAGUUGCCUUGUUGAGGGGUUUACACCGUUGUAAAACGUCUGAACUUGCUGCCAUAGAGGCAACCCAUGAUGAGGGCACCUUCUCAACAGAUCUUUGUAUCUCUCCCAUGCAUCAUAAAGCGUUUUUAGAUUCAUCUGCAUAAAAGAAGAGAUAUCACUACGUAAUUUAGUCAUUUUAGCCGACGGAAAAUAUUUUAAUAAGAAUUUUUUAUUGUCAUUUGUUCCCAAGUAGUGAUUGACACUCGUGGUAACGAGUUCAACCACUGUUUAGAUUUGUUCCUCAAUGAAAAGGGAAAUAACCGAAGACGAAUGGAAUCAUCAGAAAUGCCAUUAAUUUUAAAUGUGUCGCAAAACUCUAGAAAAUUUGCCAAGUGAUUGUUCCUCAUCCUGCAAACUAUCAAACUAAACAAAUUGUUGUAUCAUUUGAAUUGUGUUAGGUUUUAGUUCAAAAUUAUUUGCAGCAACAGCUGGCCUAACUAUACUUGACUCAGUUCCUCUUAAAGUAGGUUUAGCAUAAUCAUACAUAGUACGCGGAGUAGGAUUCUGAUUAGCAGCAAUCGCAAGAGGUAGCGGAUUUUCCUGAUUUUCAGUCAUCUCCUCAGUUGUGGUGGAAAUAUCGUCCUCUUGCUCUUUCUCUGUGUAUCUUAGGCUUUGCCUUAUUUCUCUUCGAUUUCUGUGAGCUGUGCGAUCGAUCUCACUAUCAAAAAGUAAUGGUCCUGACGGGUUUCUUCUAGUCAUGCACUAUAAAAACUUGCCAUAAGCGAAUAAACGAAAAAUAAGAAUAAGAAAAUAAAAUAAAAAUUCAAAUUGCAACAAAAGUAAAAUGGCUAAAGUAAUAAAAAUUGAGUGUUCCUAAUAUCUUCGUUCCCCGGCAACAGCGCCAAAAACUUGAUACGUGAUAUUCGCGACAGGUUUUAAAAAUUUAUAAUUAAUCAUUCUUGAAACUAACUAUUAUCACGAUGAAGCCAAAUGUACCUAUCGAACAGCAAUAUAGCUUUAGCAAGACCGGAUUGUCAAACCUAAAGGAACCAAGAGUAUUAGUAAUUGCUUUCUUUUUAUUAUCUAGCCUAAAAAUUAAGGGAUUUGUUUAUCUAACUAAUUAACUAAACUAAGGGUGCACAGAAAGAAAAUUGGGGAAAAGCUUUUGGGAAAACUCAAUUGAUUAAGACAAUACCCAAGGAAAAAUCCACCUAGACUUCACUUGUUAUUUGACUCUGAAUCAGACGAUUUAUUCAUUUGACUUGAUCCGUAGAAAUCCCUAAGUUAUAUUAUUAUCUCUCUCGAGACUGAUAACGUCUAACCCUAGGUUGAUUAAUUGAAAUCUCUUUCUAAUUAACACCCUAGUGUUGCAUUAACUCGAUCUAUGGACUCCCUUAUUAGGUUUCACCCUAAUCCGGCAAAAUCUUGUCACCCUAUCUCUAAGCGUGCAAUCAACUCCGCUUAAUUAUGAAAAAUUUACUCUUAGACAGGGACUUUUGCUCCUCUGAAUAAGGGCAUUAACUUGAAUCAAUAUCUUGGAAGAUUAAACCAAGAAUUAAGAACACAUAAUUAAGAAUAAGUCAAAUAUUUAUCAUACAAUUCAGAUAAUAAUAACAAGAUCCGUCUUAGGUUUCAUUCCCCUUAGGUAUUUAGGGGUUUUAGUUCAUAAUUAUGAAAGAAAACAUCUCAAAAGAAAAAUGAUAACAAAAUAUAAAGAAAACCCAAAACUCCUGAAGGAAAUUGAAGGAGAUCCUCAGUCUUGACGAAUAAUCCAGAUUUUGAGAUGGAUCAAUUGGCUUUGCUUGAGUAAUUCAUUGCCUCCUACUCCCUGUGUGUCUUCUAAGUGCCUCCCCAGGUGUUUAAAUAGGCUUUAGAAUGCCUAAAAGCCCUCAAGAGUGGCCUUUUUCGAAUAAUACUGAACUUGGGCUCGACAGGGACACGCUUGUGUGACACGCCCGUGUGCGAUUGCUUCAGACCAUGGUCAAGGCUGUUAAAUAGGCACGGGCGUAUGGUCUAUCUGUGUGAGGAAGUCCAGGCCUUGUUAAUUUCCCAUGUUGGUCUAUUUUCUUCGUUUUCGGCCCAUUUCUUAUGCUCACCUAAGUAUAAAACAUGAAAUUAAAGGAUUAGGAGUAUCGAAUUCACCAAAUCUAAUGAUAAUUCAUCCAAAAAUAUGCUAAGCAUGAGGUAAGAAUAUGUAUAAAUUAUGGUUUAUCAAUGGACUAUCACAGAAGGUGUCAUAGGUUUCUCCAACAUGGGCUUAUACAUAAUUUCAUGUAUUGUGAUCUGCCAUUUCAAAUUAUACAUUAUCGAAGGCUACACCAUAAGCAUAUAUACAGACAUAUCUUGCAAUGGGUCUUAGCCAUAUAGCUUACACACACAUUCAUGUAUUGUAAUCUGCCAAUCCAAUCUUCAUCUUAUUAGAGGCUACACCAUGAGUGUUUCCAAAUCAAAGUAAGAUGUCAUGGGUCUCAACCUUAUAGUUUAUUCUUGUUUUCGUAUCGUGAUCUGCCAGUCUAGUUAGCAAUAUAACUGCCCUACCAGAGGCAUCAUAGAGGAAAAUUUGCUCAGCAUUUACUUCCCUAGAUGAUCACCUUUUUACUAGCUCAUACAUCUCCUACAUCAGACCUUACCUGCAUGCUUACCAAACAUUAUUCUUUUUAAUAGAAUUUAUACAUAUCAUCGUAGCACAUCUUUCAUCUUUGCUAAACUCAUAUUUAUACUAAUUUCUGUAGACAUCAUCAUCACAUAUAUAUAUGCUUCUUGUUUGAACAGUUCAUAUCAAAAAGUCAGGAUAGAGACCCACUUAACUCUCAUCUAUUGCAGUUCAAAGUUCUGGACUCAACCACCCUUCUCAAACCAACAGUAAAAACUGCUUACAAAACAUAGAAUCACCAUUAAAACUCAUUUACAUACAAAUUACCAUCAUCUUAAUCACUUUUCCGCUGCUAAUUAAUAAAUAAAUGUUGAGUAGUAAAUAAAUAAAAAAUUAACUAAGUUUUCAAAAAAAAAAAGUCACUGUGAUGAGAAGAAUAAGUUUUCAAAAACAAAAGUCACCGUGAUGAGAAGAAUGUCAAAAUUAAUUGGUUUUUGUUAACUCAUAUGUUUUUCUAAAAAUAGGUUAAGUUUUCUUCUGAAAUAAACAAAUAUUUUGAAAUGAUUGUUUUAUAAACUCCAAUCAUAGGCCAUCUUAGUGGUCGAUGUAAUCUCCCAAAUUCGGUUCUAACAUCUAGGUUGGGUUGGAGAGGUUACAAUAUAUAUAGAAGGAUUCAUCAAUAAUGGAAACUUGAAUACAAGCAAAGAAAGAAAUCAAUCAAUGUGAAUUACUAACAAGUUCAAAAGCAUAUAUUUGGAUUAUAUUUUGUAAAGUACAAGAAUGUCAAGGAAUUAGACAUUUUGUUUUGAUAGUGAUUAUAUUUUAUAUAUAUUUACUUUUAUGCACUUUCAUAUUGAGUUGAUCAACAGUUUUGAAACUUUAUAGAAAACUUCAAGGUAUCACUUGUUGCGUAAGUGAUAUUUUACUAAGGGUGCAUAAUUGGAGGCCUCCUAGAUAUGUGAAAAUAAUGUUUAAAAAUCCAUCAAAUAGUAAAAACAUAAAUGAAAUAGCAUAUUGAUAUAUAUGGUAUCUUGAGUGUUGAAUUAAACAUUCUUUAGUAAAAGAAUGUACAUUUUGCACAUUGUGGGUGUGUUGGUUUCUUAUAUAUCAAUUAAGCACAAAUUAAAGAAAAAUAAUAUAUAUCACCAUAGUGUUGUAAUAUUUUGUAAAAUUUGUAAAAUUAUAUAAGCAAAAAAGUUUACCUAUCUCGUUAAAUAAAACUCAUUGAGUUGGUUCUUAAUAUUGAAGAAUUAGAGUGGUUGACUUCUUUAUUCAUUUUAUCCAACUACAAGUUGGAUUAAAGUUGUGGAAAUAGAAUGGUUGAAAAUUUGUGUUAAUGAGAAUUAAAGUUGUGGCCACAACUGAUGCCGACUAUUUUCUAGAAACAGGGACUGAUGUCCAAAACAUGUAGUAAAAUAAAAUUUUAGACAUGUUAGCAUAUGAAUUUAUUAUAUUAUAGAUUCAAUGUAACACCCCUAUCCUAUCUCUGUUGCUGGAUUAGGAUUUCAGACUAUUACUAAGAAAAAUAGAACAUUUAACUUUCCAACAGAAACAAUUAUACAAUUAAAUACCAACAUAUAUCAAUUAAAUCUAAUCAUGGCAAAUAUUACACUUAUAGACCUUGAAUCGAGCCUAUGGAGCCCUAGAAAAAAUUUAGGAACAAUUUGGGAUCAAAUCGAAACAAAUCAAAACAUUUUGAAAAAAAUAUAAAAAUUUGGGAAAACAGGGGUCACACGGUUGUAUGGCCAAGUCGUGUGACAAAGCCUACACCGCGUAAACAUUAGAAGUCAAAACACUCAACUGUGUCCCAGCCUGUGUGUCUACUCAUGUGUAUAAUCGAAAUAGGGUCACACAGCUGUGCUGCAGACUGUAAACCGUGUGUGUAUUCGAAGUUAGGUCACACGACCAUGUGACCGACCGUGCCACAAACUGUUUUGAGACACACGGUCGUGUCACAGACCAUGUGAAAUAUGCACCUAAAAUAAUAAAUAUACACGACCAUGUGUGGUGACUAUGUGUGGCACAUGGUCGUGUGGUAGCUUGUGUCUCAGGCUGUGUGCUCCAUUUUUAACCCCUAAAUUAAGUUAAUCAAGCAUCAUUUCUUGCACAGCAAGACAUACCAUAUCUAACUAAUUUUACAUGGUAAAAAUCACAUUCAGAUCACCAAAUACAUACCAAAAUUUCAUUCAUCCUAUGUCUAACCAAUAUACCAUCAAAAGGCAUCUCAAUCCAUACAUUCAUUCAACUCAAGAACAAAGUUACAAUAAAGGAACAAGUUUUAUCAUUAGUUAACCAUUCAUGCCUAAAACCACCAAUCUAAUUGACGAAAAUAUGGGCAUACUCAACAAGCAACCAUUUCAAAACAUCAUCACCAAAUCUUUAUAUACCAUUUAGGAUCAACUUAAUUAUAUCCAACACAAGUACACAUCCAAAACAAAGCACAUCACUAGAAAUACCAAAAUAACUUAACGAUUUACACAUCAACAAUAAGACACCACAUCCCAAAAUGAAAUACAAAAGCUACCGAGAUGGCUGGAUAGUGUGUGCUCCAAAACAAUUCGUCUAGUCAGUCCAUAAAACGCCAACUCAACCAAUAUAGAUAAACAAAAAAGAUAAGUUCUAAUUCUUGAUAUUCAAAUGCAAGAUCACACCACAUUAGUAUAUAUUUAUUUACAUCAUAAAUGAUACCUUCCAAAAGUCAUAACCAAUUCAUCAUCCAAAAUUUCUCAAUACAACCAUUAACAUUUAUAAAACAAAAACUUCAUAGAAACAUUUAUCAUUUAGUAGUAAUAUAACUAUCCAACAAAAUUGAACAAAUAAAUGAGUUUUAAGUCAUUUGAUGCAUAUCCCGCUGAACUAUAGUAACUAGACUCGGAUACUCAAUGAUGCAUAACAGAGGCACCAAAGUGCAAACAGAGGAAGGAAUAUGCAAUCAAAGGCAUUGAAGUGCAAACAAAUGCACCAAAGUGCAAACCCGUACAAGCGCACAUUAAAACCCUAUUGGCAUACUAAUCGUAUCCUAAUCAUUUACUAUGUUCAAUGGGGCAUUAAGAAUGGGGCAUUAUACUUAAAAUCGCAAUACCAAUAAAUCCAUCAUUUAGAGGCACUUCUUAUUUCCGUACACAUAAUAACAAUAAUUACCAUCAUCAAACAUUCAUUUUAUAUUUGUACUUAAUUACAAAUUUUAAUAAUAUAUAAGUAACUAAUGAAAUUUCCCAUAUAUACCAUUAACUAGAAAAAAAUAAUAUAAUCAUAAAGAGAUACACAUAUACAUAUUAUUACAUUAUGAACUUACCUGCAAUCCACUUCCAAAUAAUAUACAGGGACUACUCCGCAAUUUUUCUCUUUCCUCGAUUAUUGUCUUUUUGACUCGGUUCUUGAUCUAUAUAAUAAUUAAAUUUAAUUUAUUAAAUUUACAUAAUUUAAAAAUCAAUUCAAUGCAUGACACCCUUAUGUUUUCAUUAUUUUCACAUUUUCCUUAAACUUUUACAUUUCUCACAAUUUAGUCCCUAAACCCGAAAUUCCAAAAUUUAACAAAAUUUUACAAUUUUCCAUGCUAGCCGAACUUCUUUCUAAACUAGUACAAUCCCCAAUUAUUUACAAUUCACAAAAUUUCUAUGCAAAUUUUAAUUAUUUACACAUUGAUCAUUAAACUCAAAAUUAACACAAAUUCUUUUACAAAAAUAUCCUAAUCAACAUUCAAAUAUAUACAACUACCAUUAAAAAUCAUGAACACCAAAAUUCCAUUACUAACCAAUCCCUAAAACUUCAACAUUUUUAUAAUUUCAUCCUCAGGUUUAAUAGUUUAAGCUACAACGAGUUCAAAAAAUAUAAAAAUUAUUAAAUAUGUGAGAGAGAAACACUUACAUGCACCAAUUUGCUAACCGAAACUUUAAGCUCAAAAAAUGGAGUUUCUUUUUUUCUUUUUCUUUUUUGGUAGGAGAGAGUUGAGAAGAUGAUGAUACCAUAUUUUAUCUUUUGUUUCUUUUCUUUAAUUAAACUAAUUACCAAAUUAACCUUUUAAUCUGAACUAAAUUAUUAACAUAACAUGACCAUAAUUUUCCAUUAACUAACCAUAAGGUUUAUCUAUCAAUCAAGUCCAUUAUUUUAGUUUUUCUUUAAAAAUCAAGCACAUUUAACUAAUAAAAGCUACUUUAGCAUAUUUUACAAUUUAGUCUUUUUUACUAAAUUAACUAACUAGACAUUAAAAUUUCUUAUCCAAAUUUUAAUACGACUCAAAUAUAACUCUAUAAACAUAAAAUAAACAUAAAAUACUAACUCACUUGUUGGAAUUAUGGUCCUGAAAUAACCAUUUUCGAUACUACUGAAAAAUGGGAUAUUACAUUCAAUCUCUAAUUUAUGCUAAUGAAUGUGAGAGAAUAAUUUUCUUUGUAUAGUAAUACUACAACUAGAAUGUGUUUCGAUCCUAUUCUUAGAAACUGAUAGUAGAAACCCAACUUUUAAUUAGAAACCUCUUGUUUUAAAGUUCAAUGGGUAAAAGCAAGUUAUCGUUAUAUGUCUGUGAUACACUAGUAAAACUCAUUAUAGAAAAAAAAAGUUUAAUGGAAACUAGUGUUAUCCAUUGCGUAUAGAGGAUGAAUUUGAAUACUAUUAAUGAAGUUCAUUGUUUAUUGUUUAAAUGUCUAAAGCAAGGGAAACAUUAAAAGAACUCUACCUAUAUAAACAUAAGAAGUGAUGCCACUUCAACAAGUAAAGGUAGGGUCUCUCUUGUAAAUGUUUAUUAUGAACAAGAUAAGCACAUGAUCAUUUUAGUGCUAAAAGUGAACAACCUCUGAUAGAAAUAUAAAUGAAUAUUAUGUGUAGUGUAUUUCAACUUCUAAUACUAGGAGUUGUGGUUCAAUCUUCGGACACCAACGACUUAUUAGAACUUUGAAAAGCAUCCGCUAAUUGAUGGUUCAUAUUGAGAGAUAUCAUCUUAUAUGCAUAAUAUUUGUUGGAGUGAAUGGCUAUAAAGUAUGGUACCAACAUUUAAACUAAGGGUGAUUGUUAGUAGUUUAUAAUGUUGGCAGUAAAAAUAUUUUAUUAUGUAGAAAAGUCUAAUAACUUAUAAUUAUUGGCCAAAUAAUUGUGUUGUAAAGAGAAUUUUUGUAUGUAAAGUUGUCUUAUAAACUUUAUGUAAAGUUGUGUUGUAAAACAACACAAUUAUAUGAAAAGGUAUCUUAUUAAAAGAUAUAUUCAUAUUAAAGGGUAUCUCAUAAAAGAUACAUCUAUUGGAUGUCUAUAUAAAAGACUUUUCUAUUAGUCAUUUAAAUUGUUUUACUUGGAGUGUUGAGGCCUUUAUUGUAUCUUGAAGGUAUUUUAAAAUCUUAAAGAAAGUGCUCUACAUGCCUCAAAGUCGUUAUAUUUUAUAACAUUAUUUUAUUUUUCUAACUUCUAUUUUCCUAUUAUUUAUUUUUCUAACAGCCAGAAUAUAGAAAAAUUAUUAUGUUUCUAACUAUAUAUUAAAUACGAGUACUACUUGGAAGCCAGCACCCACAAACAUGAUAAAAGUUAAUUUUGAUGAGAGUUUUGACGUGGAAGCAAGAAAUGAGGAAGAGGGUAGUUAUGCAGCAUUGUGAUGGUUUUUUAGUCCGACUACGCAACCAUCCAAUUUAGGGUGCGUUCUACAUUAAGGUGAAAAAGCACUUAAAAAGAACAUUUGGUUUUUACACUUAAAAGUGUGAUGGAAAAAUACUUUUUCAUUCAAAUACAAAAAUUAAGAUAUAAAUGCUUUUGACUUUUAGCUUUUACAUUAGAAUGUGAAAAUUAUCAAAUACUAUUAUUUAUAUUAACUAUUUAAAGUGUAUAUAAAAAUUAGAUUAAUUUAUAUUUUAUAUAUCAUUAUAUUAAAUUAUUUAAAUAUUAUUUAUUAUUAUAUCUUUUAAUAAUUUAUAUAUCAUCUAUUUUACAAAUAAUUUAUAUUAAUUACUUCAAAAAUAUUUGGAACUUAUAUUUCAUGUACCAUUAUAUUAAAUUAUUUAAAUAUUACAUAACUUAAAAUGUCCUUUUCUUUAGACAUGAUAGACUUUUAACGGGAAUUUUUUGUAGUAACGGAGAACACCAAAAACUAAUGAGUACAUUUUUUCAUAGCACUUUUCUACCACUUUUCAACUACAACGGUAAUGGAGAACUAAUCCUUACUAAAGUUACCGAAGCACUAGCUUCCACUGUAGCCAUUGAAAUGGGGCUCCAAUUGGGAUUGCAACACAUUAUUAUUAAAAGAGAUGCUCUCUAAGUGGUUUCGAAGUUGAAGGAAGACAAAGAAGACCUACCAACAAUCGGACCUUGAUAGCAAAGAGUUGAAUACUUGCUAAACAGGUUCAGCAAUGUAGGUUUCAACAAAGAAAGAGGCAUGCUAAUGAGGUGGCACAUCAUCUGGCCAAACAGGGUGCAAUGCCCAAUUUCUGCCCGGGCCUAAUCAAAACAGCCCAAAGCAGAAAGCCCAAUUUUUCUAGACCUAGCCCACAACUAUUUUCAGCACCACCAUGCACCCAUUUUCUCCACCACUCUUCCACUCCAGAACACCCACGAACGGUUUCCCUCCAUGCCAUACAUACCUGCAAAAUAGAUUAAUGACUCAUAGCAGUUGACAGUAGAAAGAAAUAACAACAGGAAACGGUUUUGUACUUGGCUAUAAAGCCUUUGAAUUUUUCAUUGUUUGGUUUUUUUUUCUUUCUUUUUUUUUUCAGAGAGAUUGUACACGAAAUACAUACAAAAAUCAAUAGAAAGCAAUUCAAAGGUGAUUUAUCGCUAUUUAUUGUGUUUUUUUUUUCAAUUGGGUUUACAUACAAGUAUAAAAUAUAAGAGAGAACGAGAGGCUUACCGGAGUUAUAUCGCAUUCACGCCGUCGGUAGGACUAGCUCCGUUGGUCACGAACAGAUUUUGGGAGUGGUUGGGGGCUUGAAAGGAGCCUUUCGGCUGGAGAAUAAAGGGAGAGUGAGGGAGAUGAUAUAAUAUCCAAGGCAUUUAGGGUUUUUUUUUUUAAAUAAAAGUUAAAAAGUUUUCUUUUAAGCACAAUUUUUAAAGCGGGUUUUAGGUGAUAAGAAUGAAACAGCAUGGGGAAGGGAAAGGAAUAGCGUGUUUAACUUGGUCCACGUGCAUUUACCCCUUAAAUGGGUAAUUUUCGUUAUCAGUCCUCCUUACUUGCGUCACCCUUUAUUUGAUCCUAUUCUGUUUCUUUUAUUUUUGCCUUGAAUUUUGCGCACCGUUCCAAUUUAGUCCGAGCAUGAGUGUUGCUUUUUUGGGGUUGGGAACAUUUUCAAUUUUAGCCCUUAUACAUUCACGCGCAUUGCGCUUUGGUCCCUAUUUCAAUUUCAAUGGUUUUUUUAUUUGUUAAUUGUCCCUUUAAUUUUGCUUUUCUUCCAAUUAAGUUUUUAUUUAUUUUUUCCAUAAAAUAAGAAUAUAUUAUUUUAACAUAUAGUUUUGUUCAACAAAAUUCAUAUAUAUUUUUGUAUAUAUUAUUUUAACAAAAUAAGAAUAUAUUGUUUUCUUCAUAUGCAUAUUUAUUUGUUUUUUCUUCCAAAAUAAUUUCAUAUAUCAUUUUGUAUUUAUAUACUUUACUUAUAUUAAGUUUGCUUUAUAUCAUGUAUAUACGUAACUUAUACUAAGUUAUCUUUACUCUAAGUGUACAUUAUUGACUUCCUUUUAUUUUAUGUAAAUAUUUCCUUUUAUUUUAUUUUUUUAUGUAUAUUAUUGAUUUUAUGUUAUUUUAUGCUUGUUUAUUUUCUUCUAAGGACCCUAUUUUAAAUGGUAUAUUUUAUUUAUUUUCGUAUGCUAGUACCUUUGUUUUUUUUAUGUAUAAAUUUUCAUUUCAAGUAUUAUUUAUUUAGAUUGACAAAUACUAUGCUAUGUAUUACUUUUUUUAUAUAUAUACAUUAUGUGUCUUGAAAUAUCGUUUAUAUAUUAUUAUGUCGUACAUUAUUUUUAUUUUUAUUAUUUUUUGACCUAUUCCAGACUGUCAUAUAUGUUACCUUAAGAUUUUUAUACAUUUGUUUGAUUGCAUACUAACGAUUCCAAAUUGCAUUUCUUCUAUAUUAUCUAUAUUAUUUGUUAAAACUUGCCACAUACUUUUAUCUCAUGUACAAAACUAAGCUUGUACACAUGUUAUUGCAUCAUGAUCUUUAAAUUCCAACUCUUUGCCCAACAUCAAUCGUUUUUUAUCCCCAAGCAAACCAAACAAGUAUUUUUAAUUCGGUUUUUAUAACUGUUAAUUUAAAAAUUUCCCAAAACAAAGGCAAUGUUUGAUGUUUGAAAUUUUGGAAAUCGUGCCCUAACGUACUGGGUUUCGAUUUUUCGUUUAUCCAAAAUAAUCAAGUAUCCCCUUUAAAGUUUCGUAUGUGUUUUCUAAACUUCAAAACAAGGCAAUGUUCUAUGUUUUGGAAAUCCGAGAAAUCGUGCCCUAACGUGUUGGAUUUCAAUUUUUCGUUGGACCAAAUGAUCGAGUAUCCUUUUGAAAUUUCAAAUAUAUGAGCUUUUGGAAAUUAAGACUCGGUUGUGGUUUCGAGGGUUUAGAAAGUUAUGUCUUAACGUGCUGGAUGUGAUAUUUUAUUCCUUCAUAACAAAAGAAUUCUUAAUGACCAAUUUGAGUUAUUCAAAUAUUUUAAAAGAAAUAGUAUUUCAAAAUAUCUUUUAAAUUUUAGACAUAAGGACAUUGAUUAAUCAAUUAGGUACCAAUUUUGGGCGUCACGAGGGUGCUAGCCCUUCCUCGUGCGUAACCGACUCCCGAACCCUUUUUUCUCGACUUACGUAGACCUGAAAUUAUUGUUUUAAUAAAUCAAAAUGUUUUAUUAAAAUGAUCAAUUUCAAGGUGAUCCGAUCCCACCUCAGAAGGGAUCGGUGGCGACUCCAAACUUUGAUUUUUCAAAGUCGAUCCCCGUUUUUUUCAAACUUUUAGAAAAUGGUUUCGACACAAGGCCUUAAUUGUUUUCCAUCUUUUGUUCAUAUGUUUGUUUUGAAAAGGUAAAACAAAUCCUCACCUAUUGAUGUUAGAACGGUUGAAUUGCUAAAAGCAUGCUGCGUGCAUAACCAUGCUUUAGGUUAGGCUUCAAAUCAAAUAAAUUUUAAAUUAUUUUUAUUUGAAUUUAAUUAUAAAAAUAUAUUAAUAUCAAUAUAAAAUUAUAUACAAUUUUAAGAUAUUUUAUUUUUCAAUAAUAAAACGAAUCAUCUACCAACCCUAAUUCUUCAGUUUUCUUUUUAAUUAGAUGAUAACUCAAGCCAAGCUAACCAAUAAACACCCAAAAUCUACCAUCAUUUUCAUUUUUUUUUCUUUUGUCACAAAGUAGACAGAAGAUUCGGUUUGGAUAAGCUCUACGUUAUUAAGUCAAAAGCUGAAGUAAUUUUAAUCAUAAAUUGUUUUAUUUGUUUAUAAUGCAAAACAAUGACCCAAUUAAUACAAUAAAGCUUUAACUUUGUGGGAAUUUUCAGUCCAAAAAAAAAAAAACAAUUUGUGGAAAUUUUAGAGCAGUUGACCAUUUCUUCCGAAUUAGUUUUCUCACUUCUUGUCCAUAUUCCAUGUAUAUUAUUUCAAGAAAUUAGGUUUAGAAAAUUGCAUAAUUCAACCAUUGAACUAAUAAAUAUUAAAGAAAAAUUGGGUGGCAAAAAUAUCUUAUUAAAAGCGAAUCAUAUACUAUUAAUAGAUUUUAUGAUUAAAUUAGUUUCACGUGUUAACGGGAUAUUAACUUGAUUUAGUAAAUUAUAAAAAUGUCUUUUAAUGUUUAAAAUAAAUUAUAUUAUUUGAAGAUAUUUUAAUUUUUUUAUUAAAAAAGGAUGAUGUCUCAAAUUAACUCACAAUCUAAUUUAAUUUUUUAUUUUAAUAUCGUAAAUGUUUCAUGUUUUAUUAUUAAUUUGUUUCAAAUUAUACAUUUCAUUAUUUAUUUUAUGUUAUUUUUAAACAUAUUUGUGUUCUAAAUACCAAAUUUUCACUUAAGGGUAUCAGAGACGAAUCUAGAGAGGCUAGUAGGGGCCCCGGUCUCCUUAAAAUGAAAAUUAUUAUUUAAGCCCUUUAGAAAAUUUUAAAAUUUUAAAUUAGUAAAUGUAAAAUUGCACUUUGACCCCCUAAAAUUAUAAAAAUUUAAUUUAAUCUUUUAAAAAUUAUAAAGAUAUAAACUAGUAAAAAUUAAAAUUUCAUUUCGAUCCUCCCUAAAACAUAUUUUUGGCUUCACCUAAAGGGUAUGACUAGUAUGAAUAAUUUUCUUUGGAAGUCUUAAACAAACAGGAGUUAAGUAAAAAGGAGUUUUCAUACAUACAUAUUCGGCGUUGAUGUUUCCCUUUCGAAAAUUUAAAUUAAGACAUAGGAAAAGAAACUAAAAUUGAGCUUAAUUUAUGCAGUUGGGUUCAAAAUUUAAUAUUUAAAUAUAAAAAUUCUAAUAAUUCGAUCUGGUCCGUUUCAUCUAGCAGACUAAUAAUAAAUCUUAAAACAUAUUAUAUUUUAAUUUUAAUAAAACCAAAACUGAUACAUUUGACCUACAUCUACAUGUGAUCUAUGCUUAAUUAAAUUAGUCUAAAUUAGACGAGAUCUUGAUUAGGAGUCAUUUAUUUAUAUUAUAAGUCCCUGAAACAUGCAAAACUUACAUUUAAAAAUUAAUAUUUUUACGUUGUUGUUAGAAUAUAGGGUUUGUUAAUGUUUUCGUGUGAAGUCAGCUGUUGACAUUACCAACCAGAUAAUGAAAAGGGAACAUGGCAAUUAUUCCAUCCUAAUUGUCACACACACACACACACCUAAUUAAGUUAAUCCAAAAAUUACCUAACGUUUAGCAUUUCAAUGGUAGAGUCAGCUCUUUCUUCUAGUCUAUCAAAAAAAAAAAAUCAAUUUAACCCCUAACUCUUGGAUGGAAAAGUUUUUGCUAUGAACUUGUUGAAGUGAAUCUAAUGUGAUAUAAACACAUCACAAUCCAUGUGUGUAAUUAAAAAUAAUAGAGAGAGAUUGAAUAAUUUAAAGGGAAAAAAAAAGAAUUUACUCCCUCCACUAACAGGUAACUCUUGCAGCUUGAAUCUACAACGUAUGUAUGAAAGUGAACACCUUUAAUUAAUGAAUAAAUACUAAAGUUCUAGGUUUAGAAUUAAUUAAAUAUCAAUACAAAAAGUUAAUUACUUUUUGAAAUAAGGAUAAAUCGGUUUUUGAGGUUUGAUAAUUUUUCACAUAUCGAGGUUUGAAUUUUUUUAUCUUAAGUUCUAAACUUGACAAUAGUUCUCAAGAUGUGAAGGUUUUUUUUUUAUCCAAAUUAGGCUAUGAACUUAGAUAGAAAUCUUAAAAUUCAACCCUAAUGUAGGUAUAAUUGUCAAGUUAAAAAAAAUUCAAAUCUUAAUAGAAGAAUAAUCUACUAAUUGGUAACCCUAAUAUAAAAACAAUUGUUAAGUUGAAAACUUAAUUUUUUUUAAAAAUUCAAACCCUUAUUAACUUUAGGAUUUAACCCUUUGAAAUAUUGCGUUAAUUAAUAAGUGUAAGAAUUAUUUUGUGUUAAUGAUUAAAUAAAUAUUUAAGUGGAGAUCAAGUUUUACCUCAUUUGUCAAUUGUCAGGUGAAGAAUAUAUACCCUAAAGGCCUAUCAAAAACGGACCUAUCUCUAUAUAUCUUUACUAAUUUACUAUUCAUUUUUAAUGAAAAGCAAUAAAUUAAUGAAAACGCUAUAAAACGAAAACUACAUGAAUAAAUUAUAUGUGUAAAAUUGAAAUAUUUCGUGACGACAUUAUUGAAAAAAAUAAUCAUUAACCUUAAAUAUAAACAAUUAUGACAUUUCUAUAAAAUAUCAUUUAAUAUAUUGCAUCAAAGUUUUAAAAAAUGUUAUGUGUAUACUUUUACCUCGUAUAAAAAAGUCUUUCAUUUCUCAAUUCUUAUGGCAUAGUAAAUUUAUUAUUAAUUUUUAAAAAAAAUGGUUAUUAUUUGUGUAUUAAAUAAUUAUUGGGAUAAAUUUUAAAGUUGUACAUGGAUUUUGGUUACAUGUUAAUUAUAAACAUUAACUUUGAUUUUAUAUAAUUUUAUAUAUGAAAUUUUAAUUUGAUCCAAUUCUCAUAAAUUAUUAACAUAAUUAUUGAUAUAAUAUCAUUUUAUGUUUAUAUGCUAUAUACAGAAAUAAUUAUAUUUAUUCAAUAUAAAAAUUAAUUGAUGUAUUUAUUUCUUUAAACGUAUAUGAUUGAAUCAAAAUUAAAACAUCAUGUAUACAUUUGAACCAUAACUAAAAUUUUACAUAUAUAAUUAUACAAAAUUACAAUUCAUAUACGUAAUAAACUAAAAUUCAAUUUUUUUAUAAAAUUAACCUAAAAAAUUUAAUUAAUUACAUAAAUGACCCUUUUUUUUAUUAAACACGUAAAUGACCUAAAAUCUACCGUGAAAAUUGGUGGAAGCAAAGAGUUUGGCACCACCAACAUGCCACGUCAGCAACCAAGAUAAAAAAAAUCAACUUUUUGGUAGAGCCAUGCAUAAUAGUGCUACUUGUAUAAAUAUCAGGAAAAUACUAUAAUUUCUAAAAAAUAAGGGACUUUAAUAAAAAAAAAUUCUAUUUUCUGGUGGAGCCAAAUAAAUUGGCGCCACCAGUUUCCAAUGUGAUUUUUUUUAAAGUUUUCUAAAAUUUUAAAUAUAUUAAAAAAUGUUAAGUAUAAUUAAUUUUAAAAGUUUAAUAUAUUUAAAAAUUUAAUAUACUUAAUAUAUAUUUUUAAUAGGUAAAGAAAAAAAUGAUUUUUUAAUAUAUUUAAAAUUUUAAAAAACUUAAAAAAUUUAAAUACUUUAAAAAAUAUUAAGUAUAACUAAUUUUAAAAUUUUAAUAUAUUUAAUAUAUUUUUAAAAUAUUUUUAAAAUUUUUAAUAUAUUUAAAUUUUUUAAAGUUUUUUAAAAUUUUAAAUAUAUUAAAAAAAAUUUCCUCAUUACCUAUUAAAAAUAUAUUAAAUAUAUUAAAAUUUUAACAUAUAUUUUUAAAAUAUAUAUUAAAUAUAUUAAAAUUUUAAAAUUAGUUAUACUUAACAUUUUUUUAAUAUAUUUAAUUUUUUACUAUUUUUUAAAAAUUUUAAAUAUAUUAAGAAAAUAUUUUUUAUAUUUACCUAUUAAAAAUAUAUUUUAAGUAUAUUAAAUUUUUAAAUAUAUUAAACUUUUAAAAAUAAUUAUACUUAACAUUUUUUAAUAUAUUUAAAAUUUUAGAAAACUUUAAAAAAAAUUACAUUUGAAACUGAUUGGCUCCACCAGAAAAUAGAAAAUUUUUAUUAAAGUCCCCCCAUUUUUUAGAAAUUAUAAUAUUUUUUUGAUAUUUAUACAAGUGGCGCCAUUCUACAUGGCUCUAUCAAAAAGUUGAUUUUUUUUAUCCUGGUUGCUGACGUGGCAUAUUGGUGGAGCUAAACUCUUUACCUCCACCAAUUUUCACAGAAAAUUUUAAGUUAUUUAUGUGUUUAAUCAAAAAAAUAGAUCAUUUAUAUAAUUAAUUAAAUUUUUUAAAUUAAUUUUAUAAAAAAAACCCUAAAAUUCAUAUAUAUAACUGUAAGAUUUAUGUCCACAAUUAUCUAAAGCUAAUCGGUGAUAAUUACUAUGGAAAUUCAAUGUACUUAACUAAUUGAUUGAUAGGAACAAGCAUGAUGAAAUCCAUGAUUGGGAAGAGAGAGAAUUCAAAAACUGAACGCCCCAUUAAUCCAUGCGAAUAAACUUUUUCGGUAUACAUCAUAAUUCAUUUAAUUUUAUCAUUAUCUCUAUGCUAUAAUUAUGUUUAAACUAAAAUACUUGAGACAUUAAUAGUUUGUGUUAUAUAAAUUAUGAUAUCCAUAUAUCCAUAUUAUAUAUAUAUUUUUAUAUUAUGAAUGCAUUUAAAAAAAAAUUAUGAAAAAUGUAGAGUCCGCAAAUAAAAAAUGGCUUACAAAUUAACAGAAAACCAAUUUUAUUUCUUGUAAAUUGAUUUACCAUAUUAAAAAGUGUAAAUCUUUUUUUAAAUUUAUUUACGAGUAAUUUUAUUUUUAUAAAAAUUAAUUUUAGCCAAGCCUAAUAUUAUUUUAUUAAUAAUAUUAUUUUUAUUUUUAUUUUUAAACAAUUUAAAAUUAUUAAUAUCAAAUAUUAUAAUGUUGAAUCCUAGUAACAUACAUAUUAAAUUAUUUAUAUUAUGUUAUAUUACAAUUUUAUUUUAAUAAUAAAUUUUAACAACAAUAAUUUUAAAUUUUAAAUCGUAUUUUUAAUAUAUUAUUGAAAAAUAUUUAUAUUAAUAUUUUAAUAAUAAAUAUAUAUUAAAAUUUAUAAAUAUUUAAUAAUAAAUUUUUUAUAGUAUAAAAUAUGAAUAUUUUAAUUAUAUAGAUAUGAGUAUUUGUUUAAAUCAUGCUUAAGUUCAUUUAUCUCCCAACUCUAAUGUGUCAUUAUACACUGUCAUAUAUAUAAUAUAUGUAAUUUAAGCAUUAUUUAUUAUUAAAUUUAUAUAUGAUAUUAAUUAUAAUAAAAUAUUAUCUUAUUAUAAAAGAAAUUCCAAUUGUCAAAAAGAAAUGUUACUCUAAUAUUUUGUAAUAAGUAUAUUUAUAUUGUAUUUGUUUCACUAAUAACAAAUUUAAAAUGAUUUUAGAAAAAAAUAUCAAAAAAUAAAAAAUAUUUUAAUCAAAAUAAUUCAAAUAAAAAAAACUAAACUUUUCCAUGAAAUCAAUCCAAUUUUAAGAAAACAUUAAAAUUGUUUUAGGUGAAACAAAAGGAACCUAUAUUUUAUAUAGUAUUUGAAAAGUUGUUGUAUCUAGAAUUAUUAUCUUUAAUUUUUUUUAGGUCUAUUUCUAAUUUUCAAAAAUUGAGAAGUUAAUUUCUCUAUUUUACUUUAUCAGUCCGUGCUUAUUUUUUAUUAAUUUGUUGUGUAUAAAUGGUUAAACUAUUGAUUUUUGUUAAUUACUAGCAUGUAAAUUGUUAAACUACUUGUUCCCAAGUCAACAGUAAAGCUUAAUAGUAUUAUCAAUUUGGAAUAAUUUCUGAGAUUUUUCUUUUAUUUUGCGUGAUUAAGAUAUUUUUCAUGUACGGUUUAAGGUUUAUGAAGACUAAUCCUUUCGAGUUUAUAACUACCCUUUUUAAUAAUGUCGUCUUUAAAAUUCGAGUUCUCUUUCUUGUAAGUACAAUAUGCCUUACAUUUAUAACUAAUACUUCUUAUUUUUGUAAAAUAUAAGAAUCAAAUUAUGUAGUAAGAUUAAUUUCUAGAUUUUUUAAAUUUAAAAUUUAACAUUUAAAAUAUUAUCAAUCACAUCACACACAAAACCAAAGAGCAAGAGAAUCUAAAAAACACGUGGACCAUUAAUUUAGGAAUGGACAGAAACUCAUGCAAAAUGGUUGGAAAACACGUACAGGAUUAUAUAUACUAAUCAUUUUUAUUAUUAAGCAGAAUUGGAAAUAAAUAAAUACGGGCGAAACCACUGAAUAAUACAGCAUUGAAAUGCAAUUUGUCUACAUCAUUAUUGUUCUUCACUUCAAACGCGGAGACUAGUCUAGGGUCCCAAUCUUUUGCUUUAUCUCUCUAGAUAUAUCCUUUUCAAACUAUCUUUUUGUAGCUUUAUUUGCAUCACAGCAUUAUCUUUUCCUGCAAACAACUGUUUAAAGAUUAAAACAUGCAAAACAUUCUGAAAUAAUGCACCCUGACCAGAUGACAAAAAAAAAAGAGGAUUCUAAUGUAUCUUACCUUGGAUUGGAGCACGGUCAAAGCCGUGGCUUAGUAGUGGUGAGGAGGAGGGGGUGAAGCGUAGACAUAAUGGGGUGGGGGUGGAGGAGGAGACUUGUAUUUGUAAACUGGAGGAGGAGGUGGUGGAGACUUGUACUUGUAAGGGUGCUUGGGGGGUGAUGGUGGGGGUGGUGGGGGUGACUUGUACUUGUAGGGGUGCUUGGGUGGUGACGGUGGGGGUGGGGACUUGUACUUGUAAGGGUGCUUGGGGGGUGAUGGUGGUGGUGGUGGAGGUGACUUGUACUUGUAGGGGUGCUUGGGUGGUGACGGUGGUGGUGGUGGGGGGGACUUGUACUUGUAGGGAUGCUUUGGUGGGGAUGGUGGUGGUGGUGGUGGGGACUUGUACUUGUAGGGAUGCUUAGGUGGGGAUGGUGGUGGUGGUGGAGACUUGUAUUUGUAAGGAUGCUUUGGUGGUGAUGUUGGUGGAGGUGGUGGGGACUUGUACUUGUAAGGGUGCUUGGGUGGUGAUGGAGGUGGAGGUGGUGGAGACUUAUACUUGUAAACUGGAGGUGGUGGGGGUGGAGACUUGUACUUGUAGGGGUGCUUGGGUGAUGAUGGAGGUGGAGGUGGUGGAGACUUAUACUUGUAAACUGGAGGUGGUGGGGGUGGAGACUUGUACUUGUAAGGGUGCUUGGGUGGUGAUGGUGGGGGUGGGGACUUGUACUUGUAGGGGUGUUUAGGUGGUGAUGGUGGUGGUGGUGGUGGGGACUUGUACUUGUAAGGAUGCUUGGGUGGUGAUGGUGGUGGAGGUGGAGGAGACUUGUACUUGUAAGGAUGCUUGGGUGGUGAUGGUGGUGGAGGUGGUGGAGACUUAUACUUGUAAACAGGAGUUGGUGGGGGAGGAGAUUUGUACUUGUAAGGUUUCUUGUGUGGUGGUGGUGGAGGAGAGUAGACCGGAGGAGGCGGUGGGGGAGACUUGUAAUGGUAGGGUGGUGGUGGGUAUUUCUUAGGAGGUGGUGGAGGAGAAGAAUAAGUGUAAUCUGCAGAGGUUUCAAAAGGCAAACUGAGAGACACUGCUAGAACUAAAAGAGUGAGAAAGAGAGAGGUCAUUGAUGACCCCAUUUCCCCCAACUUUACUUCUAAAAAUGGGUUUAAUUUGGUUUAUGCUCGUAGACACCCUCUUCUCUCCCUUUAUA